rnacentral:lncRNA from 1 species
UUAGAUUAAAGGCACCUGCUGAAAAAAGAAUAAAAAAAAGACUAACUUUCUUCGAUAGAAAAUUUUUUGGUCACCUCCUGUGUUAAGUGUGUGUUAUGCACUAAAACUCAUAAAUUUGCUUUCCAACUUAAUACACGUGUUUCGCAUCCUUGAGGUAGUUGUCAUGUAAUUAAAUUUGGUAUGUCAAAUACAAUUUGAUAUAUAUGUAUAUAGACAACAAAAUCAAAUGCUAAAGAACUAUUUUUCUCGUCUUCUAUGACUAGGUCGUGAAUUUAGAUUGCAUUAUUUUCUCUGAAAUUUCAUUAGAACUUUCUUUUAUUUUUGCAACUUAUAUUAGCAUCUCAGAAAUUUGUUAUCAUCCAGGACCUUCAUCUUGUUUACUUAAACAUGACGAUGGAUGAAAGGGUUGAAGAUCUGCAGAAUCGAGAUGAAACUCAAAAAGCAUGGUCGAUAUCUGCACAUGCCUUUUCCGAUUUAUCACAUGUCUCACCAUUGAUGUUUCUGUACCUUCUAAAAGAAUCAUACACAUGCGGUAAAAUUCUCCAUCCUUUUCUGAAUUUGAAGAUAUUUUAAUCUACCUCUUUUAUGGAAUCUGUUGUUGCUGAACCUUGCUGAUUGUUUAAUUCUUCUAUUGAAUUGAUGAUCAUUAUCAGGAUUUCAUUUUGCUUUCUUUUUUUGUCAAUCGUCACCACGCAUCCAUAUGGAUCUAAGAGAAGCCACAUUAGUGGCAACGUGAUGGGAGGCGGCAAGGUUUGAACCCUUGACCUCCCACCCUACAAAUACAUGUGGUGGCCAACUACUUUAUCUUCUAUGGGUUAAUUGGCUGCAUAGUUGUAAUAAUUGAAGAAAGUCUUUUUUGAAGGAACAAUGCUUUUAUAAUUUGCCAUAUUCAUGAUGGUGGAAAAUAGAUGUGAAUCAUGCUUGGAUUGUGAGAAAAUUUUUACCCAAAUCAUGAAGUUUGCCAGAAAAACUGGAGGAGAUAACAACCUUUUAUCAUGGACUAUGUUAGCCCUUCAGAAUAUAUUCUUUAACCACCUAAACUGUGCCUUUUGAAGAAGCUUUCAAGAAUUUACUAAUUACACUGUUAUAUCUUACGCUCGGAAGAAGACAGGGUAAGGUUUAGAAAUGGAGUAAGAAAGAAACAAAAGUAAGUUGUUGGAGAAAAUGAAAGCAUCAUCUAAAAAGAGUUGAGUGUAGCAUGAGAAAAAUAUAUGAGAUGAGAUUUGUAGUAGCACUCGCCAGUGCGUAUGACAAAUUGUGGGGCUAAAGCACGAUAUCAGACUAGUCGGAAUUUCUUCAUUGCUGUUGUAGUCAGUUAGAUAUGGAUUUCUUUGAAGUUUGGCAGAAAGGCUAUCCACUUCCUAUGCUGCUCAUUAUAGUGUUUGGUGAGCAUAUGAUGGUAUAGAUUUAGCCACUGUCUAAACUUUAAAACAUUGUUAUGUUCAUUGCAAGCAAUAGUGACAAUAACUUGGUUGUUUUACUCUGAUAUCAAUUGAUAUUUUGUAUCAAUGUAAACUUACAGUUGCUUCUUUUGUGGCCAAUAAAUUGAAAUCUUUAAGGUUUGCUGAACUAGUUUACAGAAGCAUCAUAAUUACUGGAUUUUAUUGUGAAUUAUAGUAAAAGCAUUUUAGAUUUGAAGCUUAAGAAGCAGCAGUACUUUCUGCUUAGGUUUUGACAGCUUUCCUUUUCUUCAGUACUGCCAUUGCUAUUUUGCAAUGUUUACUGCAGUUACUUUUAUUUCCCUGUAUUUCUAUUACAUAAAUAUUGCAUUUAUAGGUGAACUAAAAGCAUCUGCCAAGUUCCGUAGACUUAAAGAUCAAGUCCUUCAGGUCCUACACAAUGGUCCCAAACCUGGACCGGCCAUUUUUGUCGCUCAGUGUCUGUACAUUUUGCCCAUAUUUGAUACAUAUCGCAACGGAUUCAGUCACUUGAUAAUAUCUGCUCUUCAUCACUUUUUGAAAUCGGGAACCACUCAAGAAGACAAACUAGAAGCAAAACUGCUAGCUGCCAAAUUAUUCCUGCUUAGAGUUCAAUACAGUCUGGUUCAUGAUGAAAAGGUUUUAGUAAAGAUCCUUGAAGUAUUUGAUGUAAGUUUGACAGAUAUAGAGAUAGGCAUGCAAGAUCUGGAUGCAAAAGGUGACGUUAGUCCAGACACAGCAAAAGUACUUAUCGAGCAGUAUGUAUCCAAGCUGAUAGAAUCUGAGUCAUUUAUGACAGCAAUUUCUUUAUUAGAACGCUUCUCCAUUCAAUGGUCUGGAGAGCCUUUCCUACUACAGAUGAUUCAAUGUAAUAAAUUUAGAGCAGCAGAAAGGUGGGCUACAUUUAUGGGAAAACCAAUGCUGCAAGUGCUUGUACAGGAAUAUGUUAAGCAAAAACAACUAAAGCCUGCUUAUGAUGUUAUAAAGGAAAACAAUCUUUGCCAGGAAUUUCCAGAAGUGUGUCAACAAUAUAAAGAAAGGCAAGUUUAUUUUACUCAUUUCUUGCUGGCAUCCUGCAUGUUUCAAUCUUCCUAUGGUCAUAAUUAUUGUAAAAAUUUACUUAUUGUACUCGUCAUAUUGAUAAGUAUGAGUUCAAAUUGCAGCUUGCUAAAGAAGCUAGCAGAACAUGGCUGCUGGGACAAUGCAGAGGCAAAGGCGAAAGGCAAUAGACAAUAUUUGGAGUAUGUGGUAGGUGGUGUACACAAUAGAAUUAGAUUAACUCCGUGGAUAAUUUUGUCCUUAUUAUCAAGAAAAACAAAGGAAAGGCUUUUCCCUAAUUCUAAGUUGUUAGUGCACAAUAGUUUGCUGAAACCAACUUACUGUAGUUGACCAAUGACUUCCUUCUCUUCAAAAAUAGUUGUCUGAAAUUGGAUUACCACCAAAGUUUGGUAGAGUAAUUGUGUAAGUUUGUUGAGAUCCAUUGUGGCCUGGGUACUACGUGGAUAUAUUUCUACUUUCCUCAUCUUGGACUUCCUCAAUCCUGUAGGAUUAUUAUGGUGUUCUACAACUAGUGCCAUAAUAAAACAUAUCAAGGGAAAUAUAUGUUCAUCUUCCCUGACAAAUAUUCUUAUGCUCAAAUUAAGAAAAGUUUUGGAGAUGUUUCAUAGAAGCUAUCGUAAACAUUUAGUCAUGCUUUGCUUAAUGAAUAUAGAGGUGAUGUGUCUGAAAGGAUGAUAGAGAAGAAUCUGUUUUCAAGUUUAUUCUGGCUUAUUGGUUAGGAUUUUGCUUUAGGAUUGAGCACGUCAGUUUACCAUUGUAUCAUCCUUUCACUGUGGUUCAGGUUCCAAAAUGUAAAGGUCCUUGUAGUGGAAUGAACUUGUUAAAAAAUCUUAAGGUGAUUAUUGUAGCGGACAGUAAUUGCUCCUUCAAUUUGGCUUAACCACAUGACAGUUGCAGGAAGAGCCUUGGAGAAGUUCUGGUGUUGUGGAAUUCGUGGUACUGUGGGUCGAUUAAUACUCCGCUGAGGGAGAGACUUAUUUAGAAUCUAGGGACAUUUUUUGCUUGGUGUUGUUAAUAAUUUUCUUUCUUUUCCUUGUUUGAUCUUCUCAUCUCUGAGGCUGCAUUUGCCCAUUCCAUCUGUUCUUUGUCCCCCCCCCCCCUCCUAAAAACCCAAAAAAAAGUCCAUCUCUUCCAAUUCACCCACUGGUAUUAAUGUGCACCACUCAUGUGUAUGUCAUUUGUGUGUGUGAGAGAGAGAGACACACAUGCACAACACAGAGAGAGAGAGAGACAGACUGAGAUUGAGUCAAAGACAGCUAGAGCUUUUCUUAGAAUCCUCCAAAUUGAGGAGCUUAUAGACUGGCUAGUCACUUCUCUCUUGCACUAAGCCACUGGGCCCACAGCAAGGACUAAAUUUCGUUAUUUUUCUUCCAGAUGGUUUGAAUGUAUAAUCUGAUAAAUGUACACCAUUAAGCAGAGGCUGAGAAAUUAGUUGUUAUAUUUUCUUUUAUUGAAUAAUGAGUCACUACCUACCUAUUCACAAUCGUUGACAAUAAUUCUUACUUCAGCAUCAUGCAUAUAUAAAGUUCCACAUUUUUGCUUUUAAAAGAAAUAUUUGCCAUUAAAAUUUCACAUGGUGGAAAUGUUAGUAACUCCAUACAGUUCUUUGGUAAACUUCAUAGAUACAGAAGUUGUGGUCUGCAAAUUAUUGUGCAUGAUUUUUGAUUUUUGCUUCUCUUGAGACCUAUGUAGUUUAUAAUAUUUUAAUAAUUUUUACAUUUUAAGGUAUAUUUGGCAAUGGAAGCAGGCUACGUAGAGAAAGUUGAGGAACUCUGCACGAAAUACUCACUUGAAGGUUUCGAGAAUGUCAAAAGUAAGCUGGAUCUCCAUUUCUGUACUUGAUUCUUACAGCUUUCUUAAUAUGCAUGAGAAACAAAUUGGUUAAGUGUUACCUGCAAUAAUUUAUUCACUCCAUUCUUAUGUUUCUAACUGGUUCUUGCUUGGUUUACUUAUAAGGCAAUUUUAUUACUUAAGAAGAUGCCAUCAUGCAGAUUUGAUUUGAAAUGAAGUAUGUUGCAUCUGCUUACUAUGACUGCUAUUAAUUUGUAAAAUGCAAGUGCAUUGAAUUGUUUUGGCAAUGCUAAGCCACAGCAAUACAGCAUAAAAGUUAGCUUAAUGGUUCCGAGCUGGCUAACUUUUCUUUUCACAUUGUUUACAUUUGUGAAUUCGAAAUCCUUAUCUGUUGAAUCUUCAUUUGAGUUGACGAUGAUGCAAUGAUCUGAAUAUAGCGUCUUUUCCUUCGCCUCUCAUCAGUUGUUUUCUGUGGUUUUACAUCUGCCAUCAUCCAUGCACAGCUUUGAACAGCUUGUGCAUUGAUAUUAGGUGGAGUGGAGAUUUUGUACCAGAUAAGCAAAGAAUAACACAAACUCAUAAAAGAGUUAGUAAAUGCCUUUUAAAGUUAUAUCCCCAGUAUCAGAUAUUUAUUGUAUUCACUGCAUCGAUUUUCCUAUCAAAUUCCAUAAAAUACUUAAGUUAGCAGCCACUCAAACAUCCUGUCCUUUUACAAACAAGGAAAUGGUUGGUUAUGAAGUUUUAAGGUUUGAAAGAAGAAUUUGGUAGUACUUUGGAUGCAUGCAUGUGCUUGUUUCUCUUUGGGGUGGGGGUGGGUGAUAGAUAGAGAGAGAAAUAUAAUGGAUAACAGAACCUUGUCAGAAUAGAUAUAGAAGGUCCUUUCUUCUAGUCCCUCUCCCAUUGCCCAAGUUUUAACAGGAGUGCUUUAUGUCAUGAUUUGCAAGUUUCAUUUGUAAGAAUAUAUCUGCUCUGAAACUCCGCCGGCAUUUGGUCUCAAUUUUUAUCUAGGCAGAGCCGCUUUUUCUGCUUUACAGAGAGCAUGAGAUGAAAGCACCUAAUUUUGAAAUUUUCAGAUCACGAUUCCUACAAAUUUUCUUUUGCGUUUGUAGAAUUCUUCAGUAGUCUUCUUGUUAUAAGGGUACAUCAUCCACUUCAGAUACCAACGAGAAAUUAUUAUUUGUUUGUAGACCAUUUCAUUUGUUUAAUUAACAUUAGAAUAAGUAGUACUUAAAUCUAUUUGCUUCAUUAUUGUUUUGCAGAGACUGAAGCAAAUCUCAGAAAGAGUUGCUACCUGCAUCUUGAUGACCUGUGCAUCGAGGAUGUAGUGUGGGUUGAUGAAGUAGAUGGUUUGCGUGAUGCUACAUUCCACCUUGAGGAAUUUAAAGUUGUUGGCCUUGAUUCUGAAUGGAAGCCCAAUUAUGAAAAGGGCAGUGCACCAAAUAAGGUAAUGCUAUGGAAUUGUCUGUUUUGGUGCUUUUAAGAAUUAUGCUUUGUCACGAAGACUGAUAAUUGUUUAGUACAUGAUUUAGCUGGAGAUGUUUUGAUGCUGAUGACAAAUGUACCUUAACUAAAUUGUCUUAACUUCUUAAAAUGCAUCCGCCAGAAGGAUGCACGGGUAUUUUCUUACCAAAACCCUUACAUUUUUAUGCUAGAAUAAAGAGAUUUUUCUCAAAUCCUGCUGCUGCAUACGAGCAACAAUAUGUUCUUAAUGUUUGCCUGUUUAUUGAUGGAUGUCUUAGAAAGCAUUAGUUCUCUCUAUUGUUUUCUUCUGCUUGGAGGGUUCAAAAAUCUUUUCCAAGUUAUAAAGAAAAUGCUUGAUGUUUCACGGAAUUUAUUUUAUUUUAUAAGAGAAAGUGAUCUAAAAUUUGUUGCUCAUUGGCAAAACAAAUAAAUAGAGGACGAAUUUGGAGUACUAACAUAACUUCUACUUGUAAAAUUAGUGGAUGAGGAAAACUGAAAGAAUGAAAUUGUAAGUUGAUUUGAAAAAAAAAAGGGUCUUAUGACUAGUAGAGAAAAAGGAUUCGUUAGCAUGUGCUCAAGAUAGUAUGAGAACAAAAACUUUGCCUGUUUAGUCGAACUGGGGAAAAAAAAAUGGUCUUAUGACUAGUCAGGGAAUAUCCUUAUUCACUAUUCAGCCUUGCACAAGCUUCUAUCAUAGGCCAGGAGAGGAAAAAUGCUUCUCUGCGUCAUGGUGGCCUUAUGUUAACCUCAGUUCUUAACCUGCUACCCUCUAGCUCUGAGAGAACUAUUGUUCCUAAGGUUGACAUCACUAAAUUGGAUCAUUGUUAAACCGUCUAUAUGCAUUUCAUGUUCAUCUGUGGUUUGUUUGCCAUAGAGAUGUACUGCAUAAAAAAUUUGUUACCCUGUCUAAUUGUAGAACAGGCAAUUUUCUUGGCUUUAAAAUAUGGUACAGUCCUUUCUCUCCCAGAGUCUCCAAUUUCACAUGAUCCUUGACUCCUCAUCUAUCCUCUCCCCCUCCCCAACAAAAAAAAUAACCAAAAAAAAGUAAUUCCUUUGUGUACCUUUAGGUGUUUGGGUGGGGGUUGAGGGUGGAUCUUCUGCAAGAAGCAAAUUCUGUUAUGUAGCAGAACAAUUUUGUGGUGUUUGAUUGGUAGUAUGUUUCGAAAUCUAACAGUGCUAGACAUGCUCUUAUCGUACAUAUUGCUUUUUCUUUUCUUUUUUUUCUGCAAUUUCUGCUUGUUUUGUGAAUUUUCAGGUCUCUAUCAUGCAAAUUGCUUCGGAAACCAAGGUCUAUAUACUUGACCUGAUAAAGUUAUAUGAUAGUGAUCCUGAUAGUUUAAAUCAAUGUCUAAGCCGAAUAUUGCAUUCUUCCAGGAUUCUGAAACUUGGUAAGUACAAAACACUCCGCAGAGCUUUACAACAUAAUUAUUCUUUACUUGUACAGAUAUUUGCUUCUUCUUUAGUCAGGAUUAAACCAGUUAAUAUUCCUGAGUUUUCUUGUACUACAUUCCCAUUUUAUGAUCUGACUCGUAUUUAUUACCAUGAAACUGUUGGAUUAGUAUUGGCUUAUCUGUAUAGUCUGUUGUACCGAACCAUUGUGUCCGAUUUUAUCUAAAAGCACUGCAAUUUCUUUCUUUUCUAAAGUAGCAAGCAAUUUCUGUCAUAUUUUGGUAGUUAGAUUUAUACGUCAAAAUGGUACUGGUGGUUUUGACAUACAAAAUUUGUAGGCUACAAUUUUCAGUGUGACAUCAAGCAGCUUGCUUACUCUUAUCAAGAUUUGCAGUGCUUUGAGCACUAUGAGAUGCUGCUUGAUAUUCAGAAUGUGUUCAAGGAACACCGUGGUGGUCUCUCUGGUCUAGCAGAGGUGAUUCCUAAAUUUGGCAUCUUCAAAGCAUGCUCAAUAUAGUAUCUCUUAUGCCAUUCCUUCAAGUUUCUUUUGCUUAUAACAUCUCAACAUAUAUUGGCAUCAAUUACUGAACUUUCUGAUGGACAUGAAUAAUAUUAAUGGAUACAGAAAGUACUGGGACGAGGCUUAAACAAAACGAGACGAAAUAGCAACUGGGAGAAGAGACCUUUAAGCAUUUAUCAGGUGUGUGAUCUUUUAACAUUCUUUUUUAAUCGAUUUCUGUGGACUCAACUUUUACUCACAAGUAAGAACAUAAAUCUCAAAUGUCAAUGGAGGCGUGGACCUGUUCUAAAUACUGGUACCACGCUAGCAGAUUGAGGGAACGAAGUGCAUCUAUUAAUCUUUGAAGUAUCAACUUGGGCCAAGGUUCUCAGCAGUUAAACCACAGUUGUUGCGGAUAGAUCACUGAUUUAGAUUCAAUGUUUCAUACUCAUUAACUUUUGCGGCUCUGAUUUUCAGAUUAACGUCAUGUUGAAUGCUUGUGCAGUUGGAGUAUGCUGCUCUUGAUGCUGCAGUUCUCCUCCACAUUUUCCGGCACGUUCGUGACCAUGUACAGCCUUCAGCUGUUGCUAAUGAACACAGCAAAAUUGAGUGGAAAUCUUACAUUGUAAGCACAAUAUUAUCCCUCGCCGUGCUGUGCUAGGUCAUCAAUACUGAAGAAAGGUUUGCACAAGGGAAGGGGCAUACCCCUUAUUGUGCUGGUUAGCUAUAAGUUAAGUUUUCUCAAUUUCCUUAAAUAGAUGUUUUCCUCCAAAACUUUUCAGGUUUCGCACAAGGACAAAGUUGGAAGAAUCAAGAAAAGGAGCUAAGAGCAGAAAAGAGAAUGUUCCUGAGGCAGAUGAGGGUGCCCUGAAAUCUUAACAAUUCACCUGAGGAACAUAAUGCUAGGGACGCCUAACCUAUAUUUCAGCCGAAUUCUCUUUUAGCUGUGACAGAUGUUUUCUGUUUUGACAAAUAGGGGAAGAUCUUUGCUAUAAUCUUUAUGAAUGUGCAUGUGAAACUUAUUUAGCAGGGUAAACAAUGCCUGCAAAUGAACGCUUUUAGUCCUCAAACGGACUAAUUUUUUAUUUUCUAGACCCAAAGAGGUUCAAUUAAAUGAGUAAAUCUAUGGGGGCUUAAACGAUAACUCCCUUCCCUAAUCUUGUGUCUUACAUAAACAAUGAUCUCUUAGCAAAUUCUAUAUGUUGGUGUAUUUUCUCGAUUGUACCUUUAUGUAUACGCUGGCAAUUAGAAUUCUUGAUCGUUAUCCCCUUUUCUAAUUUCUACCUAUGUUACAUUCGAAUUCUAGUCUCAUUAACGUCUUCUUGGGGAGUCAAGGAGUCAAAGAAUUCUAAAGGAGUCAAAGAAAUCUAACUUUUCAUUACAACCGUUCCUUGGCAUCUCUGUAUAUAUCUAUCUAUAGCCUGAACUCUCUCUUCUCCUCCAUCUCCUCUCAACAAACCAUCCGGAGAAGAGAGAGACAGAGGAAGAGGAAGAGAGAGAGAGAGAGAAUGACCGAGUUCGAGGCUAGUCACCGGAGGACGGCAGGGCAAACUCUUGAAAUCAUCAAUGGUAAAGCAUAUGGUGCAAACAAUGUACAUGUAAUCCGAUCAAAUAAUCAUUUUGCAAACCAAGCUGGAAGAUAUCAGGUUACGGAGCCAACCAGCACCCCAGCAGCAACACCGCCACCCCCACCACCACCAACGUCGUCGUCUCGUUCGUGGAUCGAUUAUCGCCAAUUGAACAGAAGAAAGAGAAUUGCUACCUACAAAUAUUACGCAUACGAAGGCAAGGUGAAGAAUUCUAUCAAGAAAGGUUUCCGUUGGAUCAAGCGUACCUGCAGGAAAAUAGUUCAUGGAUAUUAGGUAUAGAGCUAGACGUGAAAUAUUGAGUUAGAUGAUCAUGAAAAAGGGUUUGUACGCUUGGGGUACAAUAUCACUUUCCAUGCAUGCAAGGUCCAUAUUUAUUUGCCUGUGCUUUUUCCUCCUACUUAUAUCUUCUUUCAUUGUCCAAUAUUCUAUGCUUUGCAGAACAUGAGAUCUCGCAAAAUAUGUUGGCUUUAUUUUUUCUGUUUCCUUGAGAAUUACGUAGAAGAAUGUGGUUUGCUCAUUGAAUAUGAGAUGAUCAAAAUCUACCCCGAAUGAGGGAUUCAAUUGCCAGAAAGCGAUCUUGGCAAGGGGUAGAUUCAUAUUGAAGCUAUUUCCUUUGUUUUCUUUUUUGUUUUUGGCACUUUUCAUGAUUUGUAUAUAUUACGUUUUUCCGAAUUGUUGAAAUGUAAAAGUUCAAGCAGCAUGGCAUAAUAUCUCCAUUAUGACGUGAUACAUAAGCUCUGUAAUGUGUGAUUCCACUAAUAUUAAUCGUAAUCAAUUUAUGUUCGUUUAUCUUUCUAAGUUUUGAUUAAUUUCAUAAAACCUAGGAAUGAAGAGCUAGAAAAUGUUGCAAAUGGGAAGUUGUCGAAAAAAAAAUCCAAAACAAUUUUCAGGUUCUUGUCUGUUUGGGUAUAUCAAUUGUUAGAAAGUUUGCAGUCAAAUGACACAAUAAUCAACAGUAGUUUAAGCAUGUUCCAUUUUCUUCCUAUUAGGUUGGAAUUCUACACCUACUAUUCUCAUACUAUAGCAUAUUGGACUGCUAGUCUAGAGACUUUACUCGAUUUAGCGUGUCAUGCCGCUUAUUUACCCAAUCUGUGUUUCAACUUCCAAAUCUACAUAAAGCAAAUAUGCCUUCAAGCACUUUUGACAGAGUAUUUCUUUCAAGUUUAAAUAAAUUUGUUAACUCUUUUUGUCCCGAGAAAGUUCCAAGUGUAAAGGGGGGAUACAUAAUUUAUAUCGAUAAUCAAUGUGUUCAUGUUUCAUGUGAGUUCUUGAUAGACUGUUGGUAACUCACGAAACAUCAAGUGAAAUAGAGAAGGACAAAACAUCUAGACAACCCUCAAACUAUUAAAUUGAUCGAUUUUUAGCCUUUCAACUAUUAAGUAUAUAUUUUUGCUUCUCGAGCUUAUAAAAGGGUAUGUUCUCCACCCUUUAAACUAGAGAUAUAUUUAGAAAACUCCCAUGAGGUAUAUGUUAAUAUCACUUGGCAUCUUUGAAGUUUCAAAAAUAUCAUUUAACUCCUACGUCAGUGAGAUGUGACCAUUGAUCACUAUCAUAGCAUACGAAUUGAAAAAAUUAUCUUCACUAAUUUAACAAUGUUUGGGCAAAACAUUAUGGAAGAGAAAAUUUUUAGGCAAAACAUAAAUUUUGUGUUAUAAUCAAAUUGGUAGAAAAUUUAAUAUAAGACAACAUAAAAGAGUAAAACUGGGAGAAAAGUGAUUAUUAUAAGAAUAUUUUAAUGAUAUGAGAGUGAGAUUGUUAUGAAAAAUACGAUUUUAGGGGUGGUUAGUGAUAUUUUUAAGUUUUAGGAGUGCCAAGUGAUAUUAUUAAUACACACCUCAUAGUAGGUUUUUAAAUUAUCUUUAGUCAAAAGGACGGAGAACAUACCCUUUUAGAAGUUUGAGGGGCAAAAAUAUGCACUUAAUAAUUAGAGGGUUAAAAAUCAACCAAUAUAAAGAACUAUAAUAGUUUGAGAACCAUUCAGAUUUUUUGUGCAGUAAAGAACUAUGGGUAUCAACUCUUCAUCAUUGAUUAAAACUAGGGAUAAAGGUGACAAGGGGCCGAACGGUUAUCGGAAAACCGUUCAGAGCGGUUUUGUAUAAAAUGUACAUAGCAACAUAUAACUGUAAAAUAAAAUUUUGUAAACCCUACACAUAAUGUGAAAAAAUGAGGUAUAAGAUACAAUUUGAAUCUUAUAUUUUUUUUAGCCAAAUCUUAACCAUGAACUUUCAGGAUCUACAACUGUUCCUGCCUCUCUUCCGGGAUAAAGGUAUACAAGCCUGUUAUUUCCUUUUUGGUUGUUGGUAUGGUUGCCUGUACCCCACCCCAUUUAGUGAAGUUAGAUGUACUUCCUUCCUCAUUUCCUCUUAGGUUUGUUGGAGCUAAUACUUAGAUUAUAGGUGUAACGAUCUAAUUAAAAUGCUAACAAAAUGGGUUUUCAAUUUGACUUUAUUGGGUUUACUAGUGGUGACGUUUGAUGUAGAUCUCAACAAUGAGGGGGGAAAAAUGCAUUGAACAUAUGUUUGAUUAUAUAGAUCAACUUUAGCUACUGUUAAAAAAAAAUAAUGCAUUGCCCAAAACUUGUUACUUGAAAUCGUUUUAGGCUGUGUUCUAUAAUGGAAGUGAGUAAAAAAGAAAAAAAAAAUCUGUUUAUUUGUUUAUAAAAUUUUGAUCCAACAAAGAGGAGAAUGUUUCUCAUCUGCCUUGUUAAUUAGUUUUGGAACAAAUUUACGAGACCUCAAAUUUCACUUACAAAACCAAAAGAAUCACAAUUAGUCCCAAAAUGUAAACUUGUAUCACAAAUCCCUAUAGUAAAUGCUUGGCUUAAAAUUUGUGAAAAACAUUAGGAUGCAAUAUAUUGACAGGGAUAUUAACUUGGUAACUGUGAGGUCUCGAAUUCGACUUUCAAAUUCUUCUUUUUCUCCUUUUCCCCUUGUAAGAUUUGAAAUCUCGCCAUGAACUCAAAAACAACAACAAAUUCAAACUUAUUGAGAAUUAUUCAAAUUUCCAUUUUAAGUACAGUAGCUGAUUAGUAUAGCUGUUAAUCGAACAGGAUAACUCGCGAGCCGAGCUUGACCCGGCUCGAUAAGGGCUCGACUUGGCUCGUUUAUUGAGAGAAACGAGCCGAGCUCGAGUUCAACUGGAUACUCGUUUAAUAGACGAGCCGAGCUAUGCUCGACUCGUUUAAAGCUCGACAGGCUCGAAUAGUAGGGGCAUUAGUGUCAUUUCAUUGUGUAUUUGAUAUUCUAACCUAAUUCAUUCUCCCGUUUCGAGCUUGAUAAGCUCGGCUCGUGGUUUUCACUCGAGUUCGAGCUCGAGCUCGAGUUUUCUACCGAAUACACCGAGUCGAUCUCAAACAACUUGUGAAGCUCGAAUUACUAAUCGAGCGAGCUCGAGCUAGCUCGAUUAGAGGUUCGAGGCGAGCUCGAUUAGCAUGUGCUCGAGCUCGACUCGCCUCGUUAACAGCUCUACUGAUUAGGCCUCGGCUUUAGGGAUUCAAAGUUAAGGCUCUAGAAAUUAGGGGUUGGAUUUAUUUUGAAUACUUUGUCCAAGAUUAAAAGACAAAUAAAGAAUGAAAGAGAAAUUGUCCUUAACAUUGAACAACUGGAUUAGCCCAAGCGGCUGCGGGAUAGUUUUGGGCUUUAUGUGGAUCGUAGGCAGGGUAGAAGUCCAUACUAUGAUCAAGCCCAAGAGCGCCAGAACUGUUGCUAGACGACGUCGUUCAUGCUGGCCAAAGGUUCAUGUAAAAGCAUGAAGCUUGAAAUUUCUCAUAUUAAAAUUUCAUAAAUCAACGCAGGUUUGUGAAAAGCGCGGGAAACUCAAGCCCCAGGCCACCGCCGGCGACUGUGAAGCCCCGGAAACCUAGUUUAAUGGACGAGCACGAUCUUGAGCUCGAAAAAGUGAAAUUAAUCAGCUUAGCUGUCGAAUUCGGAUUCGAUGAAUACUCCGCUAAGAAAUGCUUAGAUCGCCUCAUUGAACUCUACGGUAACCCCAAUUCUUCCUUUGCAUUUUCCAAUCAUUUGAUUUUCAUACUGUUAUAGAGCAUUGUUUCAUUCUAACUUUGUUAAUUUUUGAAGGCGAGGAGGGCAGAGAUUUCAUCCGUGUGGAGUAUUGCGGCGAUGAUUUUUUGGCGGCAUUGGCGGAAUCCAUGCGAGACACGGAGGACUGGGAAAAUGAUGAUUUUCAAGCAAUGGAGUCUGAGGCUUGUGGAGCUUUGGCCGAAAUGCUGGACAAGGAUAUUAAAAUUCGGGUCGAAAGAAAUGAGGAAAGAAAGGAUAAUGGGGGUGUUAUCUCUGAAAAUUCUGUUCAGGUUAUUCUAGAUUCUUCUUCAGGUGAUAGUGAGAAAGAUGACGACGAUGAUGAUUUUGUAAUUCCUAGAAAAAAUGGUGGUAACAGCAUUACAAUUCAGAGUCAGGGCCUUGAUAGACGUUCGAGUAAAAGAACUUCGAUGUCUGAGGUAUUAGAUGCUUUUUUGAGUCAGUUUACCUUUUUCCAAUUUAAUUGUGUAAAGUUGGUAAUUAUAUUUGAUACCAUAGCUUGUUGGGGGCGCGGGUGAGGCAGGGGCAGAAGGUGGAGGUUUAUUAAGGCAGUUUUGAGAGAAGUUUUAUCGGAGUGAGUGAUACGCACCUUUUGCAGUAGUUUAUGCUGAGUCAAUGGACAAGUUAUAAUUUUACGCUCUGGAAUUAUGUUAAUUAUCUUUUGUUGUAGUCCACUAGGAAUUUGGAAAAUAACGGGCAUUGUGUGGAGGUCCCUUUUCCACAUUUCAAGUGAAUUAAAGUGGGAUUUUUGAGAUUAAGGUUUUGGAAUUUGCACGAUUGAAACCAAAAAAUAUAUAUACUAGGAGAUUUUCAGUUCUAAUUUAUACGAAGCAAACUUGAAUAUUUUUUUUACCAAUUUUUUUAAUUCAGGUAACAGAAAAGGAGAAUCAUUCGAAUGUGCUUCUGUGUAGUAUUUUAAGUAAAUAAAGCUCAUCUACUCUGUGCCUUUGAGUUGUAUUAACAAGCCUUCCGGAUUUUAAAUGUGCUGACAGACUUUUUCCUUGAAGGAGUGCAUAAGCAGUGUUACACCUAGUUCAGUUUCAUCCUCAGGGAGAUUUUCAGACAAGACAAAUAACGAACCCAGGACCUUGACAUAUGAGGAGUUGCUGCAUCUGGAUGACAUUGAAUUGGCUAACGUAGUUGUAUUUGGAAACCGUAGCUUUCGGCCUUUACAGUAUAAGGCUUGUAAAGCAUUUCGGGAACAGAAUGACUGCUUUAUCCUCAUGCCAACAGGAGGUGGUAAAAGCCUUUGUUACCAGGUCAGGUUCUUGCUUUCUUAAUGGGCUUUCAUCUUGCAAUUUUACCCGAAUUAACAGACAAAAGUUUUUCAUAGAAAUGGUUGUCUCAAAUUUAUGAUUUGUAACUUGUUGGCCAGUUUAAGUUUUUUCCGAAUUCUGCGUUGAACUUACAGCACUCUAAUUUGCUUUAUUUGGUCAAGAAAUUUAUUUUUUUAUUUCCCUACAAUCGUUAAGCAAGUGAUCUCUGCAGGCACAGAAAACUGCCAUAGGCAUUAGUGUUUUUAUUCUUCUUUACUGCAAAAAAGGUCAACCAGUCGAACUGUCUUCUUGUUUAUUUGGUUUUGGUAUGUAUAUGAAGCAUGAGGAUAUGUCUUGCCUUAAGUUGGAAGAAUAAUUUUGUGUCCUUUUUCUCCAAGUUAUAUUUUUCUAUUUUUGUUCUGUUGUAUAUUUGAAUUGGCAGCUGAAAGAGGGUUUCUUGUAGUUGAUUUAUUGGCUACAAAGACUGCCUUCUCUAAUUGACUUUCCUCUGACACUAGGGUUAGUUAAUUAAGGUUGCUCUUUAGGCUUGCAGUCAAACAUCGAUUUGUUCCAACUUAAUGUGAGAGUUGAAUGAAUAUGGUACAUAACUAAAUUAUAUGUGUGAUUGUGUAAAGGAAGAAUGGUCUUUUUUCAUUUAGGUAUUAAACAUUGCUGUGUCAACAGUCGCUGUUCUUAUAAUGUUAUUGCACUGCAGCUUCCAGCCAUUUUACAACCAGGGGUUACAAUUGUUAUAUCCCCACUGCUUUCCCUCAUUCAGGACCAAAUAUUCACCCUGAACCUCAAGUUUGCCAUACCAUCUACUUUUCUAAAUUCUCAACAGACUCCUUCACAAUCCGCAGCAGUAUUUGAAGAAUUAAGGCAAGGAUCACUUUCUUUCCCCUUGCUAUAAUGUAUGUGUUUCUUUUGUUUCCUUUGCUUUUUUUCAUCUAUAGUGAAUAAGACUCACAAUUUCAUGAAGUCAAACGUCAUUUGUUUCUUUUCUUUAGGAAUUUGCAUCCAAAACUUCCAUUAUCUUAACAGACCCUUUCUUCAUCAAAAAUUUUCGAGUGUUGAUUUUUCUCUAUUAAUUGCUUCAAUAGCUAAUUGACAACUUGUGCAGCGAUUGUCUACGUAAUGGUUCUUUGUGUUUGAGUAUGACAGUUAUCAUUCAUUUUAAUGUUUCCAGGAGAGUUAGACCAUCAUGUAAGCUACUUUAUGUAACUCCUGAAAGAAUUGCAGGAAAUUUACCAUUUCAAGACAUCCUAAAAUGUCUGUACAGGAAGGUAAGCUCUAAGUCCAUUGUUUAGCUUGUCAGAUCUGUGAUUUAAUGUCAUGUGCUUUUGGAUCAGUUAUUCUGAUUUAAGAUACUUUUGUGAUUUGGCAGGGGCAAUUGGCUGGAUUUGUUGUUGAUGAAGCACAUUGUGUAAGGUCUGUGUGUGGGAAUUCUUCAGAAAAUCAGAGUAGAGGAAGUGUCUUAAUCAUGAAUGCCAAAAUUGGAAACCAAUAAAGAAAUGAAACUCAUGUCUGACGUUUCUAAUUAUCAAUUGCAGUGUAUUACCGAAUGGGAUAGAUGUAUUUCUUAAAUCAAACUAAAUGGCUGGAAAUUCUUAUGUUGCAUCCCUUAAAAGUUGUAUCCAAUGAACCAAUUGAAUUUAGUAUACUAUUUCAGGAGAUAUUUACUAUCGUUUUAGGGAACAUAGAAGAAGGAAAUUGCGUGAAAACUUGAGAGCAUGAAAAUAUAAGUGAAAUUUGGGACAAUAUCUGGCUUGUUCUGAUGAGGUGAAAUGACCAUCUAGUAAUCUGGUUUACUCCACAUUUCAGCCAAUGGGGACACGACUUUCGUCCAGAUUAUAGAGUUUUGGGAUGCCUCAAGAGGAACUUCCCCAGUGUUCCUUUAAUGGCAUUAACAGCCACAGCAACCGAAAAAGUUCGUGAGGUAAAUUUGUGACUUCAUCCCAACAUUGUUGUUUGUCUUGUUUGCUGUUUGUCUUAGGCUCAUUUUUCUCUGUAGGACAUCUUAAAUGCCCUUGCAAUUCCUCGUGCACUCGUUCUGGAGAUGAGCUUUGACAGACCCAACUUAAAGUAUGAAGUACUUGAGAAGAGCAAAGAACCACUCAAGCAGCUUGGAAGAUUACUGUUGGACCGUUUCAAGAAUUUAUGUGGCAUUGUGUACUGUCUUUCAAAAAGUGAAUGUGCAGAGGUCUCAAAAUAUCUUAAUGAAAAAUGUAACGUCAAAACAGAGUAUUACCAUGCUGGAUUGGCAGCUCGUCAGAGGAUAGCAGUUCAAAAGAAAUGGCAUGCUGGAGAAGUCCAUGUUGUAUGUGCCACGAUAGCUUUUGGGAUGGGAAUAGACAAGCCAGAUGUUGUGAGCCCUGCAUACUGUUCUUUAUCUUCUUUGGCUUUUCAUUAUGUGCUAGCAAAUUCAAUGGUUGUUUUUAUUUCAUCAAUGGUUACUGUGGAAUAAGUAAAUCCGUCAUGAAACAGUUUAUUCAAUUGGUUAACACCUGACAUGAUAAAUCUGUGAUAAAAAUUUUAUUUAUCCGUGCAAAGCUUUUGUCUGAUAUGUUGUUGGUCAAAAUAUUUGUCAUAAAUUAUUUGAUGAAGACAUGUUUUGUUUGCAAAGUUUAUCCAGUGUUAAUUUUUGACGUUUGCUUACUUCUCAUACAGAUGCUUUUUGUAUGUCCAGAGGUUCGUUGUUCACAAUACAAUGUCAAAAUCAAUUGAAAGCUAUUAUCAAGAAUCUGGAAGAGCAGGCAGAGAUAACUUUCCUGCUAAAUGCAUUGCUCUAUACCAGAAGAAGGAUUUCAGUCGUGUGGUCUGUAUGUUAAGAAAUGGGCAAGGGCGCAAAAUUGAGAGCUUCAAAUUGGCUAUGGAUCAAGCUCGGAAAAUGCAACACUAUUGUGAACUUAAGGUAAGUAAUUUAAAUUACUAUAUCCCUCAGACCUGCUGCUAAGAAAGUUUCAGCCUUUCUGCUGCAGAAACACACACUCCAGACAAAGUGCUAGUUCAAUUUUUUAAAAUCCAUUUUCUGAUCUUUUGCAGACUGAAUGUCGUAGACAAUACUUAUUAGCUCAUUUUGGAGAGUCCUUUGACCCAAACGGCUGUAAAAAUGGUUCUAGUCCCUGUGACAACUGCUUGAGGGCUUCCUCAUAGAGUAAUUCUGAUCGUGAGUGAAAGCUAUGAUAGGGAAAUCUUUGGGUGCUUACAUCUAUCUACUCGUCCAAAGAACAAGCAAGCAAAAAGGAAAUGGAUUGACAUGUGCCCAAGUCAAUAAUUACAUUAUUAUUGUUCAAUACAUAUCCGGGGCACUGGACACUGGACAGAUGUUCUCACGCUUGUUUACAAGGUAAAUACUUGACGUCUUUUGCCCAAUUCGUUUAAAGUUGUAAACCUGUAUUCCAAAAUGCUAUCAAUGUGACAAAGAAUAGAGAUGGAAUGUGGAAUGUUACUAGCAGUCUGGAAACUUUAGAAUUGUGACUUCUUUUUUUUUUUUUUUGGUGUAGAGCAGGAGGGGGGUGGGAUUCAAGAAGUGGGGAGGAAGUUAGGAGACUAGAAUUCAAAACAUUUAAUUUUGGAGCUUUCAACCUCAACUAUUAAGUCAAAGUCUCCUCGAGAGAAUUGUAACUUAGUAUUUGGUAGAGAGGUAAGGUAUUUAAUGAUAUUUUCUUAUGAUUUGGAAAGAGAGAGAUUUUUAGUCUGAUCCUUUUCGUUCUGAAGAGAGAGGGAAGGCCUCCUGUAAUGUAAUUUCAAGGAGACAGAAGUGCAUGAAGAGCUGGACUAUGGUCAAUAAUCGCUGCUUGCAUCCCAUCGCAUUUAUAUUCUUCUUCUGAAGAAAUGACACACCAGUUCAGAAUCUUGAUGGACGCCUGACUUUAGAUCCAUCCAUCCAAUACACGAGGGCACAUGCACACGUUCAUUGACUUGCUCACUAGUACGCUGUUGUACUACUAUUGUCUAAUGGUAUUAUAGAGCCCCCAUCUGUGAUAAUCGUUGGUUGAAUUUAACUAAUGAUUUGUGCCCUAAUAAUCAUCAGCAUAUUCAGGACCACAACAAAAAAUUAUGAAUUUGCGCACCCAUAAAAUAUGUAAUCUUUGCUACUAUCUUGUAAACUAUACAACAGUUUCUUGAAAAAAAUUCUUCUUUUACUUUUUGUUAUUACGACGUAUAGGGUAUUCAUCAAAUCACUCCAAAGAAGUCCCAUUUGUCGUUGCCGACCAAAGGUGAAGGGGAAAAAAAAAAAAAGAAAGAUUCAUUGAACCCACUCGUCUCUGGCCGGCUCUCAAUAAUCGCAGUCGACGCCCAGUAUGGAAGCUCUUCUUCUGAUAAGUUCUUACAGUGUCAGUGUGGCCUACAGCUUUGACUUUGGAGCCUGCUCCGCCUUUGUUUUUUUUUGUUCUUAAUUAGUAUUAUUUUAGAAGCCACGAUUUUAUGCAGCCUCCAGCAAAAUGGAAAAGAUCUACUACCGAAAUGGAAAAGAUCUACUACCGAAAUUUCAGGUCAUGUUUAGGGGUGGCAACAAGGCGGGGUUGGGGCAGGGGAUCCUUCCCUACCCCCCGCUCCGUUGUCAAAUAACUCCCCCCGUCUCCCGCCCUAUCCCCCGCCCCACCCCCAUCCCGUCUCCCCCCCGGAUCAUAAAUGUUUAUUUAUAAUAAUACAAUUGUAAACAAUGUUAAAUAAGAUUAAAAAACUGUCAAGAUGGAAAUAAAGUAUAACAAGUCAAGUUACAUUCAGUGCGGAGGAAGGGAACCGAUCGAAAUAAAAAAGGGUUAGGGGCAAAACAGGUUGGAAUUGGAUAGCUUAAUCUUGAGGGGGGUGUUAGAAACAAAUCAACAAUAGUCCAAGAAAUUUCUUCAAUUGUUGCGGCGACCGUAAUUAGCGUUGUACUUGUAAGUAAGGGUGCAAUUUUGAGAAAUUUAGAAUUGUAUUAUAUAUAUAUAUAUAUAUUUUAUUGUAUGCGGGGGAUGGGGCAGGUGUAUGUUUCCCCACCCCCGCCCGGCCCCAUUUCAUGCGCCCCAUUGCCAUCCUUAGUCAUAUUCAUCAGAUUAUAAAAGUUUCAAUUUGAUUAUUAAUCUUUAUCCUUGAAGACAUUAAAAACUUUGCCCCCAAAAAUUUUUACAAAAUUGUAAUGAUGUCCUUUUAAGUAUAUUUCUUUAUGGGUCCUGCCUAAAUUGUUUUAUACCAAACUUUCUGUCAAUUUUUUUAAAAUGUAUUUACCAAACACGGUAUUUGUUGCAUUUUGAAAUGUACGGACAUAUGUAACAAAUUCUUUUUUUUUUAUUUAUAAGUGAAGAUUUUGAAUUCAGAACCUAUUUACUUAUAUUCCUUCCACCUUACUAUCCAAUUCAACUCACCUCUAAUUCAAUUAUUUAAUAAAUUCAGUUAUUUGUUAUUCAUUAAAACUUAUCACCAAAAAAAUAUAAAUAUUAUAACUACCCAAGCGAGUCCCUAUCAAUGGUCUUACAACUAUCUAUGUAAGACUUGCAUAUAAUGUUUUUUAAUUUUAGAAUUCGAACUCAAGGGCAGGCCUUCAAAAUUAUCAAGUGAGUCCCAAAUAAUAUCGAUAUAAUUUUAACACAAUAAAAAACCAAAUGUGAGGCUUUAAGCUUUCACGCAUUAGAAGCCUAACAGCUUAAAAAAUUAAUGAAACUGUGAAAAACUUUUGCUACUACACCAAGAAAACAUAAGCACUCGUUAACAGCAUAUUGGAUUAGUAUUUUUUUUCCCUGUCCAUUUGAACGUCUAAAUCUCCAAAUAAACUUGAAUUAAAUAUUAUUUACAAUAAUUAUUGUAACAUUUUUUAAAACAAAAAAAAAUUAAAAAUAUAAAAAAAUGAUUAAAAAAUAUAUUUACAUACAACUAAAUCCUUCUGUAUUAGUACAUCAUUCACUUUCGAUUUAGAACAUGCAAAGUCAAAAUUCAGGAUUUAGUUCAAGAAAUGACUGCGACGGCAGUACGUGGACUAGACUAAACCGUCACACGCCAAAGGAAAUCUUGGACCUACUCCCCAAUUGCCUAUACCCCAUAGAUACAGAAAUAUAUGCGUCCUUUCACUAAUUUGUUUUUAUUCAAUGGAACAGGGAACAACUUUUUCAAAACCCCCCUCCCUCAUCCCCCGCCGGGGGGUCCAAAAAAAAAAAUGAACAGGGAACAAUGACAGAGAGCGACUCCAUCUAAAGAGAAAGGGGUAACAAAAAUAUGAUUUGAGAGCGACUUCGGAGCAACCAUAUAUUAGACACCAGAUAUGUAUUUGACAAGUUUGAGAAAAUGACAUAGUCCUAACUAUAUUUUGGGUGUUUUUCAAAAAUUUAUCUAAAUCAUUGUGUUUGUAAAACUUUUACUAGAGAUGUAGAUGUAUUAGGGUGUUUUCAGGGAUAUUUUUGGGGGAUUUUUUUGGGAUGUCUUUUAAGGAAUUUUUAGCAUUUAAAAUUUCUUUGAAUAUUUUUUAAAAAUUUAUACCAUUCCAUAUCGUCACCGACCUCUGUCAUUCCCUUCCUCUUCUUUCCUUCUCUCUCGUUUCUCUCCCUCUUUCUUCCCCUCAUUCUUUCUCCCUCUCCCUCCUCGUCCUUUUUGCUCCCUCUUCCUCCAUUCCCCUCCUUCAGGCACCCUCCUCCCUCUCCCUCCAUGAUCGAUCACAACCAGAGAGGAAGGAAGAAGGGGGAGAAGGAAGGAGGGGAAGAAAGAGGAGAGAGAAGGGAGGGAAUGGUGAUGAUGGGUGGUGGUGGGUGGUGGCGCGUGGUGGAAGAAGAUGUAGUAGAAUUUUUUUUUUUUAUGUAUUUGUCAGUUAUUUUUGCAUAAAUUGAUGUUUUUGAAGUUAUUUUUUACUAUAACUUUGUAUUUGAAAAACUAGUUUUGAAAAAUAACCAAAUCCAAACAAAGCCAAUUCACCAGAGAAUAAAUAAUGCAUCCCUCUUCCGAAGAUGGAAAAAUUGCCUUGCUCAUUUACUACAGGUAACCAGUAUGAUAGAUACCCAUUUAAUUGAAGUGCAAGAAAAAAAAAAAAAACUAUUUUCAUCCCCAAAAUUCAUGAGAAAAAUUUUCGUUAUAAGAAAUGCAUGCUCUAACAAAAUUAUGUUUACCUCUAAUACUAUGCCAUAGUUAAAUUAGCAAAAAUGACUCCCUUAGUGAUAAUAAGAACAAGCUCAAGGAACCUAAUCAGAGGCCGUUGGAUUUGUGUCGUCGGGACUGGAAAAUGACGCACUCAUGAUUCGUGAUCCUCCUGCAGCUAAAAACGUUGGAAAAUUUGUCCUUGAACCGCCUUUAAAGGUCUGAUUCCUUGUAGCCUAUGAGGACCCCUGAGUGAUGUAACAUACAAUUGUCUUGGUUCCAUGAAAAUGAGAUAGCAUGUGCAUGGUCAAAAUAUAUCAACUAUAGUUUCUAUGUACAGGUCAUAUCUUACAUAAUUAGCUAUUUAUUUCCUGGCAAGUCUCUAUCUAUCUCACUAUGCAGAAUUUUUAUUAAAAAAAAAAAAAAAAAAAAAGCUCCCCUAGGUUUUUCUGCCACCUUCCUUGAGGUUUCGAUGAUUACAGAAAUCUCCCUUACUAAAAUAUAUAUAACUAGGUAACAAGAACUAAUGAUGUAAGUAUAACAAAUCUAGUGAAUACCCCAUAUUGACCCCAUCUCAUCUAUUAAAGAAAUUAAAUAGUUAAUAUUUAUAGGAAGAAAAGUAUCCCUAUAUAAGGGAGAAAUACUGAUGGGAUUUGAUGAUUGGAUUAUUGUGAAUAAAAUUCAAUUGUGGAGAUUUUAGAUUUAAUAGGCUGGUUAGAUGGAGAUCACUAGAUGAGGAGGUGAGUUUAAGUGCUUAUAUAUAUAUAUAUUGCUUAGCAGAUUUUUCUCAUUCUUAUUUUUAUUUGUAAAGCUCUUUGAUUGGAGUUGAAGAUUUUAUGAAAACUAAUAUAGUCUUUUUGUAAUAUCAAAGUUAGUCUAAUUUUCAAAUCUUAGUGGAGAUGAUUGAAAUGGUCAAAAACCUGAACAGAGAUUUUGGAUAUUAUCCCCGUAUACUAAAAACCUUGAACUGCUUCUUUAUGUAUAUUCCGAGCUAAUGAGCAUUAAUAUUCCAAUGCACUAGUGUUAACUUAUCACAAAAAAAAAUAAAAAAGAGAGAAAAAGUGUGGUAAGGUUAACUAGGCGUUAGGCAACGUUAAACACAUUGGAAAAUUACUAAACAGGGUUAAGUGGUGAACCACACUGAACACUUCCCAUCAUAGGGUUAAACAAAAAAAAAAAGGAAUUUUCCAUCAUCUCCAUUUCUGAAGUAUCAGUAUAUACACUAUCAUCAUUAGAUGCAUGAUAGGACUGUCAAUGGGACCGGACUAGCUCGAGCUAGGCUCGUUCAGCCCGAUAAAAAGCCCGAUGAGCUCGACUUUUUAGUGAGUUGGUCUGAGUUUGAAUCUAAACAUUAUGUUCGAAUUAAAUAUAAUAUGAGCUGAACUUGAACCUUAUUAGGCUCAAACCCGAUAUAGGUUCGGCCCUUAAAUUACCUAUAUAUAAAAUGAUAUAUAUAUAAUAUAUAUAUUUUGAUAUUAUAUACAAUUAUAUAUCCAAAUAUAUUAUUAUUAAAUACUAAAUAUAUAUAAAUUACAAAACACAAAAAAUACGUUUAAAAACUCUUACGCAAACUUUCUUGGGAGACAAUAUUGGUAAUGCAUAACUGAAACUUUAACUUUUCUUAUUGAUUGAGUAAAUUUUUGUGUUGACAUAAUAUUGGUUGAUUUUUUUUUAGUCUAGAAACACAAAUCAUCAAACAUGUUUGGAUUCAAGUCACAAAGCUAUGAAGAAGUUCAAAUCUUUGACGUUGUAUUGGUUUAUGACAGCAUGUUUUAUUAUUAUUUUUUAUGUAUUUUGAACUAAUUAGAUAUAAAUAUUGUUGAAAAAUUCUUGGUUUAUAUACUUUUUAAGACCUAUUAUUUGUUCAUAUUUAGUUUUAAUGUUGUAGUCUUGUGAAUGUUGAAUUAGUUUUACAAUUCAAAAGUUAUAAUAAUUCUAUUAAGAAAAUUGAGGAGCAAUAAGUGAAUUUGGGUUAAACUCGAAUAAGGCUCAAAACCCGAAUAUUUUGUGAGUUGAGUAUGAUCAUCACAUUUAUUAACUCGAGACUCACGGCCUGAAUCCCAAAAGUGUUACAAAUUAAAUGAGUUGAAUCUAAACUUAUGAAAGAUCGACUCUUAUGGCCCAAUUGACGGGUCUAAUAUAGCAUGAUAACUCAUUUGAAUUUAAAUUAGAAUUUCAAAUUUUGCUUAUGUAUCAUUGAUAAUAAAUACACUUUUAGUGUAUACUUGUUUGGAUUGUGAUUUUUUGCAGAAAAAUUUUUACGCUCUCUAUAAAUACCUUUUUCAAUCAUUUUUUUAUUUCACAUACAUUAAAUCAAUACAAUACUUUUUAUUUUUUACAAAACUCCUAAAAAUAGCAAUCCAAACGGCUUGAGAAUACUGAGAUUUCGAGGGAAGGGUUAGUUUGGCCAAUAGAGAGCCAAAGGCGCCAAGUGAUUAAAAUGACCUUGGGUUAUUAGUUGAAAGGCUAUUUGCCAUUUUAGACUUUUAGGCGAAAAAAAAAAACUCUGAUAUUGUACUAUUAUAUUGCACGUACGAGUAAUCUGCCGUGACAUGCAAUUUAAAAUACGAGUAACAAAAAGAAACUUUUGUUGUAUAAAAUGUUAAAAAGGGUUCUUCAUGCAAAAUGCGAAAGUGUUUAAAAAUAUAUAGUUUAUGCAUUGAUGAAUUUCUGCAUUCAAAAUAUGGUACAGUGGGAUGGUUUAUAAACAUGUAAGUUUUAGCUAUCCCUUUUUUUUUUUAUUAAAGCAGUAGUAAUAUGGCAACCAAAAGCUUAAACAGUUGAGCUCUAUAUCCAGGCUUCAAAGGUCUUUCUUUUAUUUUUAGUUAUUUCUUUUGUAUGACAAAUUAUAUAUUUUUUAUUUUAUCAUUUUUUUUUGUAUUUAACAUGCCAUGCACGUUGUUUCUUUCCUAGAAUGGAAGGAUGAUAAUUUAACAUCAAUAUGUAUUUUCGCACCAAAAUGGUGAAAUGAUCUUAUUACCUGCCUAUGGCAAAGUGGUGAUAAAUUUUAUUUAAAGCGUCAAAGUGUGGCAAGUUUCAUAACAUAGAAGCCAAGGUGUAAUUAACCCUAAAAGAUAAACGCACUAGUACAUGAUAGAUGGAUUUUUUUUUUUAACCUUCUCUCGUUCCAACUCACAUCCUUUCUAUUCCCAAUUUCUAACUUUUCGAUAUAAAAUUUGAAUCCUGAAUGUAACAGCGAGAACGAUUUUAAAGGCUGAUCUAAUGAUUGAUAGAUGGAUAUUUGAAAAUUCUAGGAUGGUAUACAUUUGUCCUCUUUUUUUUUUUUUUUUUAAGUUUUGAAUCUUGGUGCCCUCAAAAAACUAGAAUUGCAACUCUCCAUACAAAAACUUUUUAGGUUCUAUCACCAUGUCUGCUUACAAGCAAAGGAAAUUAGUAUUAAAAAGGGAGGGAUUUUAAUUGAAUAGUAUUCAAAAGGAGGGAGUAGAUAGUAGUUACUAGUUACGUUGCUAAGUUGGUUGUGCCUUUUAUUAAAGUGCUUAUUUUUCUGGUUCAUGGCGCAAUCGUACGUCAAGGACGAAGCGGAAUAAAUUCUGCCAUACAAACAGACCUGAUCUAAUCUGUCAUUCUUAAGUUGACCCCCCAAAGAGUCAAUCUUCCCUUCUCCAACAAUUGUCAUCUUCUUGGUUUUUAUUUUUUUGGGAUACCUUUCCUCUGAGCAGAAUGUUGCAGUACAUCUCCAACAUUGGGCAGAAUGAAGUUUUUGUCUAGAUACCUUUUGAAAUGAAGAAAAUCAUAUUUCGGUCAGUUCAGCAAAACUGCAUAGUUAGUAUGUAAUACCGUUUCAUUGUGAACAAUUCAACUCGCAUUCAUGUGGUAAAACUUGUUGCACUAUUCCAAAUUUCUACUCAACUUAUUCUUAACUUGAGAUUUUUUUCAGUAAAUAAAUGGUUUUUUCUUAAGUGAAUGUUAAUAAUAGCAGGUGAUUUCAAGCGAAAGUUAAUAAUAGAUUGAGUACAUGGUUAACCUUCUCCAAUAUCCUUCGUACAUAUUGCUUAAGUUACUCUUUUUUUUUUUUUUUUCCAGAAACGAUAGAUGUUUUUAUUGAUAAAAACUUACGUAUUUGAGUAACGGCUCAAAGAACUAUACAACGUGUACCUUUGACAGUUAAGGAGUAACAAAAGUUCUCCCCUCAUAUCUGAAAUUGCCUAAUUGCUUAAGUUACUCAAGAGACAGCAAAUCAAGAAUGUGGGUUUUGCAAAAUUACUUGUGCCAGAGUUUAGUAGGAAGCUGGGAAUGGUUGGGGGAAGAGAGGGCCAGAAACUGCCUCGUUUAGUAGGUAAACAGUAAUAAUAUAGCAUAUACUAGUAUAAGAUAUUGCUAAAAGUCUUGGUUUUCUGAUCUAGCUCUUUGAAUAUUUGUAAACCCUUGUUCAUUGUCAAAAAUCCCGGUAGAAUAAUAGGUUACUAAAAGUUGCAAAAGUGAUGUUUCUCAACAAAAAUUUACUAACUUGAUGAAUAUCAAAGUGAGACGCAAUUGAAUUUCAGAAGAGUUUGUACCAAUGGAAUUGAUUGUACUACUAUUUCAGAAGAGGGGAGCAAAUUGCAGUCUUACCCUCAACUAAACUGAUAAAAAGGGAAAAAAAAUUAAAGAAAAGUUAAUAAAAUCUUGAAGCUGGCAAAAUCUGAUUCUCCAGUACCAAAGGAAUUUAGUACUUACUUAUUGCCGAUGAGCUUUAAUGCUUUACCUAAUCAAUAGUAGUAGGUUGGGAAUGGAACGUAAGUAAGUGUAGACUUCUCACUUACACUAUAAAAAAAAGGGGUAAUUGAGGUUUCUUGCAUCAUUUCGAUACUAGAUGCUGUUACACUUUUGUUGAAAUAUACUAGAAAACUUUACUCCCUUUAUGGUGACUAUAUGAGCUAUUUUUAGUAGAUUUUUUGAAGUAUUAGUGUCCUAUUUCUGAGACAUUGUAGUUAUACUGGUGGCGUUUGGUUCGCACAUCGGUAUCGGAUUCGGAUUCGGAAUCGGAUAUCUUGGGUUUGGAAUGAGGUCAUUCAUUCCAAUACAUUUGUUUGGUUCAAGUACCUGGAAUGUGUAUCAUUACUAUAGUUGAUGUUUGGUUCGUCGACUCUUUCGGAAUGGAAUAUAAUAAAUAUAUUAUAAAUCCCAUCAUAAAUGAUAGUUAUUGGCUCUUUGUAAAUGGGAUAUAAGAAAUCUUCACUAAUUAAAUAUAUUAAUAUAAAUGUAUUAGAAAAUUUAUUCUAAAUAAUUAAUAAUUUCUAUUAGUAAACAUGUAUAAUUAUUAGUAUAAUUGAUAAUAUUAAUUAUAUUACAUAAAUUAAUAUACAUUAUAUAAUACAUAUAAAUAAUAAUAUUAUUAUUAUAAGUUUGUAACUAAUUAAAUUAAAUAUUAUAUAUAUAAUUAAAUAUAAAUAUACAAAUGUUAUAAUAUAAAUAUAUAAUUAUAUAAUUAUAUAAUAUAUACAAAUAUUAAUUAUAAUAAUAUUUUAUAUAAAUAUAAUAUAUAUUACAUAUUAAAUAUAGUUAUUAUUAUAUAUUAUUAUAUUUAAAAUAAUUAUUAUUAUAAUUAUAUAACUUAUUAAUAUUACAUACAUGUAUAUAUUAUAAUUAUAUGCACAUAUAAUAUACAUUUAUAAAUAUACAUAUAUAUUAUAAAUAUAAUAUUAUAUAAUAAUAAUAAAUUUAUAAUAUAUAUUAUAUAAGUAUAAUUAUAUUUAACUAAAUAAUUAUAAUAUAUAAUUAUAUAAUACAAUAACAUCAUUAUUAUAAGUUUGUAACUAAUUAAAUUAAAUAUUAUAUAUAUAAUUAAUUAUAAUUAUACAAAUGCUAUAAAAUAAAUACAUAAUUAUAAUUAUAUAAUAUAUAAAUAUUAAUUGUACUCAUAUUUUAUAUAAGUAUAAUGCAUAUUAAUAUUAGAUAUAGUAAUUAUUAUAUAUUAUUGUAUUUAAAAUAAUAAAUAUAAAUAUAAAUAUAAUUAUACAAUUUAUUAAUAUUAUAUACAUGUGUAUAUUAUAAUCAUAUGCACAUAUAAUAUGCGUUUAUAAAUAUACAUAUAUAUUAUAAAUAUAUUAUUAUAUAAUAUUAAUAAAUUUAUAAUAUAUAUUAUAUGAAUAUAAUUAUAUUUAACUAAAUAAUUAUAAUAUAUAUUUAUAUAAUGUACUAAUAUUAUAAUUAUAAUAUAAUAUAUAUAUAUGUAUAUAUUAUAAUAUAUAAUAAAUAUAAUAAAUAUAAAUAUUAAUUAUAUCAUUGUAUAAUUAUAAUAUGUAAUUGGAUUUGUUUCUUGGAAUCAAACUUGGGAAUCAGACAAAACCCACCAAAAUACUUGGGAAUGGAGAAACACCAAAUUUUUAGAAAUCAUUCCAAGAUUUCAAUUCCCAUUCCAGUGAACCAAACACCAUUUAUGGGGUUCAUUCCAUUCCCCGAAUCCGAUACCCUCUUACCAAACGCCCCCUUAGUUUUUGGUCAUCUUUGAAGAUUGGGAUUUUUGUUUUUUAUAUUUUUUUGACUUGAUGUUUGGAAUCUGUUCAUAUUAUAUUGCUAGAUUGAUCUUUGGCAUCAUACAAUUUGAUGAAGUUUUGUAGAAAAAUGCAUAAUACAUAUUAGUAACAAUUUUAAAUUAGCCAUUUUAAUGUGUAAUGGAACAAUUAAUUGGUUUUAGAAUGUAAGAAAAAAUCUAGUAAAGUUAAUUCAUAAGCAAGAAGAAGAAAUUAGGGAGGGGGUAAUAUGGUUUCAUCAAAAUAAAAAUGGGAUAAUGGGAGUGCAAAUAACAUUAUCCUAAAAAAAAUUAUAUACAAAAAAAAACAUUUUAAAAAAUCAAUAGUAAGUUAUAAAUUGACAAUAUUUAAAUCAUUGCCUUAUUAGUAGUCACAUUUAUUUUUACUCAAAGAAAACAAUUACUUAAAACUGGUCUUGGAUUCAAAUAUUCAUGCCCCUUUCCCACUUUUUAAAUUCCAUCAUUCCCCUAUUAGAAAAAGUAGAAAGAAAAAGCUGGUAAAAAAGCACAUAGAUAAUAUGAAUAUUUGUAUGUUGCACUUCUUUAAAUUAUGUAGGUGACUAUAUAUUUGAUUUACCAAAAUUUAGUAAAUAUUAUAUCAAAUGAUUUUUUAAAAAAUGGGUCAAGGGCACUUAUCAAUACACCUCAUCAGCAUUUAAUUUACUAUGUGAAUAUACACUCACAUUUAAUACAUUUAUAUAUAUAUAUAUAUAUUUUAGUGUAAGCAGAAGGAUUAGAACCCGAGAUCUCUUGCUUACACUCCCUUCCCCCGUACCACCCAACCCAUCCCUCCCCCCUUACAUUUCUAUAUUUAAAUACUCGUCAAAGUUAAUUUCAGUUUUGUCAAAAGAAUUAGGGAAAAUGACCUAUUUCAUCCCUUGUAUUUCACAAAAAUAUUCUUUUCGUCCCUCACUUUUAAAACGAAGCAAUUUGGUCCCUGACAUUUAAAAAUUAAACCUAUUACAUCCCUGAACCUAAUUGUCAAUUUGAAUCAAACCAUCCAAUAACCUAGUAAUAAAUUUUGGAGAUAGAAUUGAUAGAUCAUAUCACAUGACAUUUAUUGAACAAAAAAAAAAAAAAAGUAUAACAUAAAAGGUCAUUCUUUGUCUUGGAAUAAUAGGAUUUCUUUUUUGGGUAAAUCUUUUCAUGUACCGUUAGUAUAUACACUUGUGAGUCUACAUGUAUAUCAUAAAUACAAAAUUUGGUAUUUAAAUUUAAAUUGAAAUGAUAUGGCAGGUACAUAAACCCAUCAGUGUAUACAAUGACAAUGUAGGAAAGAUUAAUUCUUCUUUUUUAUGUUAUAAUUUUUUAUUUUUGGUUUCAUUAAAUUUCACGUGAAUAUCAAGUUGAGUUAGUCAAGUGAUCUACCAAUUAUACCCUCAAAAUUUGUAAUUAGGUUGAUAGAUGGAUUGAUUCAUAUUGAAAAUUGGGUUCAGGGAUGUAAUAACUUCAGUUUUUCAAUGUCAAGGAUGAAAUUGCUUCGUUUUAAAAGUGAAGGACGAAAAGAAUAAUUUUGUGAAAUGUGAGAGAUGAAACCGGUCAUUUUCCCAAAGAAUUAACACGUGAGAGUCCAAGGCACCUGCUAACCAAAUCCGGUAUCUAUAUAAGGUGUUACCUUCUGAGUUUUAAUACGCGUAUUUCAUUAGGUGUAACACAAAAAGUAUAACAUAGCAUGCAAACUUUCUUUAUAUAUAUAUAUAUAUAUAUAUAGACACACAAACUAUAUGUUAAUUGUCUAAAAUAAUUUUGCUUUUGCCUUGGCAUUUUUUUUUUCUUUUGAAAAGGAUUAUCUCUGUUUGGAUUGGUCAUUUUCUGAAAAACAAAUUAUUCGUAUACAAUGCUACAGUAAUAUAUAAACAAAAACAAUUUCAAAAAUACCAAAAACAAAAAAAUAAAACAAAAAAACAAAAAAAAAAAAAAAAAAAACAACUUCGAAAACACAAAAAACAUAAAAAAAAUCUCAAAAAACACAAAAAAAUAACCUAAAAAAUAAUUUCAUCUACAGUAAAAAGUUUUUCACCUACAUUGCUACAGUAAAAUAUUUCAAAAACACUCUAAAAAUAGCCAAUUCAAACGGAGCCGCUUCAUUGAGUGAUAUAUAAUUAUAAUUAUUUGACAGACAACACCAUGCUCAUUGAGUGAUAUAUAAUUAUUUAUUACACGACUAACAAUUGAAUAAAUCUUAUUUUUAAAAAUUCAAUAAUUCAGAUUGUCGCGAUUAGAUUGUGUCACGUCCAGAUUGCGGGUCAUUGGUUGAUCGGGCCUACCAAGUUUUGGCACUUACGUAUUACAUAACGGGCGGAAAUAAUGCGUUUCAUCUUCUCCUCUUCAUCUUUGACAUCAAUUUUGGCCUAAACUUGCUCUCUCAAUCACUCUUUUAACUACUACUAUUACUAUCUUUCUUUUCUUUUUAAGAUAUGCCAUUUUCAUUUUGAAACAUUUCUUGGUAAUAGUUUUAUCUUCAACUACCGGAAUAUGUACCAGGCAGGCAAAACAGGCACCAAAAUACGCUCAAAACUCACACACGUCAUUUCUCUUUCUCUCACACACAGUCACACAGUAACAGCUCAAUACUUUUUCUCUAAUGUUUAAUUUGCCUGCUGACCGGUGAGGGUGCUUUUUUGCUUUGUCUUCAUUCACUCCCUUCCUCAGUCUUCACACUGACAGAGGGCCACCAAGACACACACAAUGCUCAUCAAAAUUUAAACUCAACCGACCAACCACUCUGCUAUUCAGAUCUCUCUACAGAUUUAUUUAUUUAUUUUUCUACUCCAGACAUAUGUAAAAUCAAAAGGGCAUUUCAGAAAUCUGGAAAAUAUUAGUGGGUUUUACUCGGAUUCCUGGCUGGUAACUUUCGAUUUGAAAAUGUUUCAACUUUAUUAGAUUUUCUUGAUGUGCAUUCUUGCCCCAUGAUAACGUAGUACUGAUGUUCUAGUUCUAGUGUUUGUUAAACACAAGAAAAGAAAGGACCUGUAUGCAUAAAAUGCUACUAUGGUUCACUUUUCUUGAAUUGUUGGACUUAAAUGCUAAUAUGAAAGUUCACAUUUUUUUGAUCGUAUAGGUACUUUUGUUGAUGGGUUUUUCUGGGUUUCUCUAUUUGUUUAUGUUUUCAAUUAUAUCUGCAUAAUCGCUGUAGUGAUUUUAUAAAUGUGUAAACUCCGCGUGUGUUGCUUGCUUGUUUUAGUGUAUUUUGUGGUUCUUGAAUCUAGGGCUUUUCUUGAUAAUUUAAUAUAUGAUGAAGCGAUUUUUUACGUUUAUGAGUCAAUAAAAGGAUUUUGAAGCUUUUGGAAACACACAUUUUCUGUUUUCUUCUGUAGUUUGACUUAUAAUCUCGGUAUACUUGGUUUUGAAUGAAUAAUGUGGGCACUGAAACUGUUGCAGUUUUGUAUAAAUUGAUGAUUUUGAGACUCAGGAUAUCUCUUGCUGAUGCAGCUAGCUGGAUCUCCUUUAGUUGUGUUGAUGAUUUAGGGGACUUGAUUGAUUUUUGGGAUUUGAAUGAAAAAAUGGAAGUAGAAAAGCGAAGUUCCAAGGGUGGAUUUCUUCAUUUGUUUGAUUGGAAUGUUAAAUCCCGGAAGAAGCUUUUCUCCGGCAAAUUUGAGUUAUCUGGUAAUUUUUUGUUUAACAUUUUUGUUUCAUUUGCUCUCUUAAGUUGAAGUUUGACUCUCUCUCUCUCUCUUUCAUGUUUAAUCUGUAUUGCUGUUUUUUCUCUGAAGGUUUAAUGUAUGAUGUUUUGACUGCAGAUAAUCCACAGCAAGGUAAAGAAACUUUUGAUGAUACAACAAUUUCACGUCUUCGAAAGGUACUUUUCUCUUCAUUUUAUUAUCCAGAUUAUUUUUCACCUUAUCUUAAUUUGUUUGAAAGAAUUUAAGCUUCCUUUUAUGAAGGCGCAUGACAAUGGGUGUGGUCCAAGUACCAGAGGGAACGAUGGUUCAAGUUAUGCUUCAUCUGUAAAUGGUGAUGAAAUAUAUGGCACAAGAGCUCCGGGGGUCGUUGCACGACUAAUGGGAUUGGAUACACUUCCUACUUCAAAUGUUUCUGAGCCCUGUUAUACACAAUUUUUUGAUUCUCGCUCUUUUAGAGAUUCUCAUUACUCAAGGGGUAUGCCUGAUUUCCGGAGCGAAGAACACAUCAUAAUCUAUGACAGCAUGCGGAAUAAGCUAGACGGGUUCACCAAGAAUCCUGUUGAAGUGAUGCUGCAGAAGGUGCAGAAUCGACCAAUUGAGAAGUUUCAAACUGAAGUACUGCCCCCAAAAUCUGCGAAGCCCAUUUCAAUUACUCACCACAAGCUUUUGUCUCCCAUUAAGAGUCCAGGGUUCAUUCCAAGUAUGAAUGCUGCUUAUCUAGUAGAGGCAGCUGCCAAAAUCAUCGAACAAAGUCCUCGUUCAACUGCUAGACAUAAGUUGCCAUCUUUGGGUUCUUCUUCAGUUCCUUUGAGAAUCCAGGAUCUUAAAGAGAAAAUGGAGGUUGCUCAGAAAUCUUCUAGGACUCUUCAAGCUUCUCAGAAGGCCAAAGAACAAAGCUCUUCCAAACAGGUAAAGAGACAAACUAGGGACAGGGUCCAAGGUCAAGGAGAAGCUCCAGACAUGUUUAGGGUUUCUGAUACAUCAAGAAAUGCUGGUUCUCAGAGUAUCAAGAAUAAGGAAAAAUCAGUUUCACUGGCUGUUCAAGCUAAGGCUAAUGUUCAGAAGAAAGAGGGAUGUACUGCAAUUGGAAACCGGAGUUCUGUAAACCAUAAGGAACCUAAUGAUGUCAGGCAUAGCUCUUCUGGUAGGAACCAAUCAAAAAUCCAAAAGAAUGUUGAAAGGAGAACAUCAACUGACAAAUCUUCUGAUGUACUUAGGCAAAAUAACCGGAAGCAAAACUUUGCUUCAGCUAAAGAGAUGGAAGGUUCAAGGCCUCCAUUUUGUCAUCAGAAAGACAGGAAACAGCUGUCUUCAAAUGACGUAUCUAGGCCGAAUAAGACUGUAAAUAAGAUUGUUGUAAGCACUCCUGUCAUGCCCAGAAAGACCUCAAUCCAUCAUGUUGGAAAGGAACAACUUCCAUCAGCAGUAAAGAGAUCUUCAGGAAAGAAGCAACCAAUCAAUGGAAACAAUUUUUCUCAUGGAAAUGAUAACCAAUCAGUGAGUAGAGGCGAAAGGUCUAUAAAAUGCAAUUAUGAAAUUGAUAGGUGCAGUAAAUGGGAUGCAGCUGAGAGAAAAAAUGGCACGGAUGUUGUAUCAUUCACAUUCACUUCUCCAAUUAAAAAGUCAUUAUCUGCUUCUAGUUCACCUGUGAAAGUCACUGACAAGAAACGAGGCUCAUUCCUUGUUCCCACAACUAGUGAAAAUCAGUCUUCUUUUGGUCUGAAUGUUGAUGGUGGUGAUGCUUUAAGCAUUCUUUUGGAACAAAAGCUCAAGGAGUUGACAUCUAAAGUUGACUCAUCUAAUCAAGACCACUUCCAUUCAGAGUUUCCUUGUAGUUCUGCUGGCAGUUGUGAAGAUUCAGUGUCUACUCUCACAAUGACACAUACCACAUCUGGUGAACAUCACAAAAAUUCCCAACUUGAUGUGCCUCUGGACAAACUGGGCAUCCAACCUAAAUCCGAUAGCUCUUCUAUUGAUGAACUUCACCUUAAAGCAAUGCAAAAGUGGCAGGUAAUUUGGUUUAUGAUUUUGUCUGUACGUGUAUUCUUAUGGGUCAUGUUUUUUUGACUGCGUUUGCUGUAGUAAAAAAUGAAAGAAGCAUACAUAUUCCUUUGUUUACCCAGAAAAAAAAAAAAAAAAACCUUUGACAAUGCUGCAAAACAGUAAAAAGUGAUUGAAAUUCUCUAUCUCACUGGAGCAUUACAAGUAUGCCUUUGUUGGUUCAAAAGUUUAUUUGUUUUUUUGUGAAUGAAGACAUCACAUCAAUACAACUACUAGUGCAUUCUAGGUAACAGGUAACAUCAUUAUCAGCUGGUGUCAUCUUGUGAUCAAGGAAUGGCUUCAAUACAACUGUGCUGUAACCCGUGAUUCCUUUUUUUUGUUGAACAACUAGGUAGAUAUUGUUCUGGCAUCUAUGUAAUUCAAUUAUAUGGGUUACAAACCAAGAAUGGUCCUAUGGUGGUUGUUGGUUCAUUUGUAGAACUUCUGCCUAAUGGCUAUGAGCCUCUGUAGAAGUUUGAACUCAAGGACAAAUUGGGUGAUUUCCCUUAUCAGCAAUAGAGUAUUUUAAUUGGCGGCCUUAAUUUGCUUUAUGUAGUUUCUCUUUUAUCUUUUUUAACCAAAUUUCAUCAAAAUUUUUUAUCUCCCUUUAAAAGUUCAUUGCAUGUUGCAUUUCUAAUAAAUAACUCAAAUCAACAGUAUUGUAGAAUGACCAAUUCUAUUCCUUGUACUACGAUCCUUGUUUAGAUACUUCUUUUUUACCAUGAUUAAGUCAAAUCUACAUAGCUAACGUGUACAAGUACUUGUACAGUCAUGUAGAGAAGCCUUUAUAUUGCAAACUAACUGCAGUGAUCACUUCUCAUAUUCCUUGAAUAUCUGGAAUACGUUAGUUGGGGAUUAACAUCUGCUAAUUUCAUAUCUGUCUUUCUCAUCGUCAUGGAGUAAAUCACACGGUUACUCUUACAAGAAUCACAUAAUGAAGUUGCUCUUGCUAGAAUUUUUACCUCUUACAACUCUUGAAGUGAUUCACUAACUGUACAUUAUAUCAGUCUGUUUGUUUAAACUCUUAUCCCACUUGUUUAGAGUCAGAUAAUGAUGCUUAUUCAUUAUUAUUACAGUAUUCAUUUAAAACAGCUCUCUGUGGAAUGUCAGUUGGCAAAUUUAAAUGAGAUUUGGCUGGAAAUGCCAGAUGAUGAACAGUUGCCGCCAAUACGCUACUUUUAAGUUUGCUUGUACCCAAACAAGUUUGUUUGCCUUUUAGCUCUUAGGCUUCAACUGUUGGUUUGUCCUAAUAAACAUCCGUUAAGUAGUUUUUGUUCUUUCAAGUUCAAACUAUGGUGUCUCGCAUGAUUUUGGACUCCAUAUUAAUUGAAAAAUGCAUGUAGUGGCCUCUUUCUUCUUGGCGCAUGCAUGCAUUUGUGUGGGUUAAUAAGCAGCAUAACACUUGCUAAUUUUAUUCUGCCCAUAUAGUGCUGAAAAGAAGUAUUGUACUCUGUAUUUUCUUCACCAUUCUCAGGGUGUACAGGAGAUGGAAGAGCUUGGCUUUAUUAGAUAUGACAGAGACCCCAAAUAUCAAUCCUGUGGUCCAGUGUCAAGUUUGGAACCCGCCUACUCAGAGAGUAGUUGCAACUCUCUAGAUAGCAACAGAAGUAUUAGCAGUGAGGGUAAGAAUGCUUGUCCUCUAAGUACUGUUAUCACAUUUUUCUAAUCUACACUGGAUUGAGAUAGACUAUAUUAUCUGGCAUUUUAUACAUAGUCCAAGAACUAUAUAAUUGAUCUAUGAUCAACUGCAUAAUAAAGAUUUAACUGAUGGCUGUUAACAUUUAGGAUACACGAGGAGGUUAUGAAUAUACAGAAGCCUAUGAGCCUUAAAGUCUUGAUUGAAAUAUUUAAUCGGACCAACUCUUUUAGUCCUUAGUAGAAUUUUCUUUGGGGGUUGUAAUUUAGGAUCUAAUGUAAUAUUUUCUUCAAUUUCAGCUAGCAAGAUGUUUUUGGCAGUUGAAGCUUAUGAAAUGACUCAAUGGAGCUCCACUAGAAAGUCCCGACCUGUGGAAGCCGACAUGGAAGUAUCAGAUUCUGCCUCUUCAGCCUCUCUCGGGGCCACAAGUGUAACAGAUACAAGUUCAUCAUUCACUUCAAUGAUUACUAAUGAAUCAGCCAAUUGGGAGUUGGAAUAUAUCCGGUGUAUACUUGUUAACACUGACUUGUUGCUGGAGGAGUUUGCACUUGGUGAGGCACACAAGGUCUUAGCUCCCAAUCUGUUUGAUCAGUGGGGUGAAGUAAAACUAGGAUCAAGUAAAAAUGUGGAAAAGAACUUCAAGUUAGUGCAAAAGGUAUUGUUCGACUAUGUUGAAGAAUCUCUAGAAUUAAAGUGCGUGCAGCUUUUUAGUGGAAGCUGGAAAUCUUGGACUAAGCUAGCAGCUCUGAUUCAGAAGAAAGAUUGGUUGGCUGAAGAACUGGGCAGGGAGAUUUCAGGCUGGACAAGCAUGGAAGAUUUGAUGGUAGAUGAGCUUGUGGACAAGGACAUGAGUACCAAAUUGGGGAAGUGGGUUGAUUUUGAGAUUGAGGCAUUUGAAGAAGGUGUAGAAAUUGAGAAGAGAAUAUUGAGUAAUCUGGUUGAUGAAUUGGUUGAUGAUUUCUUGCUGUUCUAAAGCAUUGCAACAUAGGCUACAUAGGUUUUACAUUACUCAAGUAUGACUUGUAGAUACAUGGUUGUUGUGAUGGGCCCAAAAAUAUAAAGGCUUACAAAUUCAUACUUGAGCAGAUUGCAUUUUGAUUGUAACUUCACCGUUCUUCAUUGCUUCUUGUCUCCCUGGGUAGAACUGCACUACUGAAAUUUCUUGAAACGCUUUUUAGGCCUAACUUCCUUUCGUUAUAGGACCUCAUAAACAGUGACAUUACAGGUUCCGUCCGUAUCUUCUACUAUAAGACUUUUACAACCUGGCUCAAAUAUUACAACCUUGUGUAAAACCAAUUCUUUGUAAAAAGAAAAAAGAUUGAACUGGUGAUCAUAAAAUAUCAUGCAGGUUAUAGACAUUGAAAAAUCAUUUUGAUGUAUAACUGUGUUAGGCUGUGCCUAGCAGACAUGAGGGAUUCGACAUGACAUAUGUAUGAUGAGCCAAGCCCCAAGAUAACUAGAAGGGUACACUGUAGAAGACUAAUCAUUCUAGUUGUCCUUCUUUGGGCGGCCAUGUGGGGUGUUUGGCUGGGAUUGGUCAGGUUGAAUUUGGUUGUAGUAGUGAUUCUUUUCCCCAUAAAUGGGAAUAAUUGAUUUACACGGUUGAACCAUAUUAACCUGACAAUCGACACAAUCUCAAGUGUUUUGGUGCUGGUGGUUAACCAAAUCCUUGUAGAUCCAAUGGUUUGAGGCUGAGUCUUUUCAUACUUGAGGAGUCGUAGCCAUGCUCUGAUGAAAGGAAGGACAAAAAAAAGAAAAAAACAUGGAGUUACCACUUCAUUAUCAAGAGAAUCGCUUUCUUUUGGCCCGCCCUAUUACGUGUCAAAAUGUGAUACCAUCACUUAGAGUUAGAGGAGGUGGAAAACUAGUGAAGUUGCAAAGUUUGACCAUCAAAUUUAACAUUUUCAACAUUUUUUGAUAUGGGUAUAACUUGAUAUAAACGAGUUUUUAAUAUACCUUGAAAAUAGAUGGUUAGGAGGGUUCAAUAGCACUUGGUUUUGGCUGAGUGGCACCUACUUGUUGAGGCUCAAGAAUGUCAAAAUGGAUAAGCAAGAAGAUGGGAGUGAAUUUCUUGAAAUGACUUGCUAGGGGUAUCCAAUCACCAAUGGGACUGAGCCAAAUGGUACACAAAUAGAACUUCACUGCAAUUAUAGGUUGAAUUGUGGUCCAACAUUUAAGUAGUAGGUGCUGGAAAGAAUUACUAUAUGGUUUGGAGAGAUGAUGAUGGAAUCUAGGACAAAAUGUUGCCUUAGGGGAGUGAUCCUUCCAAGAAGCCCUUUGUGAUUGGCAUCAUUAACUUGGGCACAAAUCAAAGCACAUGCUUCUAAAUUCAUGAAUUCCAAGCAAAAUGUUUGUUUAUGAGCAAGUUGAUGUUUGUGGUAUUUAUUGCAGACAUGUAUUUUAUGGCUGUGUUGUGUAAUGGGAUGGCAGAAGAUGGCUGUGGAGAUGAACACAGAAUGGUCAUACUUUGCCAAAUGGGCUCACGUGCCAUUUUCUAAUAUUGGUAGGUUAACCGGCCAACAUAUCACGUGAUCCCAUCAUUUCUUUGCCUUAUUGCUUAGAGUGCUAUCUUGGAUUGCCUUUUUUUUUUUUUGAAAAUUUUUUUACGUUUUCCAUGAACGUAUUUUUUAAUCAAUUUUUUGUAUCUCAUACACAUCAAAUAGCUAUGGUAUUUCUUUUUCUAAAAAACUCUAGAAAAUAACAAUCCAAACGGGUUAUAUAGGCAGUACAUUAUUCAUGAUCUAUUUUUCCAAAAGUUAAUAGAUAAUGUUACAGUCACAAUGUUUAUACCAGAGAAAAUUUUCUUGUUGUAUCCUCACAUGUCAAUAUUAAUUCAAGACUAGGAAGGUUGAUUGGAAGGAUAAUUUAAUUUAAUAAUUAAAACCAAAUUUGCUAUGACAUUAAUUCAAGAGUAGGAAGAUUGAUUUGAAAGCAAUUUUUUCCCAAAAAUUUUUUACGUUUUUCAUGAAUAUAUUUUCUAGUCACCUUUUAAUCUCACAUAUAUCAAAUCGUUACACUACAUUUUUAUAUAAAAACUUCAGAAAAUAGCAAUCCAAAUGGGAAUUAUUUCAUUUGUAAGUACAAGUUUUUGAGAACAAAGAGCCAACCAAAGAAAGAAAAGAAAUAAGAGAAACUUGAAAAAUUUUUCUAUUAAGUAUAAGAGUAAAUCUUUCUUACACUGACGGUGUAUACACUAUCAUCGUUGGAUUCAUAACAUGUAUACAAAAGUAGAAUUUCAAAUUCAAAUUUUACAUAGUUGUCAUUCAUCCAACGCUGAUAGAGUCACCUUUGGUGUCUUGCUCACCACAAAAUUUGAGUAAGACACCAUCAUUGAUGAAAAAUUUUAUUAGAAAUUGUGUUUGGCUAGCAUUUUUAGGAUAAAAAAUUAUUAUAACACUUUUUUGAGAUGUAUUAUAUGAACGAACAGGUAGUUUAAAAAUGUGUUAAUGAAAUAUUCUCAAAGAACUCAAAAAUUUUUCCCAAUAUUCACAAUCAAACAAACUUGUAUCUAUGUGUUUUUUCCAUUGGUCAUUUUCUAUUUUUUUUAGGCCGAAAAGCUCAAAUCUCAUUUUUUUCAGUUCAAAAGAAUCUACCAUAACAAUAUGUGUCUACUUGUUUAACUUACAAGUAGCUACCUCAGAUAUAGAGUGUGUUUGGAUAGCCAAGUAACGGCCAAAAAUUAUUUGCUUAUAUCACAAAUAUAAUAUUUAAUACACAUUUUUAUCUUUUCAAUUACCUUUUUAUCUCACAUAUAUCACAUCACAAAAAGUGCUACAGUAAUUAUUCUAAAUAGGGAAAAUGAUCGGUUUCAUCCUUCACAUUUCACAAAAAUAUUCUUUUCAUCCCUCACUUAAAAAACGAAGCAAUUUCGUCAUUGACAUUUAAAAACUGAAGUUCUUACAUCCCUGAACCCAAAUUUCAGUCUGAAUCAAAUCACCAAUCAACCUGAUUACAAAUUUUGUGGGUGUAAUUGGUAGAUCACUUGGUUAACUCAACUUGAUAUUCAUGUAAAAUUUAAUGAACCCAAAAAUAAAAAAUAAAAAAUUAUAACAUAAAAAAGAAAGAUUAAUCUUUCCUACAUUAUCAUUGUAUACACUGACGGUUUUAUGUACCGCCAUAUCAUUUCAAUUUAAAUUUAAACACCAAAUUUUAUAUUUAUGAUACGCAUCUAGAUUCGCAAGCGGAUAUACUAAUGGUGUAUGAAAAGAUUUAUCCAAAAAAAAAACUCUAUUAUUCCAAGACAAAGAAUGGCCUUUUAUGUUAUAAUUUUUAUUUUUUUGGUUUAAUAUAUUUCUUUCAAGAUUCAAAAUACGCUUAUAGACAUGGUUGUAUUCAUGUAUUGAGUUAGUAUACAUCAAUAAAAUUCGUUCUUAGAACAAAGUGACAUUAGUAUACACCAAAUCAUAUAAAAUAAACAAUUUGUACCUCUCAACCGCUUCAAAUCUUAACUGUAUUUGUCCCAAACCCCAAAUAUAGUAACACAUAAAAAGUAGACUACUUUCUAAAAUCAGUGGGCGAUCAAAUACCAUAGGAAAAAGCUAAACCCUGAAUACUAUUUCAACAAACUAAUUGUUGUAACUUUUUUGACCAACUUAUAUACAUUGAUAUUAAACCAAAAAAAAUGAAAAUGAAAAAAUUGACUAACUCAAAAUUUUAUAUGUAAAAAAUUUUAAGAUUCUGCUACACAACCAUAACUAUUCUACUUUUAACCAAAAAAAAAAAAAGAAAGAACGAAAAAUGUUCUUUCAAAGGACCAUCUAUCUUCUCUUUUGCAUAUGCUGUCCCUGAAAUUAAGCAGUACGUUCUCUGGGUGCUCCCUAACCAUCAGCACUCAGCAGUCAAAGAGUACUAUUCCACAGCUAACUAGGGCAGGCAGACGACCCGCUUGCUCUGGCCACAGCUUUCAUUUCUUCAAGAAACAUUUUUGGUAUUAUUUCUUUUUCCUAAGUGAUGGGUACUCAUGUACCGAAAUCCGCUAUUUAGGAAGCGUUUGAUGAAAUUAGAGUCUGAAAAUUGAAGUUUGAGAUCUGAAAUGUAAUGUCUGAAUCCAUUAAGUUAUUGAAUUGUUAAAUAUUAAAUCUAAUAUAUAUAAGUGCCUAUCAUAUUUAGUGAUAAGUAAUUAAUUUAUUACUUAAUUUUGAGAACAAACUUUGUCUAGAAAAUUUAGAUUAAUUCAAAUGUCUAAUUUUUAGUUAUUAAACGGUUUGAAUAUGUUAAAAUCUGAUUCCAUUAAUUUUAAUCUUAUAUUAGUUGCAAGAAAAAAUUGGUAUAUAUUAUUAGAAAACAUCCUUGGUGAAAGGAGACUUCCAAGUCCGGCACAUUUGGAUUGCUAUUUUUUGAAAUUUUUGAAGAGAAAUGUAUUGUAGCGAUUUGAUAUAUGUGAAAUUAAAAAGUGAUUGAAAAUUGUGUUCAUAGUAAACGUGAAAUUUUUUUUAUUAAAAAACUAACCUCAUUUGGAUUGCUAUUUUAUAAAGUAUUUUAUAGGUUAAUGUACUCUAUUGAUUUGAUGUAUGCGAGUUAAAAAGAUAAUUGAAAAAUAUGUUUACGAAAAACGUAAAAGUUUUCUAGAGAAUCCUUUGAAAGUUAACUAAAUGAAGAAGGGUUGAUUACCAUUUCUAUGUUGAGACAGGCAAAUGUAUUUGGACAGAUAAAAUGCCAUAGAAGGGGAAACCAUAGAAAUUAAAUCACUUUACUUCUUUCAAAGAUAAUAAUUCUGUUGUACAUUUUCGCUCUAAAACGUGCUUUGGCUGUUCCCAAAUGUAACAUUAAACCCAUGUGUUUUGAGAGUAAUUCUGAGUCUCUGGCUUGCAAAUAAUAUAAUCUGUCAUUCCAUUGUUGGUGUUGACAAGUGGGACUUGGAACUUGAUAAAGUUAGUUAAUUUUAUUACAAAACAGCUAAAAUAAUAAUAAUAAUAAUAAUGUAAACAGCAAGGGCCAUAUUUUACGUGUCAAGUGCCCUUUGGCCUCAAUGAGAUUCCUCUGCAGCAAGCUACUAUGGAUCCCUGAAUCUGCUUUCUUGGUUAGAGAAGAACUGGAAAAAAGAGGCUGUUUUCUGUAAUGUUUGCAGAUUAAUGCCAAUAAUAAUUUCUUUUUAUGGUUACUAGCCAACAAAGUAAGUAGAUAUAUAAACUAAACUAAGGAAGCCUACUAGACAUUUUUAUUCUACCAACCAAUGAUUAAUUAUUAAUUAGAGCAAUGCCCACCUCGAUUUAGCUGCCCCAAAAAGUCAGAAUCCUAUGGAGGAGCUCUUGGCUUCUUCCAUUGCAUGUGUCCACUUUCCCUAGCUACUGUUUCACAUACAUACAUGUGUAAAUGAUGCAUUCCAUUUCUUACUCUCUUCGUGAUGAUGAUGAUGAUGUUGUUGUCUAUUAAUGCAUAAUGCCAUUCACAAAGGCUUGUUUGUAUGACUAAACCACCAAAUUACUACUCAAAUUUUUUGGGAGGAAUUUGUUAAAUAUUUGUAAUGUCUCGAUAUACAUUACGCUCGAAUUGCUCUUGAUAGCAAGAAUUGGGAAUAACUUUGAACUAAUAUCAAUGACUAUGGUCAUUCAUAUAAAAAGCUUUUCUGAUAUGAAGUUUUAUAGUACUUCACAUUCACUCUAGAUAUAAGAAAACUUUGACAAACUUCAAAAUUAUUCUGUUGAUACAUGAAUUCUAGUAUGCAUGUCAUGAGAAUCUUCUUAAACUUUUUCCUUUAGGAGGAAGAAACGUCCUAAGUUGCCAUUUAUGUAGAGGUCGAUGAGGUGUUUGAUCUUGAAUUAUUCUGUAGAACUCUACAAAUAUUAUUUCAUCUUGUGAACGUUAUAUUAUAAUUAAACGUUAAACCAUAACUUCAGAUUAAUGUUUGUGACUAGUUACAAAAAACUAAGAAGGACAUGUCGAUGAAACCCUUGAAGAUGCAUCACUAACUAAAAGAGGAGAAGAGCAACACAAGUGCAACUCUUUUUAUGUUCUUCACUUGUACCCAAAAAAAAAAAAAGAAGAAGGGUCUACCACAAAGGUGGCUCUUUGAUUUGUCUCAAAAGAGAUGGCCAAACAGUCCUAAGAUCUUGAUUGACGUGCAUCAUCAUGUAUGAGCAUAAUGAUGUGCACAGAAGAUGAGAGCGAGGCACAUGAAACCUAGCAAAUGCGCAGGGGUAAGAAAACUGUGGUGUGGCAGUUAAGAGGAGUUAGAAAAGGGGGGAAGGGUUGGGACUUGAUUAGGAGAGAUUAAGAACGUGCCCGGCCUCUGAUUGUUUGCAGGCAUGUCUGUGGCGAGUGGUCCAUUGCACUUUCCCAUUUUCCCAUCAAGAUCCCUACUCUUCUCUCUAUGUCCACCAUUUUUAAUUCUUUCAUACCGUCUCUUCUUUCUUGCUAGCAUUGCAUCAUACUAAUGCAUUUUUUUUUUCCUUUUGAGGAUAAGUUUCCAGCGUUGGAUUCCAGCAAAACCUCCGAUUUGCAUCUGUCACACUGUAGUCUAUACUAUGCUACAACUUACAUUGCAUAGCUAGUAGCCUAGUACAUGGUACAAAUUUAUCGAGAAAUAUACACUUAAUAAAGAUUUGCUUGGUACGCUCUCGAUUUCUAGUGCCCCCACCACCUCGAGGUCAAGACAUCUCUUCUUUUUUCUUUUAAAAAAAAAUAAUAUGAAAUUUGAGUGUGUUUAAUUUCGAUCACUGUCAAGAGUCAGAACACACUUCUAUGUCUUUCAGAAGACGCUUACAAAAUUUCUUACAGAUCACUUACUAACAUAAUUCUCACAUGAGUGGCGGGAUUCGAACAAGUGACCUUUUGUAAGGAAGUAGGUCAUUUUUGCAACUAAACUAACUUGCGUUGGCAACAUUUCUGUUGAUUAUCCAACAUUCGAUUUUCUUAAAAGUAUCAGAUAAACCCCUUAAUAGUAAUGCUAAUAUUUGAUAAAAAUAAAAAUGAAAAGAACAUUGUUGAGGAUGUAUUCAACCACGCUAAUGUUGCUGAAAUUUUCAGCAACAUAAUUCUGCCUCGCCACAUUUUUUUAGGUGUAAUUAUGCUAACACCUUCUUUGUCUUGGGUUUAAUUUUGCCUUUCGGUAAAUCAAGGCGUAGCAGCAUUCAUUACCUAUGUUUGGUGUUAGGUUAACCGAAUAUGACUUUGUUGUUGUGUUUUGGUUGUGGUGAAAAGAUGUUCCCAACAAUUGGUGCUGAUUCAAUUAAAGAAAUAAAAUCAUGCCAAGAAAUCUAAGGUCCCGUUUAGAUUGCAUUUUCCGUCAUUUUUUAUGGAAAAAUUAUUGUAACGAUUUGAUGUAUGUGAGGAAAAAAGGUAAUAGGGAAAUGUGUUCACGAAAAAUGACGAAAUUUUUCUACGAAAAACAGCAAUCCAAGCAAGGCCUAAACAAUCCACUGGGGUAAAAAAAAAAAGUGGGAUAAAAUCAUGCCAAUGAAAUCAUCCAUGUGCUUCCCAGUACUAAAAUAAAAUGCUAAUCAGCUAAUAGCUUGCUGGAACUUAGAGUACCACAAGUCCACAAUCUUUCUUGAUACUCAAUAAUGUCUUCUUUAUCACCCCCUAAUUAUUCUCAAUAUACCAUUUAUGUUGUCCUAAAAUUAUUUGUUAUUCCCAUAGGCCCAGUUAGACUAUUGCCCUUUCCUUUUUAGUGUUUAUUGUGGCAAAGUAGUAUAUGAAAGCAAAUACUUCAUAAUUUUUUAUAGUACUUUUUGAAACAUAAUAUAGUAGUAAAUAAAAAAUUGAUCACAAAGACAUAUAAAGAUUGUAAAAGAACUUGUUUUCAAAAUCUCUAAGAAAUUUUUUUUCCUAAAUGACCCUCAUCCAAACAAAGAUGUAUAAAUUUAGAGCCACCGUAUGGUGACAUGCAUGUGAACGAUUGAUGCUGACUCUCGUCUAAUUUAAGUUCGAGUUGUACAUUAAAAAUUCAUCGAUCUCAAAUUUGAAUUCGAGCUUGAUAAAAUUGAAUCGAGAUUUAAUUCGAUUAGAUCAAAAUUUAAAUUUAUUCGAUUCAUUUGCCGUUCUAGUUUUAUCGUAACAAAAAAAAUUACCAAAGUAAAAGGAUUUGAAAAAAAAAAAAAAAAAAGAAAGAGAGGAGGAAAGAAAAUCCUGCACAGCAAUCAACACAUCAUUUACUCAGAGGCAAAAGUGGGGGCGUGUGACUGUGUGUCGCAGUAAAUGAACAUUUCAUAAUGAUAUCAUAUCCAUCAGCAAAGGUACAAAUAUUUACUAAAACAAUACGAAAUCUGAAAAGACAGCAGUGGCAUUGACGAUAUAAAUCCAAACAUUCAAGGUCUAUUCCUUAAUGUAACCGUCCUCCCAUCCUUCCCCCCCAUUAUUUUGCACGCUUCACCAUCCUUCCCCACUCCCCUUCUGCUAUAGUCCCUUUCACAGAAAAAAAAUGCUGUUCCCGGAAAAUCAAGAACUCGAAAUUCCCACCACCACCUCCUCCUCCUCCUCCACCGCCACUCAAACACUCGAGAAAUGUGAUCCCACCACCGCAAUGAAUGAGCCCAUGAACAUGCUCACCGAUUACUAUGACAUUGAUAGCACUUGCUCCACCCCAUACGUAAGUGCACCCUCUAGCCCCGGCCGCGGCCAGGGUGCACCCGUCACCGGCUUUUACUACAGUGCUCCGGCGAGUCCUAUGCAUUUCAUGCUUUCUACGGCUAUGAGUAGUUGUAACAGUAACGACUUAGGACUGUCUUCCCAACCUGAAGUUUCCCCUACUUCUUCCACUUGCUCAUUCGAGUUCGAUUUCGCAGCCAGUAAAGUUUCCACCAAUGGGACUUCAUCGGCCGGAUCCAUGAGCUCCGCUGACGAGCUUUUCUUGAACGGCCAGAUCCGGCCCAUGAAGCUGUCCUCCCACCUCCAGAGACCUCAAGUUUUAGCCCCGCUCCUGGAUUUAGAUGUGGCUGAUGAUGAAGUUGACGAAAUUGUUAGAGGAAGAGAGGCGAAGAUGCGGGAUAGAUCCUUGCGGAGGAGGACUAGAUCUAUGUCGCCCCUGAGGACUAGCUCGAGCCCAUUCGGGUGGCACGAUGGAGCCGAUUUUGAGGUUGAUAGAUCAGGUGGAAUUUUCGAGGACAAAAAGCAGCUGGCUGCUGCUAAAAAUGGCGAGGAAGAAGAAGCUGUUUCGGGCGAGACGACCCCGUGCGAGUCUGGUGCGUCCUCGAGAUCUUCAUCCGUGGGGAGGAGUUCGAGUAGAUGGGUUUUCUUGAAGGAGUUUCUCUAUAGGAGUAAGAGUGAAGGAAGAAAUAAUGGGCACAAGUUUUGGGGGUCUCUGUCAUUUUCACCUGUUAAAGACAAGAUCAAAAUGGAGAAAUUAAUGCCAACAAAGUUCCCAUCACUUCAUUCUUCUUCUUCUUCCUCCUCCUCUCCUAAGGAUAAAGAUAAAGAGAAGGCCGCUCCCACAGGUGCAGCAACAGUUUCACCUGAUUUGUUGGCAACAGAGUCUGCAGAUGGGAAAAGAGCAAAACACACUGGCGGCCAAAAAGAUGGGAAGAAGAAGGUGGCGGUAAAUGGGGUUGGAAAGAGAAGGGUUCCUCCAUCACCUCAUGAACUGCAUUAUACUGCCAAUAGAGCUCAAGCUGAGGAGAUGAGGAAGAAGACAUUCUUGCCAUAUAGGCAAGGAUUGCUUGGUUGUUUGGGAUUUAGUUCCAAAAGUUAUGGUGCCAUGAAUGGUUUUGCUAGAGCUUUGAACCCUGUUUCUUCAAGGUAAAAAUAAAAAGGGGAAGAAGAUUAUGUAAAAUAAGUUUAAAAAAAAAAUCUAUGAUCAUUAGAUUAGAUUAUCCUUCAUGGGGUUGACAAUUAUUACUAGUUGGGAAAAAAAAAACCGUAAAGUGGGGUUUGUAUAGAAACUUUCUUUUUAAUUGUGCCUUCUUCACUUUUCAGUGUAAUUUUGGGAUCUGCCUAUGUAUGUAGUUAACUCUACUACGAAUUUGAUGGCGAUCUCUUCGUUAGAAGGUUGGAAAUAGAAGAAGUUUGUUGAUUAAUUGUGAUGGAUUUGUUUAGCCAUUCUUGGCAAACUAUUCCUUAGAUCCACAAUUUUCUUCUGUUUGUUGUCUGGAUGAACAAUCCACCAGAGAGUUAGUAGCUCCAAUAAGUCAAAGCAUCUAUUCUUGACGACUAAUCACUUUUUGAUCUCAUCUCUAUUUGUUCAGUUCUUGACAUUUUCUUUGGUAUUUUUGGCACUUGUUUAGUAGACCAUUUUUCAGUGGUAGUUGUAAUCUAUUUGACCAACUUGCUGCAUAAUUGUAACACAAUAAUUUCCCGUGGUUCCCCCAGAGAGACAGCGGUCUCUUUCCAUCUCUCUCAAAAGCAACAAACUUUCUGCUGAGCCAUGAUGCUUGGCAGCAGAUGAUGCACAGGGGUCUGAAAGAGUAAAUCCAUCCGUGUUGUUGCAGAGACGCAUAUUGUUUCAAGAAACUACAAUGAUCCUGUAGUAACAGAAAAUAACAGCUCAAUUGGGGGCGUGGAUGAUGGAUGAGAAUUCUGCUAGUACCUAUUACUUCUGUUUUCAUCCUUUUGUUUUUAUGCCUUCCAAAAGAUUCCUGAACUUAUUGACGUUAAAAUUUGUGAUUAGAUAGAUGCAACUGAAAAGCGAUGUUAAUUCCAUAUGCCAUACCUUUGUCCUAAGGCCAUGCUUGGAUUGUUUGUUUCCGUCGGAAAAUAUUGUCAUUUUCCGUGAUCACAUUUCCCUAUUACCUUUUUCCCUCACAUAUAUCAAAUCGCUACAGUAAUUUUUCCAUGAAAAAUGACGGAAAAUGCAAUCCAAACAUAAUAAAAAGAUGGAAAAAAGAAUGAAAGGGGUUAUCUUUUUCCGUUACAAAGGUGAUGCAAUAGAUUUUCUCCUUUUCUUUUCUUUUUGGGGCAAUUGAGGUCGUGAGAGAUGGCUACAUGAACAGAAGUUACACGAAAGUCCCUAAAAGUUUUCGUAAUUGAAUAGUUUUACCAAUUACUUUUAGAAUUCAUCUAUUUUAGGCAAUUCCUUUAAUCAUUUCACAAUUUUCACUUAACAAUACAAGAAAAAAAGAAACCCUUUUCUAAUUAAUCUUGAUUCCAAACGGAUUAAAAGUUGCCAAGAAAAGAAAGUGAAAAAUACUCUACUAGUGCAACCUCAUUGAUCAAACAUUGAACUGUUCAUGCUGCAUGAUGCAUGGGAGGCAAAAGCUUUAGAGGCCAUGUUAGAUUUUUGAUGCAAUUAUUUGAUGGAUGCUGUCCUAGGUGAGCCCUUGUUAGGUAUGGGGCUAGGCCCCAUCUUCUACAAUUGCAAAAUUGGCUGUGUUGAAUAAUAAACAAAUGUGACAAGGACACGUAGCUGUUUCUGGUUGUAUUUCCAAAGGGCCAGCCUUGAUAAAAGCAUAUGCAUUCUCAGAUUGAUUGAAAAAGAUGAUCAUUUUUGGAUAAAUUAGGGCCUACCGUAAUCCAAUUUGGUUAAUUAUACAAAGUCCAUUUGAGGGAGACGUUGAAAAGUUUCUUCGGAGGUUAAACAAAGCGUUUUGUCUUUGUCAUCUUGAUAUUAUCUUUUCUAUGAUCUUUCUCCAGUGGAAAUAGACCGAUCCUGAUAAUUUCGGAGUUGGCAAGUUUUGGGCUUCUGGACUGACAGGUUGGGAGCAGGAAUGUAAUCGAGUCAAGUCGAGCUCGAGUAUUGCUAUAUUCGAGCUCGACUCGACCUAGCCAAGCUCGAUCGAGCUUAAAAAUUGCAACUCGAGACUUGACUCGAGAAAAUUCUUUUAAGCUCGAGACUCAACUCGAUAAGAUUCGAUCAAAGGUCAAGUCUUAUUAAGUCGAGUCUAAUCAAGCUUUUUGACUCGACUCAGAAAAUGUACACUUAAAUUCAGUAUAAAUUAUAUUCAUAACGGUCAUUUUAUAAUUAUAAUACAUAUAUAUUAUUUAAAUUAUAUAUAUUAAUUAAAUAUAUCCGACUCGACGAGUAGCUCGUCAAGCCACAAGUCACAAAUUCCUGACUCGAACUCGACUCGAAAGUAUAUUCGAGUAGCUCGAGACUCGGCUCGAACUCGAUUUGACCGAGUUCAAGCCAAGUCGUUGACCGAGUUCAAGCCAAGUCGUUGACCGAGCUACUCGAUAGUGGCUCGACUCGCUUACAUCCCUAGUUGGGAGCGCAACUUAUUGCGCAAGUUCUGUGAGGCUAUAUGUCAACACAAUGCAUUUAUUAAUUAAUUAUUACCCAAUACUUUUUUUUUCUGACGUGAGCCGCUCCUUCUAUUUAAUAGUUAAAACAUUUUACGUCUCGGGGGGUUUUUCUUUUAUUAGUACCUUUUUUUAAUUCUUUCAUCUUAGCGAGAUUUUUUUCGUCUCCAACGGUUAGGUAUAGAAUUUGAAUAUUUUCUCAUCUCAAACUAUUUGAUAUAGAAUUUGAGUUCUGAACUUCAUUUCAAUAAUCUUCUACCCGCAGACUCAUUCAAUCAUAGGUUUGGUUAAUGUUCAUUCAAUAAAUUAGUCUCUUAAAUUCUGUUAAUGAUAUCGACUGAUCCAAUAUGCACCAAAUAUAUAAUUAUAUCAUUUUAUUUCUACACAUUAACAAAAGUGAAUGCAAGAUACGUGUUAAAUAUGAAGUUCAACUUCAUAUUGGAAAUAAUUAUAUCAUAUAUUUACGCCCACUAAUGUAUAUAUAUAUAUAUAUAGACCGGCAAUGUAUAUGAUUGAUUAAUCUAUAAAUGCCCAACCCUUGGUCAUGCUACAUCUUCUCUAUCAUUUGAAUUGAGGAGGUGGCAUGAUUUGAUUUUUCUUUUUCCUAAAAUGUGUUUUUGCCAAUCCAACUUGUGGUGUUUUCUCUCCUAAUAAACGCUAAUCAGAAGAAGAAAGCAAAAAGACUUGUGGUGUUUGGACUUGCAACUUGUGCAAACUCAUGCAGCUCCAAAUGGAAGGAUUCUUAAUUGGGCUUUGAUUGGGUCGGUUUGUCUCCCGGAGUUUGACAUGAAGAAGCUUGAUGGAGACAUGGAUUUGCAUUUCUAUUCUAUUCCUUUUCCUUCUCCACUUUUAUGAUGACUAUUGAGGGUUGUUUUCCCUUUUUGUCAUUCUACCAGAAAAACUCUGCAUCAUCAUUUCUUGUUGGUAAAAAGGUUUCAAGUCCACCCAAUAGAAGUGUUUCAGCAAUCCACAAAGCAAAAUCAGAGUAGUUUAUUAAUAAUUGUUUCACACAGAAACACCACUUUCUAGCCCUCAAGGGACCACCCAUAACAUAGGAUGGAUAAAUGUAAUUUUCCUUCACGUAUCUAGAUUUGUCUAACAAGUGUCCGUGGAUACUCGAUAAAAUGUAAUUCAAGUAUAUAUACUUUGGAAAUGUAUAUGCAUUCAAAUGAUACGUUAAAUAUAUGUAUUCACAUGCUAUGCUAAAUAUAAUUUAGACGUUUUAACAAGUGUCUGGUAGACAUCUGUUACAAAAUCAUAUAUUUACGCCAUUAUCUCAUUGAAUUGUUUCUUGACAUAGAGAGGUAUCAUCUUGGCAUCACUCAUCUUUUUGUAAUACUAAUAAAAGAUGGCAUUGAUUAUCUAACCUUUCAAUUGCAGUAGUUUUUUGGUCAAACUUGAAUGAUUUCUUAAGAUGUAUGAUUGAAAUUGAGGAAUUUUACAUAAAUCAAGCAUGCAAUGGUAUGCAAAGAUAUUACUACUAAUUAUUUCUAUAUGCCUCAUUUCCUAUAUUCUUGAUGAAAGAUGAAAGAUAUAACAUGAAACCCCUAAACUACCAACAUAUAAGGUCUAUGUUAGAUGGAUGAUGCUGGAUAUAUAUAUAUAUAUAUAUAAAAGCAAUAUCAGCCCAGAACAUUUUUUGGUUUUAGUACAUAACUACAAUAUUAUAAAAUGGAAAAUGAUAAUUUAUGACUUGCUACAACUCUUACUCUCACAUAUUAACUGUGUACUUGUCACACUAAGGUGGUGAUCUAAAAAAAAAAAGUUACAAAACUAUUUUCCACUUUCAUCGUAUGUCAAAACAGUUUGACAAUCAAAAUGAUUUCUCCUUCAUAGAUAGUUUCUGUUUUUCUGAAAACAAUUCCAAGAAAAAGUAAAAAUGAACACUUGAGAUUGUACUCUCUGCAGGGAUUGGAAAAGCAAAAACAAAUAUAUUGCUGUAGAUUUCACCCAUCCAUAAAAAGGUUGGUCAAAUUCCUAUGUUUGUUACUGCAUCAGAGAGGUUGCCUGCAGAGGUUACGAGGUUAAAGAACAUGUUUCUGGUAAAAUCUAGUACAAGAAGAAUUCAGAAGAACCUUUUCACAAAUUGCACCGAAUAUAUAUAUCAGUACUGACCAAGGGGUCCUUUAGCCAUUGAAAGUCCAUGAAUUCUAAGCCUGCAAAAAGUGCUUGAAAUGAAGACAGUCAUAUCAAACCAAAGCAAAGAAAACAACACCAGACAUAAGAUGAAGGGCCCGAGUGACAGACAGCCUUUGCUUCAUUAUUGUGGCAAUGGCAUCAUUUGCCAGACUAUGUAUGUAUGCAUCAAUGAGCAGCUGCAGCAGCAGCAGCAGCAACAGCUUAUGAUUGUCAUGAUUCAUGGCUUUUGAGUUUGAGCAAAAGAACCCAUAUUUUGGGAGUUCUAUGAGGAAUGUACUCUUUUCUUGGCUAGGACGCAGAGCUGAGCCAGCUUGCUAGGCUCAAUGUCCACCAAGCCAAGCUAAGCAAAGGAAAGGAAAGCAAAUUGGAGACAGUUUUUCACAUUUCUUCUCUAGUUCUUUCCUUGAGGUAAAAGGGGGACCAAAAGAGAAAAAAAAGAAAGAAAAAAGAAACAACUGUAAUUAAAUAUUUGUGUGGUUACGAAGUUAUAGAAGUCGGAUUUUGUUAAUCAGUCCAUCAUCCAAUGACCAUCUCCUCUUCAUUGUAAGUUUUUUAUCAUUUCAUCUUAUCCAACUCUACUGCAUAUUUUAGUGCAGGGUCCUUUGACAUUGUAGUUUCUUGUAUACAACAAUCACAUACCAACCUUUGUGAUUAGGGUUGCGGAAGGAAUGAAGUUAGUAAUUUUGGGAGAGGGAAGGGAGAAUGAAGACGUAAAAACAGAGUCGUAAUGCAAAGUACUAGUAGUAUUUUCUUGCAAUCGAAAAUGGAAGGUGAUCUGAAGAUGUAUGUGACGCUGAAUUCAUGUAUUACUCCUGAGUUGUGUAUCGUCAUACACAACCUAGAAACUAAUAGAGAGUUGCAGGAUUUCGACAAAGUCACCGCCGUUCAGCUUCCCUAAUGUACUAGUGUGUGUGUGUGUGGCAAGGGCACGCAUGGCCCGACUACAAGUGGAGUGGAAAAUCAGCACUACCCAUUCGCUGACUCUGAGACAAAAAGAUCCCAUUUGAUCUUAAGAAACAAUCAACAAAUUUAUCUCUGGCAACUUGACCACUAAAAGGGAGGAUCUUUUGUACUCUAAGCCAGAUGUUCAAAGAAACAAAUCUGGGCUUUUGGGCAAGCAAGUCAAUUGGUACAUAUACUAUAGUACCAUGCCACUUUAACAGAAACCACAAAGGUAAGCCGGUUCCAUCUUUCCGGAAAAUUGUGUGGUUGGCACCUUAGAACUGCUUCCAACGUUGUUCGUUUGGAGGCUCCUAAAAGAUGUUGGCUAAUUAUGCAUACUGCAGACUAUAGUUUCUGGGGCUUUAGCAGACAAAGCUGAUACAGUUCUUAAAAUAUAUGUUAAUAUCCGUUCAACUGAUAUCUUAUUCACCACAUUAUCUGCAAAAUUUCGUUCUGAUUUCUAUGAUAAUAUCGAAAUGAAUAUCUGUACUACCUUAACCAAUGCAGUUGUUUCUUAAAAACUACCCAAGUUGAUUCACCAGGGUAUCCUCAUCAGAUUGGAUACAUCCUUUAAAACGAGAAAAAAGAGCAAGAUUGCUACAGGUGGGGGUAGGAAAUGUCUUGCGGAAGCAGGAUGCCGUCUCAUUCAAAAGUCAAAGUCAUAAUAAGCAUUUCCUACGUUAAAUAUUUGUGUUAUUCCUGCUCGUAAAACUGCAAAAUGUUCCAUUUUUUCCCAAAUCUACCUUCUAAACAUACUUCAGGCAUGGAAAUGCCAAAAAAAGAAGCAAAUUAAGAGUAACAAGAUGAUACAAUUCCCAAGUGUUGGGAAAGCCUGGAUGGCAGACGAAUACAUGAAUACAUCUCCAGGCAACCAGCUUCUACAUGAAUUACCAUACUGAAAUUCCUAUGCUUUCAAGCAUAUGUAGAUAAGAUAUUCUUCUUCAGGAUGAACUCAUCAGCCUUUGCUGCACUUAUUGCCUGCAUCACCAUUAAUCGAGUAAUGUAGAGAUAUCAGAAAACUUUGAAUAUUUUAUGUCUUUGAGUGACAAUUUCAAAUCGAUUAACUAAUUGAGAAGCUCAACAAACUUUUCAUAGCCAGAUACAGAAAACGACAUCCUCCAUAGCAUUUAUAGCACUAGAAAAACCAAUCAUUUACAUGACAUUCUUUUCUCUAUAAAAUUCUCACUGCAUCUUUCCUUUAGUCAUUAUUUCAAAAGAAGCUUUGUCGAUUUAUUGUUCUAAAAGUGAGCUGUGAUUUCUAGAUAGUCAUUGUCGCAAGACAUGAUGUGCAACUAUAAUUACUGAGUGCUAAUCAAAGAAGAAUAAAAGAGUAGCUGCAGAAAAUUUGAAGAACUAACAUAGGAACAGCCCGAGUAUUACCUUAGCAAGCAUACGUUCAAGUCUCUCAAUUUCAUUCUUAGCAUAAUCUGCACCUUUUUCCAAGCAGCUCUUGGCAGCUUUCAGAUAGAUUUUCCCAUAUCUAAACAAAACAAUUUCAAACAAAAAGAUCAACACUGGACUGUGCUUAAAUAUAUAUCCUUUUUCUGAAAAAGGCACGAUCCUCAUUAGAACAUUUAAUCGAAAACUGAUUCAAGCAUAAUUACAAGACCAGACCACAACGUUUGUAAUUUAAGCUUCAUUAUCAAAUGGAAAAUACAUAGGAAUACAAAUUUGCAGAAAAAAUAAGAGAAAAAAUCAUCAUAAAAACCUUGCAGAGGGACCCGUCAAUUUCUGGGCUUCAUCCUCCAGCCGUGUAUAUAUUGACUUCUUCUCCUCAUCUGAAGCACUUACAAACUCCUUCACCAAAAUAUCAAGGGAUUCAACAAUACCAGCCUGUUUUGUAAGACAAACAAAAAUACAAAAUUGGUAUUAGUACCGGUGUUGUGUUACUUUACAACAGUAUGAGAGUUUGCCACUAACCUGGGAAGUUAAUUGUCCUUUUGCAUCACGGCUGGUGCCGGUUCUCUCAUUGAUGAAAGUAACAAAGUCGUCUAAAUCGCGACCACCAUCAUAAUCUUCGCCGGCUUUAUUGCCCUUUGGGAAGAACUUCAAUGUAGGAUAACCACUUACACCAUAUCUGAUUUGGCAAAAUAUUAGCAUAAAAUCUUCUACAAACACAGAAGACAAGGGGUUUUUGGGGGCAGUGGUGUAGAGAUAGAGAGCAUCCCAGUUCUUUGCACAAAGAUGGAUCAACUAGAAACAAUAACAGCAGAAGCAGAAAUCUGAUGGAAAAAUCAAUUGGCUAAGGACCAAAAAUGCAAACAUAUCAAGGACUCACUUCUCAGCAAGAUCUUUGUACUUGUCUGCGUCAACAUUAGCAAUAACCACAUGAUCCUCCAACUUAAAUGCUGUAGCCACCUUUUCAUAUGUCUGCAUAAUAUAAAAAUAGAAAGUCAGGCUUUUAGUCAAAAGUUGUUUGACAGCUUCCAACAUAUUCCAUUAGCUAGUAAUGCACAUACGGGAGCAAGGCUUUUGCAAUGACCACACCUGCAAAAGAUAAAGCAAAAUCAGAGAUGCAAAAUGAUGUAUAAUCAUACUGGACUUCCAGAGCUAUCACACAUAGUUGAUUGGAAAACAAAUUGGCAACCUAAAAGAGGAUUUGCAACAAAGAAAAUGUACCAGAACCUAUAUAUUACCAGGGGGCAUAAAACUCAACCAGAACAUCUUUUUUCUCAUCAAGCACAAUCUCAUCAAAGUUUUCUGGAGUAAGUACCACAACAUUUGAAGGAACUGCAGCUAUCUUGACAUUUGUCCCUACACAGAAAAUGGUAUUCAAUCUUCAUAUGUUGAGCAUAUAUCAUCCAGAUGCGGAUUAAAAAAAUAGCUAGAUAAUAGAUGGAGGUCACUGAAUUUGCAAUAGAAUUUUUGGUAACAUUUGUUUGAAAAGACAAUAGGACAAAAUCUAUCAAACAAUACAGCAUACAACAUACAACUUCAGUAUUCCUUUUGAGAAGGAAAAGGAUAUGUUAUUGAAACUUGUCUAGAUGAGUAUCCGCCCCUCAAUAAUAAGCUUUAAUUAUAUAGCAUCUAAUUUUGAGAUCGAGUGGAAGAGAAAAGCAUUGAACAUUGAACAUUGAACAGGAACACAUAAUAGAAUGAAAGGUAACCAAGCACAUGAACUGAUUUCAUUCCUUCAAGCUGCAGUCAGUCCAUCCACAAAGAAUUUUGUCUUUUAUGAAGUGGACAUAUCUCACGCUCUUUGAAAUUACAAGUUCUUUUAAAAAAAAAAAUUAAGAAUUAGCCUUCCAUGUAUUCCUGUUAACAACUUCUAAUGAUAUAUGAGGCACUUUUUGCACACCUAACACACAAACACCAUGUGUUCGAGGUAAAAAAAUUCUGCCAAUGUUACAGCACAUAAAAAAGUCAUUAGAAUAUUUCAUAUUAAGAGAUUAAGCGUGCAGUAAUAUGUCAGUUAUCAAUUACUUAUUUUUCUCCAAACUGCAUGCAAAACAAGAGAUCAAUGAAAGGCACCUUGAAAUUCAAUGAUGACAAUUCCUUCAAGUUGCUGUAACUAAAUUCGAUGAAUAUGAUAAUCUCUUUAUUCAAGAUGAACAAUCAAAAUUAAAUGCUUAGAAGGGAUUACAACUAAACAUUACUGCAGCUGAAAAAUCCAUGUAUAGUAUAAAUACUAGCUACGAUGCAGUUCAUGUAUGCUCAAGAUCAGGAAGAAUUAAUGCCAAAGUCCCACUAUCAGGUAUUUAAGGUGAUAUUUCAGCACAAUGAAUCCAAAAGAGUUUGGUGAUAUCUUAAGGUGAAGUAAAUUUCUAAUCUUCAUAAGUAAUAUGGAUUGGAUUUUAACAUCUACGUGGAUUAUUAAACAGCUUUACCAAAAUAUGCUUUAACGUAAAUCUAACAAACUUGUUAACAUGGAUUACACUUAUGGAGUACAAAAUACAAGCCAGCUAGCCAAUAACAUUACCUCCUUCACUGUUCACAAACUCAGCAAGGGCUUCUGCAGAUCGUGCACCUUCAUACCUAAGAAUAAAAAUAGAUUCAUGAGGAAUACAAUUGUAUGAACUCAAGGCAUGCCAGUUAUAUUUACAUAUAGUCAACACCAGGACAGAAAUCAUUUUCGCAGAGCAAGUAAAGAAAAACAAAGACCUUUUGAAAACUCCAGUAUUACACAUAUACUCACUUUUUGGGCUCCAAGGAACCUUUCGGAAACCAUUGGAUGGUGGGGUAGCCAGAAACACCAUAUUUGCUGCAAAGGCUCUUAUGCUCAUCGCAGUCCACCUACAACAAUAUAAUUUGACAAAAGUUCAAAAACUAAACUUAUUUUUGCUAUAAUUCACAGCUAAACCAUUGAUUAAUAUUUUUUAAGUAUUGAAAUUAAAUCAGAUGCAACAUAGAAGAUCCACAACAGCUAAGAAAGUUAAACCGACGUUGAUAACAGCAAGCCACCAGAUAGUAAUGGACCUCAGGUUCCACACACUCAAGAUUUUUGUGAUGGAAAUCAAAUAGAGCAUACCCAGUUUGUGAGGAUGAAAAGAUAAAAUGUAAGCACUUUUUCAACAUGAAAUAACCGUAUAUUUUGUCUGAGAGAGUUUUGCCAUAGCAUCUUGCUCUAUAUUAAUGCAGCUGCCAAGGAUGACAACUCCUAAACCAGUGAUCAGAAAAAGCACAAAGAUAGAUGAUUCAUACAAUGGCAAAAACCUUAAUAAUGUACAACUCCAAAAUCCAUUAAAAGAAACACACCACAAUGGCAUGGCAAAAGCCAUGAAUUUUGCAUCAUAUCUGAGCUCUCUACAGCAAUGCAAUAGUAACAUUCCCAGAAGUUACAAGCUUUAGAUUGUACCAACUUUAGCUAAACUACUUAAUAACCCAAGGCAAAUGUUCUUAUCGAUAUAGCAACACUACAAGCCUAGAGUAAAAAAGAGGCUUUUCCCACCAUAUUUGAAAGGGUCAAUGUAUCAUAAAAGAGCUGAAAAGCUAACCUUUCCAAUCAAAACAGAUUUAGCUUUCUUGAAACUAGCACCGAGCUUUUCGUACUCUGGAGCAAGCUUCUUACAGUGCCCACACCUGCAAAUGCAUCACGGGGAGAACCACCAAAAAAAAAAAUUCUUUACAUCUUCCCUUACAGGAACAGCUCAAAAUCACUUCAAAUCAGCAAACAUAAUGAUAUCAAAAAUCAAUCUCGCAUUCCGACACAGUAGUUUUUCAUGCUAGUCCAUCUAUCUCCUAAAUAUCAUACACGGCAACAGACGAAAACUGGCAGAGCCUAUGACUCCACAUAUAAAUAUAAAACAGAGCAAAAUCACAGCAAUCUUUUUCGCAAAGAUCCGAAUUCGACUAUUACAAAAAAAAAAAAGUUCGCGGAUCUAAAAGCAAUUAAAUACAUCAGACUCCAAUUCAUCAAAACCAUCAAAAAACUUACAUCCAAUUCACCAUGACCAAAAAAAACCUCGCAGAAAUUAACAAAUGAAGGAAAUAACGGGGAAUCAGCCAAUCAGGCAUACCAAGGAGCGUAGAACUCGACGAGAGCCCCGCGAUCUUGACCGACCUCUUUCUCAAAAUUCUCUUCAGUCAAAACGACGACGUCGUCAGCUAAGGCCGAUGCGAAGAAGAAGAACAGAGCUAGGGUUACCAAAGCUAUUGAGAUCCGUAGCCUCGACAUUGUUUUCUCUAAUAUAACUGGAAAUUCUCUCCUACUACUGCUACUGCUGCCACUAAAUCGCAGGCAAAGAGUGAUGCGGGAUAUUUCCCAGGUAUGGUUUUAGGCAAACAAGGGAUUGAAGGCUUUUAUAGUUUUAGAAGGAAAAAAAAAGCCAAAUUUUAUAGUGCCAAAAAAAAAAAAAACUGAAGACUUCCUAUCUAGCAGGAGGAGCAAAGUUUGAACUUUGAAGGAGAGAAGUAGAAAACAUGUCACGUUGGCUCAUUCCACCAAUGAGGGAAUGACUAGUGUACUGCUUUUGUUUUCCCUGCCAAUAAAAUUGCAGUAGUGUUUCUGGAAAAAGGAGCAGUUGUUCUUUUUACUUUUUUUAUAUAAUUAAUUUUUUUAUACACUGAUAAUGUAUAUAUUUUUACUAUUUAAUGGUUAUAUAAUAUAUAAUUUAAAUUUAAAUUUGAAAUAAAAUUCAAAUAUUACAUAUGCAUUGUCAUUGUCAUUGUAUAUGUAAGAUUUACUACUCUUAUCUCAUUCAUAAUUGUUAUUAGCGUUUGGCACUUUCUUUUUUCUUUUUAUGAUGUCACUCUUAUUGACUUUACAUAUAUAUAUAUAUAUAUAUAUAUAUAUAUAUAUUUGUGUGUGUGGUUCAAAUUCGAAAAGGUAUAAUAAAAGUACCAUCAUAACAAAAAAAAAAAAAAGUGAAGUACUAUGAAUAGGUUUGUUUGAAUGUCAUCUUAUUUGCAAAAAAAAAUUUUACUUUGAUCAUAAACAUGUUUUUCAAACAUCUCUUUUAUAUCUCCAGUUAUCUUUUUAUCUCAUAUAAGUCACAUUAGAAAAAAGUGUUAUAGUACUGUUUUAAAUAAUUUUUCAAAAUAAUCUCCUAGCCAAGUUAUUUUCCUGUAAGAGAUAAUGACCAAUGGGUAUAUAUUUUGUUAAUCAAAUUCUACUCCAAAUAGGGACCCUAUAUAUAUAUAUAUUCAAAAAAAAAAAAACAAAGUAAAGUAGGAAGAAUGAAGUGCAUGAACACAUGUAGGUAAGGGAACACAAGGUCAUGCACAGAUGCACACUCAUGUUGCGGACGCAUUGGAGUAUGUUUUUAUUUUUUUUCUAAUGCAAUGCAGUUUCUGAUAAAAAGUCUAAUAUUGCAAAUUGUCAAAACGAACUAGCUACUUUUUAUGAAUGCCUUUUUUGAAACUUUUCUUUUUUUGUUCACAACGAUAAUACUCAGAGAAAGCCAUCCAAAGGUGGCGGCUACAAUUAAAUGACAAAUACGGUGGGAGGUAAGGUUGAACCCUGGACCCCCACCUCCCUUAGACUUUACCAACAGCUAUUGCAAUAUGCAAGUCUUUGAAUGCUGUUGCAAUUUGUUGGCCUAUAUACCUUCUUUGAAUGCUAUUGCAAUUUGCAACACUUUUGUACCAGUACAUAAAAACAAUUGUUAUAGCCAUAAAUGGUACUCCUCAAGCCAGGUGUAAGCUUUCUUCUUAACCUAUACAAGAAGAAAAAACCUAAGGGUUGACCUAUCAGUGGUACUGCUUUAUAAUUAUCAAACUAGGGAAAGGCUGCCAAUACAAGAAUGCCUUCUUGUUUUGUCUAAUACUAGUACUAUCUUGUUUACACUAGCAAAACAUUCAUUGGAUCUAAAUCCAGUGUAUAGGAUUUUUUUUAAAUUCUUUUCUUUUAUGGGUAAAUAGCAAUCCUUCAUAAAAAUGGUUGCUUAUUUGCAUCUAACUUCAAAGUAUUAGCAAUCCUAAAUUUUUUUAACCAUGGGAAGGGGUGAGAUUUUAGUUAAGAAGCACGGACGGACAUGAAAGAUAGGAAUUGAACGCAAAACCACUAAUUCGUGGGUUUCAACCUUAACUAUUAAACUAAAAAAAAUUAAUUGUUGUUUUUUUUUUCAGAAUUUGCAGCUGAAUGAUAGUUUCAUAUUUUUGGUAUCAAACUAUGUGUAUAAUAACACAUUAACCUGACAUGAUUUUUUUUUUUUUUAUAAUUAGAUUACAAGGGGUCCAUAAUAGAUGGAAUAACACAACCAACAAAUUGCUAACCCACCAAUUAUCACAAUUCAAUCAAUAGCACUGCACAUAAAUCCAAUCAUCACAAUUCAAUCAAUAGCAUUACAACUGAACCCACAAAAGGGUAGGAGAAGAAACGCACAUAUGAGAUAAUUGUCAUAUUAUAUUCCUGUUUCUUUCUACUGGAAAAACAAUUUGAAAGCAAACCAUCAUAAAUUCAACAAAUAUUAAUAUUGCCAACCCAAAUUCAUUGUAAAAACAUUGCACCAUCAAGAAGGGAUUAACUUAAGGGGGGUGUUGCGAGAAUCGAACUCGCGCCCUCUCGCACCCGAAGCGAGAAUCAUACCACUAGACCAAACACCCUCUCUCCCUUUAAAGAAGACGACGUACGAUUAUUUUGUAAAUCAACGGUCAAAAGUAAAUUAAAUAGCUUUUUUUUUUCCUCCAAAUUUGUACUGCCUCCUCCUCCUCCUCCUUCUAAUUCCCCAAUUUCCCCCCCGAGUGUUCAGGCUGUCCCGUCUGAAUUCAAAUGUGAAAUUAGGGUUUAUAGUACUCCUGUAAUUUGAAAAUUAGGGUUUUUUUCUUGAAAAAGGAAGAUAGUUUAGCAACUUCAUUUUCAAUUUAAGUUGCUGUACCUGGUGAUUAAUUCAUAGUCCGAAGCAGCUUUACAUCUCUGAAGCAUCAAGAGCAAUGGCUCAAUCUAAUAAUAGCGUAAGUUCAAAACCUUAUCAAGUUUGUUUACUUGCAAACAAAUUAUUGGACCCUGUCAUGUAAUUUAAGUUAGUUAUUUUAAUGGAUUUUUUAAAAAUAUUUCAUAUUUUGAUGAUAUUUUUUUGGGGCAGGUCGCUGGAGUUGACAACACUUUCCGCAAGAAAUUCGAUCGAGAAGAGUAUUUGCAACGUGCUCGCGAACGUGAAGAAAAGGUUCUCCUGGUUUUUUUCUUUUUUUUGGGGGCUUUUUCUUAUGAUUUCUCGAAUAAAGUUUUUUUUUUUUUUUGUCUUUUAUUGUAGGAGGCAGAGACGAAGUUCAAAAAAUGUAAUAUUAUUUAGCUUGCCUGUUCUUCAGCUGUGAUAAACGAGUUGGUUCAGCUGUGAUAAAUGAGUAUAGUGUGCUGAUGCACAUUUGGCCAAGUUUUCAAUUCUUCUGCACUUGGUUUAGAUAGUGGCAUUCCAUUCCAAUUUAUUGGUUUUAGGUGCUGAACUUGAAAGUUUUCAUGUGCAGCCAAAGGUCCACCGGUGCAGAGGAAACCCUUGAAGCACAGAGAUUAUCAAGUCGACCUUGAAUCUCGAUUAGGAAAGACUCAGGUUAGUGUCCUUCAGUUCUCUUUGUAAUUGAUUGUUUUGUUGAAAUCAAGAGGAUCUUGGGCUUGAAUUCUUGCUGCUACUUGGGCUUUGAAGUUAUUGGUGUAGGUUAUGUUACUAACUUGCGUUCUUCACUUGCGUUGAGCAUGAAUCAUGAUGAGCUGUAGGUCUAAUGAGCUGCUUUAGUGGACAUUAGGAGUUGCUAAAUAUAAUCUGAAGAGGUAUUUAUCAGCUGUUGUCCAUCUUGUGUUGGAGUUGCAUGCUGAAAAUCUUUACUUUCUCGAUGCAACUGCUUAAAGUUAUGUUAAAAGAUUCAGUGGCUGCUUUGGUGGUCUCCCAUAUUGUCGGUUGAUGGCUGCGUUUUAUCUGUUUGUUCGUCACAGCUAAGUAAAAAGAUUCAGUUGAUGUAGAUAUGGGGCUGAGAUAGAAGUAUCACAUGCUAGAACAAUUUAAUGGGUUCGUAUAUGCUGUUAUAUUUUAGGAUUUGGGGCUGACAUUUCUGUGUACUAGGUUUGCCUUAUUUUAUCAUGUUGCUUCCAUUGACAAUAUGUUAUACAACCUUGAGUUGAAAAUGAACUGCUGCGUUUCUAACCUUCUGUAGCUCCUCACUUGGUUUUCACAGUGCUAAUGCCUUCUGUCUGUGCAUUUUAUGGCAGGUUGUCACUCCGGUUGCACCCCUAAGCCAACAGGUAAUCUCCAGGCUUACUUUCACUAGCAUCAUCACAUUCCUUUGUAAGGGUUGGAUCUGACAUACAACUAUGUUCCUAAUGUCCUUGGAAAAGAACUUUAUAUAUGCCAAGGCAUUAAUACAAUGAAAGGAUUACAUGAAACUGGAUCACAAUUUAAACCUAUUGUUAAUUAGUCCAUGUGUUGUACUGUAUGAGGGUUUCAUGGUUAUCUAUGAAGUAGUAUAUGCAUGUUUUUGUUUCUCAAAAUCUUAAUAGUCCCUAUCCUUUUUCAUACAUUAGUAAUUUUUACCCUUGGAUUUUCAUGACAGAGAUUGUUGUAUUGCAGGCAGGAUACUACUGCUCGGUUUGUGAAUGUGUAGUAAAAGAUUCAGCAAAUUAUUUGGACCAUAUUAAUGGGAAGAAGCGUAUGUGUUCCAUGUGUGUUGAAACUGUCCCUUUUGGACAUUAUUUCUGUCAAUUAAUGUGCUAUUGUUUUCCUUUUAGAUCAACGAGCUCUGGGUAUGUCUAUGCGGGUGGAGCGGGCAUCCCUGGAGCAGGUAAGCUUGUGCAAUCUGUCCUUCAACUUCUUAGUCAUUUUUUGUCUUGUGUUUUAGAAAAGCAAUAAUUUGGCUUUUGUCCAAUGGGGAAAGGGGAAGGGGAUUGGGGAAGAUAGGGGGUUGGUAGGUUUGUAAUUGAGACCAUCUUUGGUGGCUAAUUUUUAUCAUACUUUGCCACUAGAUGUUAUGAACUGUUUUGAAAGAGUUGGUAUGUGCAAAGAAAAGAAAUAACAAAGAUCAACUGCUUAAUGUUAUUCUGUACAAAUUUGAAAAACAUUAUUGAUCUGCUAUGACGACAACUGAUAAAUGUUUAGUUUGAUAAGGGGUGCAAGUUUGCAGCAUUAACUGAAGAUGCAGUUUUUGGACUUCUCUCAGUUGUGUGGUUGAUGUCGAUAUUAUGUUUGGAUUCAUCUCUGGGUAAAUAUAGGUUGAAACUGCAACUACUACUGUUUUUUCCCUUAAGAUUUAUGUGUACAGACAUUUUGUUUUGAGCCGAAGUAUGCCAAUUGACAUGCCAUGCUCUGGAAAGGCUAUUAGCAGGCCUAUUCAUGUAGUGCUCUUGUUUGCCAUUUCUAGGAACUGAUUUUAAUCUUGUAAGUUUUUCUGGAACUGGAACGAAGGUUUUGGCUUCUAAUGCAAGUGCUGAGAAUAUAUAUCACAGGUCCAGCAGCGGUUCGAGCUUCUAAAGAAACGGAAAGACACUGUAGGGUUUACUGAGCAAGGUAAUAUUUAAAUAAUUACUAAUUGAUGUUAAAGUAUUGAAUAAAACGUGUUUCUCUUAGUUAUUAUGCAUGAAUUAUGAUUGUCAGACUCAUUAUUGAUUGUUUCCUUUGUAGACUUUGAUGAGAGAAUCUUGAAGCAGCAGCAAGAAGAGGAGGAAAGGAAGCGCCAGCGCCGUGAAAAAAAGAAAGAGAAGAAGGUUUGUACUUGAAUUUCUGUAGUCUACUACUUAUUACUCUUUUGGUUCUGACCCAUCAUGAGCUUAUGGCGCAUGCUGAUUUGUUCUACUCAGAAAGAGAAGGCUGUAGAAGAGGAACCUGAAUUAGAUCCUGAUGUUGCGGCUAUGAUGGGCUUUGGGGGAUUUCGAUCUACCAAAAAGUGAUGGUGCGCAUGAUUCGUUUGCCUGUUUAUAUCACCUUCACCUGAUGUAUUCCUUUUGAGCUUCUGUCUUACUUUUGAACUGCUCUGAUUGUACAAAAUUGAAGGUUUGUCAUGGAAAGCCUGUGCAACUUGGUCUGCAAACUAGCUGGGAUGGCAAAGGAGGGUGUACUAUGAGAUUGUCUAAUUCUAGUUUAACAGACAGCAAAUCCGAAUGUAACUUGAGUUGUCAAAAUAUCAGCCUGCGCUUGGUAGGAUUUUGUUGGGCUGAUUUGUGUUUGACUUUUGCCCUGCUGCUAUACAAAUCAAAUGCAUUCUUUUGAGCAACUCUCUUGCCUUUUCCUGAUUGAAAAAUUCAGGCCAACUAUUAUGAUUCCAUGAGCAAUCAUCUUCUCCACAGAUGCUUCUGCUUGCAGGUUAAUGAAGUGUAUUCCUGUGCGUUGCAGUUAGUAACCGCGAGACAGCGUUAUCUUAAACUUCUACCACAAAACUAAUCCAGAGAAAAACAAUUGUCCGGUUUCUUGCAACAUUUGUUGCUAAAUUCCCUCAGACACUAAAGAAUCCUAUUCGACAAAAAUUAGGUAAGCAACUGCUUAUAGGGUAGAUUUCCCGUGUUUUGCCACCACUAGUUAUGUUGAAUAAGUUGCUAAACAAAUGAAAAAAUACGGCGAGAACUCCAAAUACGGCAGCAUAUUUGGAGGAUUGGAAUAGUCCCUCGAUAUAUUUAUCGAUUAUCAUUUUACCUGACAUAUUAUAAUUAUAAUAUAUUUUUUAUUAAAAAGAGACUCAAAAAUUGCAAUCUAAAGAGGCUAUAAUAUUCCACAAAAUUGUUCCUAUCAGGGGACAAUGGGACUUUGAGUUAAAUAAUGAAUUUUGCUUCCGAGGGAAAUGAAAUGAAUUUUUCAGUUGACAAACUAUUUUUUUUUGGAAUAUUUUGUUAGUCGUAUUAAUUAAUUGUAAGGCAUUCCACAUAAUUAAGCCAAAAAGGUUCCCGCCAAAAUCCAACCCCUUCUCCUCGUUUCCCGCUAACAGAUCAUGCUGAGCGAGAAAUAGCGCAUGAACAGAGGAAGCGGGAAGGCGGUGGAGCGGAGGCUCCUCCACCUUCUGCACGGCCGGAAAACCCGAACCCACCUCACUGAAAUCCAUGCUCACUUCCUCCGCCACCAUCUCCACCACUCCAACCAGCUCCUCUCCCAUUUCGUCUCCGUCUGCGGCUCCCUCAAUAAAAUGCCUUAUGCCAACCUUAUCUUUCAACAAUUUCAAUACCCCAAUAUCCUCCUCUUUAACUCCAUGAUAAAGGGCUACUCCUUAUGCGGGCCUUACGAAAAAUCCCUUCAUAUAUUUACGGCCAUGAAAAGCCGCGGCAUUAUGCCCGAUGAGUUUACGUUUGCGCCUUUACUUAAGGCGUGUACGAAUCUUGGUGACCCUGAAUUGGGUGAAGCGGUUCAUAAAGAGGCGCUUGUUCUUGGGUUUGAGAGAUUUGGGUCUAUUAGGAUAGGAAUUGUGGAGCUAUACUCGAGUUGUGAGAGGAUGGAUGAUGCAAGGAAGGUGUUUCAUGAAAUGUCUCAUUCAGAUGUGGUUGUUUGGAACUUCAUGAUUCGUGGGUAUUGUAAGAUUGGAAAUGUUAAAAUGGGAUUUCAGCUGUUCAGACAAAUGGAUGAGAGGAGUGUUGUCUCUUGGAAUACAAUAAUUUCGUGUUUGGCGCAGAUUGGGAGGGAUAAGGAUGCUUUGGAGCUUUUUCAUGAAAUGUGGGAUGGUGGGUUUGAGCCGGAUGAGGCGACUGUGGUUACUAUGUUGCCGGUUUGUGGCCGAUUGAGGGAAGUUGAGGUUGGUAAGUGGAUUCACUCUUUUGUCGAGUCAAAUGGUCUCUUUCAAGAUUUUGUAACAGUCGGUAACGCACUAGUUGACUUCUAUUGCAAGUGCGGGGACCUAAAUACUGCUUUUCUGGUAUUUAGGAAGAUGGCCAGAAAGAAUGUGGUUUCUUGGAAUGCAAUGAUUUCAGGUGUGGCUUUCAAUGGCAAGGGGGAACUUGGGGUUGAAUUGUUUGAUGAGAUGACAGAUGAAGGUGUGAGCCCGAACGAUUCAACUUUUGUGGGAGUUUUAGCAUGUUGUGUCCAUGCGGGAUUGUUGCAAAGGGGUAGGGACUUGUUUAGCUUGAUGUUUGGAAAGCAUAGUAUAAAUCCAAAGCUUGAGCAUUUUGGAUGCAUGGUCGAUCUUCUUGGACGUAGUGGUUGCUUAAAAGAGGCUUUUGAUCUAAUAGAGACAAUGCCAAUGAAGCCAAAUGCCCGAUUAUGGGGUGCACUGCUUAGUUCUUGCAGAACUCAUGGUGAUAUGGAACUUGCAGAAAGAGCUGUUAAGGAGCUUAUUAAUCUGGAACCUUGGAAUUCUGGAAACUAUGUGCUGUUGUCAAAUAUAUAUGCAGAAAGGGGGGACUGGGAUGAAGUUGAGAAGCUGAGAGUGUUAAUGAGAGAAAACAGUGUGAUUAAGGUGCCAGGACAGAGCAUGUUUGGGUAAUUCGCUGGUGCAAUUGACGAACUCUUUUGUGAACAUCUGAUCUGUUAGUUAUGGCAGAUGGAGAGAUGCAUAGGCAGCACAGCCAGUUGGCGCAAGGUAUGAGAUGAAUUGAAGAUCAGGCGUGAGAGAUUGGCCCUCAAUGCAUGUGAGUCCGACCCAUUUGACUCGCAACUGCUGGGAGCAAAAUGUUUGAAAAGCAAAGAUUGAACAGAAGAGCAAUUGCAUUGGAAGCCAAUAUUGCUUGACUGACCGAGUAAUUCCACAAAAUUUUCAACAGAAGAAAAUAAUCAAGUAAAAUAGCAGAAUGGACAAAACUGGAAAAUAGUUUGAAUGUUGGAUAUGCAAAGAUGGGAGCAGAUAUCAUGUAGCAAAUUUGAUGAAAAAAAAUGUCCUUUGUCGUCGGCCUUCUUUUCGCCAACUUUUCAUUUUUUGACCAAAAUUUUCAUACCAUAUAACUUUUCUGGUCCCCCCCCCCCCUCCCUAUUGGGUGGAAACAAUUUCGUUUUCUUUGUUUCUAUUAUAUUUUGUGUGGAACUUCUGAACAGAAUACAAAGUGGCUCUUAUGAUCAAGGUCUUUAUCAAAUUUUUGAUUUCCUUCAAUGACACAAGUUUGAUGUAGCUGAUCUUAUACCGGAAGAGCAUUUAUAUUCCAAUCAGAAUAUGGAACUUGUUUAAUAAUUAUAGUUGAACAAAAAAGGUGAGUCUUCAUCUUCUAUACCAAUCUCUAUCUGGUGCAUUUUAUCUGACGAACAGAUGUUGAAUCCCAUAAAACGAGGUCAAAUUUAAUGGUACUACGAUCAGAGUGACUGCAUCUGAGAACCUUGGCAAAUCACUACGCCAGUUGGUAAUUAAUUCAACGCCCCCCGCCCACCACCACCCCUGCAUAUCUUAUACAUUGCAUGGGGCAUAACCAUGUCCAAUUACAUAACAAAUGAUGCCUAGAAUUCUACAAAAUUAAUUAUAGAAUUAAUGAAUAAGUACUUUGCAUAGAAUUUAAUGGGAGAUUUACAUGAGAAGUGAAGAGUUUGAGACGCAUUGGUACCGCAGAAGACAUGCACAUAUCCUUGAAGGAAGAAUCCCAUGAGCCUCGUAAGCUCUAUAAAUAGUAUUCACUAGCAUUCUGUCAUCGCAUCAGCGUACGACCUAGAGAUUUUUGAGUUUGGGUGACCCUUUAUUGGAAAAAUCUGUUGAAGAAGGAAAAGAUGGAAUACAAGAGUAGUUGCUGUUCUUCGAGGAAGUACACCUCCAGCACUCCAGCUGCAACAACUCCGAAGAAGGAACCAACAGUUGUAACGACAAAAAAGGACAUUAAGACAGAGAAGAAGGAGACUGCUGCUGUUCCUGCUGCAAGUCAGGCUGUUCCAGUAGCUAAAGACAUUAAGACUGAGGAGAAGGAGACAGCUGCUGUGAAGCAAGAGCCAGUGAAGGUGAAUGUUCGUGUCCGUGGAGGUGGUGAGCCUUCACGUGAUUAAGUAACUGCAUAUUAUUAUGGGGCCUGUGCCAUAUGGUAGUCAGAUAUAAAAUGAUGAAGUGAUUAAUAUCCUCGUGGAUCUUUAGUAGUAGUAGUUCUGCGUAAUAAGAAUGCUGGUGCAGGUUCCCUCUAUGUAAAAUCCGAUUUUAUCAAUCUAUAUUAUGCGAGUUCUUAUUCUCUACUGCGCUCUCUGUCUCUUUGAAAAAAAUCCUAGAAGUUUAAGGGUGAUUUUAUUCGGUAGGGCUGUGACAAUGAUGUUGUCUAAAAUUUGGAUCUGAUUUGAAGCUUGACGUUGCUUGGUAUAUUGACUGAGAAGUUGAAACACGAGUCAGUAUGCAUAAUCAACUCCGGGUUGGUUGCAGCUGAUGCUGUUGCCUUAAGAUUAAUAAAAGGAAGUUUGCGCUAAAUAUGGUGCAUUUUCUUGAUGUGAUAGCGUUUUACACGUAUAGAAGUGUAACUUUUAAGAAGAGCAUACAUGCUACUCCACAUAUUGGACAUUUUUAAUGAUGAUGCAGAAGCCAAAAAAACCAAAGUGCUGUGACGGGUAAGGCAUGGUAUCUGAAGGUAAAGUGACUUCUGCUUGAAUAACUGAUACCACCAUGUACGCAAGCUGCCAAAAAUUUGCCAAAAAUUUUUGCUUUCGUAAGAAAAUGUCAGAAAAAAAAAAAAAAAUGUACGCAAGCUGCCACAUCAAAGAUAACUACGAAUGAUAAAAAAGGGAAGAUGUCAUAAACUUGCAACCCUCUACAGAUCUUUAUGUCACUGGAUAUUACUCCAAAACAUCAUUUAAUUAUAAUGGACAUGAUUGAUUGAUUACAUUUGCUAACUGGAGCGAAAUGCUGUGCUACUUUAGUAGAUUAACUCCUAUCAGUGUACCUACCUCUUUGAUCAGUACAGCUGUGGCGACCCCACUUCCCCCUAAGGCGAACCAAAGGGUUGGCGGGCCGUCUGCCCAGCUCUCGCCAGGACUCACGCAAGCAAACCGAUCAAAUAAUCCGGUAUAGCCUAAACUAAAAUACAAUUCGCCAUCGGACAUGCCCAACUUUAAAUGGCUGGAAUGUUAACACACAUUAACUUCAGAGAUAACAGGGCCAAUAACAUCCGAACCUUCACUCUUAAGAUACAACUCAAACUACUUUAACGCAUAGAUACCUUUAUACAUUACAAACCAAGAAGUGAAAUCAUAAAGUAUAGAACACUUCCGUACAAGUCAAAACAUAGAAUUUGCACUUUUCCAGCUUCAAGUGACAACCCAAACAAAGACACAAGAACAAUCCGAAAUAAAAUUUACACAAAUGAACAGAUGAGCUUCAAGUCUCUCGAUUUCCAAGACCUGUUAAGGAAAAACAAAUAUCGUGUGGUGAGCUAAAGCUCAGUGGUGCCCGAAACAUGCAAUCAAAUCAAUUACUUAGCAAAUAGUAAUUUCAACUUAAAUUCAGCAAGUAGGAAAGCGUGUAACAGCACGUGUAGGAUACAUGGGCUCUCAGGAGCCAUUUUCCUUGCGCUUGAUCAAAACUACCCGCAGUUGACCCUCCAUCAACUUUCACCAUCUAAAGUCCAUGUAGAUUCAUUAUUGUUAUUUUUUUAUUAUAGACUAGUCGAGGGAUUCACCCAACGACGUUGCGUCCAGCAUGAGGUUAUUAUAGACUAGUUGAGAGAUUCACCCAGCGACGUGGCGUCCAGCAUGUUGUUAUUAUAGACUAGUCGAGGGAUUCACCCAGCGACGUGGCGUCCAGCAUGUGGAUAGUGCAAGCAGAAUAUUCACGAAAAUAUUUCAAGCAAGCCACCACUCGAAAGAGCUAGUGCGAUAAAGUACACACUGCCCACUUCGAUGGAUCAGAAAACCACUUUUCCAAAUCAUCACAUUUUAAUUCAAGAAAGCACUUUAAUCACGUAGGAAUAGAACAAGCAGGGACACUCACAAAGAGUGAAGUUCAGAUGUCAAGUUGGGAAUCGAAUUCCGCGUCCUCGCAAUAUCCUAAAAACCAAAUUUUGAAACUAUAAGUUCUCUAUUCAAUUUUUAAGCUUAUUCGUAUAGAGGAUUAUCUAAUAUAUUACUAGUUUACUUCCUCAAAGUAAUUUCAAAAAUCUACUUAGGUUGAGACUUGACAAAAGUAGAGAAAAUGUUUCUUAUAGUUUUCCUUGAGAUAUUUUUCCUUAUAGAAGGGUAACUAGUAUUAUUUUCUUGAAAUAAGUCGACAAUCCACUAAGGAUUAAAACUGGUAAAAGUAAUAAAAUAUUCCGUAUAGUUUCCUUAUAUUACUUUUCUUUCUAAAGAUGUAGCUAGAGCUGCUUUACUUGAAUAAGUUUGCUUACCGAACAAGUCUUCUACGCCUUUUGUUUAAAACUAUUGAAAUCUCACGUUUUUAACGAGUUUCUCAAAACAACUAGUCAGGGGCAGCUUUUAUGGAAUGAAAAGAAAAGUAAGCUAGUACCUAGGAUUUUAAAACAAAUGAAAUCAUUUUCUAAGAAAGGUACUAAAGCUAAUUUAAGCUUAAGAAGGAAUCGUCGAGUCGGCAAAGUUUAGAAAAUCCUUACGCAAGAGUUUCUACUUAAAAGUACAAUACUAAGUUUUAUCGUUUAAUGCCAAGCACAAGCUAUGUUUAAGUAAUUCCCCUGAAACAUUCUCGAAUUCACAGGGUCGAAAUGAAUUUCACAAUUUCGAUUCCACUUCGAAAUCACAUUGUAACUCAGGUUUGCCAACACAUCAAAAUCACAUUUCAAUAGCAAGUCACUAGGGCUUCGUCAAUCAUUAGCCCUAGGUUUCAAUAGAUUCAUUUCUGAUCAAGAAUAAAAUAAAUGACCAAGGCUUCGUCAAUCAUUAGCUCUUGGUUUUGGCAAUUUCAUAUCACCUCACAAUUGAAGCAAAAUAAAUAUAAAGACUUCAAGUAAUUCUAGCAAUUGAUUUCAUCACGCUUUAUCACUUGUAUAAAAUCAUUCAAAUGGCCGAGGGCUUCGUCAAUCAUUAGCCCUUAGCAUCCAACAAUUAUUUCUCACAGCAAUUAAAGCUAGCCUUUCAAGCGUUUAAAAUCACUAACCAGUAUAUGGACGUAAGGCAGGAUUGGUGACAAUAUUUUCAUCCAAGACCUCAACAAAAUCUCAUUACACAUAAUCGAAUGCAGAUUAAACAUUUCACCAAAGUUAUUUUCCAAAAUUUUCCAUUCCAAUACCGAUCACUUUAUCACAAUAUUACAGUCAUAGUAAAAUCAAGUUGUCACUCCAAACUAUACAAGUAAGACUCUCUUAAUAUAGCUUCAAGUGAAAUCAAUGAACAUAAGAUAUUUUACAGCUCAAAACAGCAUUUUUAGAACUAAAAUUCGCCACAAGAAAUCUGGAAAAUUCCUUUACUACUUCUAUCAAUUCAUUUGGGAAAUUUUCCAGGUCUAUACUUCCACAUUCUUAGUUCAAACUUCCAUCAUAUCAAAUGAUUCAUAGUUAAACAACUUAUGCAGCUUAAAACACAUAUUUCUGAUGCAUUUCAAAACCAUGACACCCUAAGGAAAAUCCGGAAACAGGUUAAAGUUCCAAAAAGAAAACAAACUGAAAUUUCUGCUCAAGCCUCUCGGCUAUCAAGAAUUUUUCCAGCACUUAGGUGUUUAUAAAUCCAACUUUUCCUCGGUUAAAACAUGGUUUUAGAUUCUCAAAUUCGUCAUGUGAACCUUUGGCUAGCUAAUUAACAUUUCUGGUUCAAAAUCGAAUUCGAGUAACAACUACAAACAUCCCAAAAAUCCAGAAAUUUGUCCAGCUAGUCACGGAUGAGCAUGCAUGAAGAAAUUUUCUGUUUUCAUUUUAUUUUCUUGGUUAGCCGAGCUACUUAGCCUCAUGCCAGACUUAAUUACCUUAUUAUUAGUGAGGUAAUCACAUUCACCAGUUCAAAUUGUUACCAAAUAAACAGAUUAGUGCUGCCUUUUCAUUUCAGCUACUCGGCAGUCCAUUUCUUUCCAAAUCAAGGUUUCUUAUGCUUCUAAUUUAAUCAUCCAAUACGCACAAAUCAACAUGCAAAGCCACCUAAAGAAUUUACUUAUCAUAUCCAGUUCAAAACAGGUUCGGUCAGCAGUUAUAAACACCCACAAAUCCAGAAAUUCCUCCAACUAUUCUCGGAUGAUCUUGCAUGCAGCAGGUUUUCUUGUUCAUCUUUAUUUUUCUGAGUUAAACCCGUUAAUUAGCUACAUGCAGAGCUUAAUCAUCUUGAAAUUUACUAGUUAAUCAUGGUUAGAGGCUCAAAACAGCAAAAUUAAACCAAAUGAAGCGGCAUUAAACCAGUCAGACUCUCGGCAGAAACUUUUACUUCCAAAACAGAUUUUUCCACAACUUUGAUUUCAUCAUCCGACUGCACAAACAACACAUGCAAGCUCUGAUACAGCUUCAUCUACCAGCAAAUAGCUAUUUUAAGACUCGAAUUUACCUCAGCUAGGAACUCAGCUCACGCACAAGAAAGCUAUGAAGUUUUGCUCUCUCAGCUCGCGCACACUAUUUGAUCCUGGUUUUUGGUUUGCAGCUGGAAUGGUGUUGCGGUGAAGAUGGUUGCAGCUGGUGGAGGUUGAAAAGAAAACGGAGGAGACUCACGCACGACCUCUCCCUUUCUUCCUUCAACUCACGGUCAGAACCAGAAAAUUUGUUUUGCAGCUCGCGGAUUCCCCUCUCUCGGUUUGUAGAGUGCGGCUCUCUCUCACUCCCUCCCUUCGUCGAUGGUAACAAGGCAGAGUAGGAGUGCAGUGGUGGUUUGUAAUAUAGUAAUGAAGAGGAAAAGGGAUGGUGCCGCUGUUUUGAGAAGGGAGGUUGAGUGUUGAGAUGGUAAAAAAAUUUCUAUUGGCCGGAUGGUGCGGUGCUUAGGAGUUAGGAUGCUGUCAGAGGGAUUGUUUGGUUUUGCAUGGAAAUGUUGGGGUUGUAUGGGGGCAUUUUAGUCUUUUCAUUUUUAUUCCUAACCUCUACUUAAAUUCUCAAUUCUAAUUUAAUUCCAAAAAUUAUUCCCAAGUGUGAUUUGAACGCCUAAUUAUACACUAGUCAUGCAAGACUUUAAUUAUCGUAACUUCAUGCUUUAAGUAUGUUUCGCAUACUUGUAUUAUAUUUAUCUAAAAUUCAUUGAUUUCGUCUUAUCGUGAAAAAUUUCCUUUUAACAUAUAACGCUAGCAACUAAUUAGAAUUAAUCAUUAAAUUUCAAGUAAUUUAUUUUAAGGUAAUAAGAUUAAUCGGCUCGAGUAUCAUUAAUUUAGCAUGAAGGAAUCUAAAUAUUCUAACGUUUUAGAUUAAUUUAAUUUUAAAAGUAUUAAUUUAAUCUAUCGAAGCAUAAAAAAAAUUCAUAGUUUAGUAAAAUUAUAUUAUUUUCUCAUAAAAUUGUUUUUACGUACUUAUCUGCAAACAAGUGAAAGUAAUGCUAAAAUUUAUUAAAGAAUUAAAAGAAAUGCAAAUGAAAUAUGCACUUGCUUAUAUCCAUUUUUGGGGUUCUCACAACAGCUGCAUCCAGAAUCAAGUGCAUUGCUUAUGUCUUGAGUUGUGGCUUUAUUGUCGAAUAGAUAGUUAGGAGCCAACUUGUCAAUGCACUUCAGUAGCAGCUUGGUCUCCAAAAAGCAAGGUCCUUUGCAGAAUUUCUCUGUACUGUUGCUUGGGAUGUAUAUGACACCACUAUGGUUUAAUCUAUCUGCUUGAUCACAGCCAAUAUAAGUCUGUUUCAGUCAUAUUCCAGAAGGAAAACAAAAGGUAGUUAGAGGGAGCCCUUCACCCCUUUAAUCAGCAGAUAACAAUUGAUCUUUAGAGAGAGAAAAAAGACACACCAAAACAUAAAAGAAAGGAGGGGGGGGGGGGCAAAGGAAGCCAGGGAGGUCUUGUAGAUAUGCUUUAUUAACAUGUUACUCACUACUUUGUUGUUGAAGCACAAAAAGGUUGGGUUAUUGUCUUGAUUUGCAUCCUGUGUAUGCCCUGUUGAUUGUUUGUAUAAACAAAAAUGUUCAGGAUUAUUGUACAUAGGCAGAUGCCCACUGAUGGGAAAUCAGCUAACAUGAGAACCGAAGAAAAGAUAAAUCAGUUGCAGUUGUUCAGGAAACACUAUUACCUAAGUUGCAGCAGGAAAUAGCCAUAAAUAGUGAAAGCAUGAAGCAUCUCCAUCUCACUGAAAAGAUUGAGACUAUCAAGGAUGUAAUUAAAUAGACCAUUGUUAGGAUGCUAGAAUAAGGAAAAUGGACAAACUUUCAUGCUAUUUUUGGAAUUUAAAGGAUGGUUGGAGGAAAUAUAGAUGAUGUUACUCUAUGCUUUGAUUUCCUGUCAAUCAAUUAUGCCACUUGGAAAAAUUCUAUGGAAGAAGAGAUAUAUGUAGUCGAUAUUUUACACAACUUACCUGUAAGGAAAAGCACAUAUGGAGACAUAUGGAAUAUGAAUAAGGGAGUUUGGUAAUAUUAGCCACCAACUUCCGCACUUGUCCCCAAACGUUUGAAAGGAAGGUAAACCUUCUAGACUGGAUAAAAUAUUCCAACAUUGUCUCUUGAUCCUUCUAUCCAAGUCUUCUUCUUGAGGAAUUUUUUUUUUUUGUCAGAAGGAAGUAACAUGCCACAGUAAUGAUAUGCAUCGUGGGUAAUGAUUAAUACCAUAUGUACGUAUAACUUCCAAUUAUCCAAUGAAAACUGAUGAACUCAACCUGCCUCUUCUUGGCUAUGGGAUAUAGAGUUUCACAAGCUAUAUUGCUCUCUUAAUGUCCCAAAUCUUUCGGUCCCUGGAGAUUUUUGAGAUUAGGUAGUUCCCCAAAAACGACAUCAUAACUUCAAAGGUACUCCGUAAACAGAUUGUUAUGUGCUUUCGUCUUUGAGAAUGCAUGAUUCCCGGUAGCGUCCUGCUGACUCUGUUGGUGUUUUCUUUCAGCAUUUUAUUGCCCAUAAGAGAAACAAUUAUGCUCUUCUAUCUUUAUUCUGCAUAAGGGAAGUUUUCACUUCCUUAUGCACUAUGGAUGUCCCAGUUUCUGAGUAAUUCCGGCUUUCUAAACAGGAUGGCCGUACAGAUUUCUUGUUUUGGAACAUGGCUCUCAAAUUUCAAGAACCAUGAAAGGCCGCAUGUUUAACAGGCAAAUUUCCGUUGUCCUUUUGAGAAAAAUUGGUGAAGAAAAAUAAUAGAUGAUGCCUCUUCUAUGCCAGUUCUGGUCCAGAAAGAUAUUAGUCCUUUCAAAACCUUAGAUGAAAUUUAAUGGAAAUAAUUCUGCAAGGACUUGAAACUGUUCAGAUCAUCACCCCUUGUAUUAUUGGAUCAAAGUAUUGGCUCUCAGCAUGAGGUAAAGUGACAUAUUUUUUCUGUUAUACGGUAAGGUUCAUGAGAACACUUACAGAGCAGUGUGAUCAUUUUCCCAUUAAGAUUCUCACAUUCUGAAAAAUAAAUCAAUACCUCCACAGAAAUGAUACUUUAUUUGAAUGCCUCUUAUAGAUAACAAGUUUUCUGAACUCCAGAACUCUUAAUUGUAAGCAAAGCAUUUUUUGUCAGGACUCAGGACUGAGGCCAUGGCAGGGCCAACAGUACUCAAGGGUUGCUGAGAAGCUACGUAGAGCCCAGCACAAAGUAGAAAUUCCAGCUCCUAACUCUGGCUACUUCAUGCUUUCUUGGUGCCAAAUCUGUCAACAACUGCUGGGAUGCAUGAUAUACCACCAGCUAAGGUAGGAAUUCCAGCUGAGUUGUAGUUUGGCAUAUGUAGCUUGACCAAAUUGCCAAAGUAAAGUUCAUUGUCUUUUUUCCUAUAUUUUACAAAGUUAAACGAGUAAGAUGGUUUGCUUAGUGUCAACGCUCGGCCGGCCGGAAAUUCGAUGAUCAAACCUUAAUAUUUAUUCCACCGAUGAGAUUAUGGAAAUGAAUAAGAGUAUCUGGAUCUUUACAUGAAGAAAAGCUGUUUGAAGGUUGAUUUUCUCACAGAAAGCUACUCAUGUAAAAAUAGACGUAGUAAUAGAAAGAUUGCAGAUAAAUGCAUGAAAGAUGAAACCAGUGCAUGCAGCUGAUAUAACUUUGUAGUCCACAAAUCUAGAAUACAUUUUCCAGCUCUGUACUUCCCCUCCCUGCUGUUUUAUUGAGACUUAAACAUGUUGGAAAAGUAACAGGCAACACCCUCCUAAUAUGAAAGACAUAGCAUAAUGUUGAAACCCGAUUGGUGGAGCACUGCUAUAGAAAUUCAAACCGCAGGAUUCAUGUAGUCUAUUCAAAUCAUCUCCAACAAUAAACGUCUCUGCGAAAAAAAAAAAGAAGAGACAGAGAACAGAAAUGGGAUGCAAAGGUCAACAAUUUCAUUACCUCGCUCAAAGAGAAGAUAUCAAACGCAAUUCAAGUACAGAUGAUUUUGCUUCAUAAUUAACGAUCUACCUCUUUGAUUACUGUAUCUACUACAUCCAGUAUCAAGUGCAUUUCUGAUAAACUGAGUCGUGGCCCCGUUCAAAAACAGGAAGUUGGAGGCCAUCCUAUCAAUGCAUUUAAGCAGAGAUUUAGUCUCAGAUAAGCAAGGUCCAUUGCAAUAUUUAUUAGAGCAUCCAGCUCUUUCUUUGAUUCUGCAAACCUUUCUUUGUCAUAAGCAUCCACGAGAUAAACAACUGCAUCCACCUUCACACCCAAAUUUGCAUGUUAUACACAUGGUAUUGACCAAUUACAAUUUGAAAAGUAUUCCUAAGCAAGAAUCUAACAAAGAUAAACUGCUACAGAAAUGGGAUAGAAAAACCAACAACUUCAAAUCAGCCAGGUCCUGAGAAACAAAAGCAAGAUAUAAUCCAAUCCUAUCCACAACUCAAUAGAUUUUCUUUGCCUCUUUUAUCAAAAGAACAUGUGCAUGAACAUGAGCUAGCUACAGAAACUAGUAUAUCACCACCAGAAAAAGGAAUGCUUGACAUGUCAUGCAAAAUAUGAUCUAGCAACACCAUAAAAGCUUAAAAAAUGAAGACAUAUCCUAAGCCAGAAUGUCAAAGGAGAAGAACAUUAGAAAAGAAAACAAAUCAUGAAAUGCUAAAUUUUGCACAGCGUCCUAAAAGAUUUUGUGCUACACACUUGAAAAAUGUCAGCAGUCCAAGCCACAAAAUCAGGUGCAAACACAAUAUGGCAUCUAAGAACCUGCUUUAACCUUCAACCUAGUAGAACCUGACAACUUCAAAACUUUCUGUAAGUGCACUCAACAGCUUAAAACAUACACUCCAGAUCAUAACAGUUCAAAGUCAAAUAUGCUGAAAAAGUUCAUGUAUUGCAUGCCAUCAAGAAGACCAUUUCUUCCAUCUGUAUUAGCAAGAUUGUUUAUUUUCUAACUUCAUUAAAAAUAAACCUAUAUCCUCAUCAGACACGAGAAGUUUCAUAAAACAUCAUAGAUCCCUCAAAAAAGCUAUGUGAUACUCUUUGUUGCAUUCAUUUUCCACAUAUAGAGCCAAAUAAAGGAACCAAGAGUACUUUAGGAACUGAUAAUUAAUAAUCUAAGGUAUAAUUUCUAAAGGUAACAAAAUAAACCCAUAAAAAAGAUAGAAACAACAUUUUCACAGCGAAGUUAAUAUUUGUCGGGCAAGGUACUAUUGAAACACCUUCUGGAAUAUAAAAGGUAUUAUCAGCGAACUUCCACAUCGAUAUUGGCCUCCCAUGAAUCAAAUAAACAUAGAAAACGUUCAUUUGGGAUUAAUGAAGGCACUUAAACAUCUUGGCAAAUGAGAGAAAGCUCAUUUAUCCUCUAUAUAGAUGGUUCCCAUUCAUUCUGUUAGAUGCCAAACUAAUAAUUCUUCUCUUAGGUCCCCUACACCUCGUAUAUUAGACUAAAGCACAGCCAUGGGGGGAAAAAAGGAACUUUCAUGUAAACCUGGAAAAAAAUAGUACAACCUUGAAAUAUUCAGAAUAAACUGAUAAAAAUUGUUGAAGUAGGUAUAUAGACAUUGCUAAGCAUAUAACAAGGUUCACUACUAUCUGAAGCAUAUUAAGGCAAGUUUUUUAUUGAGACUUCAACCAGCAAAAGACACAUUAUAAAACCUGGUUCUUCGAAAAUUAAAAGGAUGGACAAGGAAAAAAACAAGGGGGGAAAAGAAGCCAAAGAAACACGACAAAAGAAAUUCGCUCCACAAAUAGAGCAUCCCAUGCUGAAGAAAAUAGUACUUUGCCCCAAGAAAAAAAACUUAUCAGUGAAUGCUAGAGUGGAACUUAAGGGAAACACACAGAAGGGGAUAAAAAUUGGGCUAAUAUGCAUCUAACGGAAGGCGAAUUUAGAGGGUGUGAAAAUAGGGCUGUGAAAAUGCUUUUAGAGGGUGUGAAAAAUUUAGCAGCGUUUUUCACACCAUUUUCUGGUCCAUGUAUAAUCUAUUAUGCUAAUAUGCAAGGGAAGCUCGGGAAUGGAAAUGCUUAUUAUACUUUUAUAUCAUUUUUUAGAUACAUGGACUGACUUUGUUACAUGAAAAUUAAAAUUGAUGUUAUAUUUGAAACCACAACGAAGCCAACUAAAAUGGUCAGAAACCUCAAGGAAGGUUUGUGAAAUAAUCCCAAAAUUUGAUCAAGAAAAUAGAAAACCUAACAAAGAUAAAACACAAUAACCCAAUACAUGGGAUUUGCGCUUCAAUCUUGCACCUAAUAUCGCAGCCAAAACCAGUAAACAAAGAAGGAAAAAAGAAAUUAUACCUUGGCAUAAUAAUCUUUCCAGACUCGGCGAGCGAUCUGAUGGCCUCCCAAGUCAAAAGCCUUAAACUUAAUUUGGCCAAUACUCAGCUCCUCAGACGUCGGGUACUGCGUUGGCUGAUGUUGAACCAAUCUCUGCCCACAAAAUGCAAAUAAUUCAUUCAAUAUCCAAAAUCCCUUUACAUCAAAUUAGUACUUUCAACAAUUCCCUUCUCCACGUGCAACAAAAUCCAAGAACCAAAAAAGAUAAGCAUUAAUCGAGUGAAACACCUUAGGAAACCUAUUACCACCACUCCCAACUAUAUUUCUCUAAAUUACAACAACAAUUUUACCAAACCCACAAAAUCAGCUCAACAAAUCAAUGAAUCAAAGGAACCCCGCAAACAAAAGCUAAAUUCCUUUAUUCAUCUCAACAAUUAUAAGUUAACAAACCACAAAUAUUGUACGCAUAAGGAAAAAGAAUGGAAAAGUUAUACCUCAUCUUUCAACAUAUGAAGCAAGGUGGUUUUGCCGGCAUUAUCGAGGCCCAGAAACAAGAUCUUAGCCUCCUUUUGCCACAGUCCUAGCGAGGCCAAUAUUCCGUAGAACCAAUCCAACAAAAACAUCUUCGAAUCCUUGUAAUUAUAAUUCACCUCAAAAUUCCUCAAUUAAUCACCCCCAAUUUCCCUAAUCCACCUCCGAUCCCUACAAAAAUAAACCUCACCAGUCGGAUCGAUGGACGACAACAGAAGAGAGAAUCAAAGAAAGGCGAACUUAGAGGGUGGGAAAAAAUUGGGCUAAAUUUACUGUGCGCUGAUUUAGAGAGAGAAAGAAAGAGAAAAAGGUGGGUUGGUGUGGACGGGUAUGGUUAUUUAUAGAGGGAACCCUAGAGUUAUUACCGUGCACUAGCGGACAGAAGAUGCUGAACUCUGGUAUCAAACCGUUGCCUGUUGGGUAUCGGAAUCAACAUGCUAUUGUACAUGAUUCCUUUUUUUAAUUUUUAUAUAUAGUGCAUGCACCAUGAGGCAAUAAUAUCUAAAACAAAAAAUAUAUAUAUUAAUAUAUAUAUAAGAAAUAAAAUCUUAAAGUUAUUUGAUGAAUCUCUCAUUUUGUGCUUUAAUAAAUUUUUAAUUAUAAAAUUUUUAAUUUAUUUUUGUUAUCGAUGAGGCCUAAGUCUAGUCACAAAUUAGCUAAAGCUGAGACUGAAUUAAUACUAAUUUUAAAAAUUUUAUAACAAAAAUAAUUUUGCUAGAGGCAACUUAUCAAAUACUAUCUUGAAGAAUUGCAAAAAAGACUUUGGGUACUUGAUUUCUUCUUUUUUUUUUGUUGCUUUUUAAGUCAAAGGUGAAUCUAGGAUUGCUUAUCUCAUAUAUUUGUGAGAAAUAAAAAAGGAACAAGAGAAAGAUAGCAUCAUGGUGGUUGUUGGUGCCUUUUUCUUUUUAUUGUUCUUAUUGAAUUUCCUAAUCUUGGUACUAGUUUAUUGUACUUCUUUUGGCUAUAAAUUUGUUUGGAUAGUUUAUUAUUUGUACAAAUAUAUUUGUUUGCACUACAAAUACAUUUUUUUUAUCUUACUCGUAUUACAUUAAAAAAGUGUUACUGUGGAAUGGUUUGAUUAAUCGUUUAUUAGCAAAAAUUAUUUGCUUGCAUAAUCAAUACAUUUUUCAACUAUUUUUUAUCUCACAGAUAUUAUAUUAAAAUUGUGUUAUAGUAUUUUUCUGAAAAAAUUAUCUCAAAUAUGUAUUUGCUUCUAGGUACAAAUUUGUUUAGAUAGUUUAUUAUUUGCGCAAAUCUAUUUAUUUGUAUUAUAAACACAUUCUUCAACUAUAAUUUUAUUUCGCAUAUAUAACAUUAAAUAAGUGGUACAAUAUUUGUUUUUAAAAUAUUUAAGUGUUGAAUUACGCUAUCAAACAGGACCUAAGUUUCUUUUCAUAGUUCCGCGCUUUCACUAUUAUUUUUUUUUUUGGUCUAGUCACGCUUUCACUAUUUGAUUAGCACAAGUGAUGGUCUUAUUUUUAUCGAUUUGACUAUUCAACGAAAAAUUAUAUGGAAUAUUUAAGCAAGUGUUUUUCAAAAGUGAGUCCGCUCUAUCAGCUUUUAAUCCACUAAAUAUCAAGAUUUAAUACAAUUAAGUAAGUGUUAUUAGUGUUUAUUCUUUGUUUAACAAAUCAAAUGACUUGUCAACUAGUACAAGAAAAAUACAGUAAUCUGUAUUUGUACAAUAUCGCUCAAAUGGACAACAACAAACUGAGAAUGUUUCGAGGGUUGUCAACUUCACAGAAAGUAAUCAAGAAUCCUGCUUUCAAAGUUUGUGAAGAUUGAAAAUCAUGAAGUUGGAUGCCUUGCAAAGACGGUCACUAUGAGCUGUGAUCGACGCAUUUAACUAUUUUAUGCACAUAUUUUUGCUCUGCAAGUUCACCCUUCACUUCCCAAAGGCACUUACCAACCAAUCUGUGUAAAACUGUGAUGGGAUUUGACAUGAAACUUUCAUUGAAGUUCUCUGAAGGAUAGGGAAAAACAGGUAGGGAUGCAAGAGUGAUAAUUAUGUUUUUGUUUUAGCAUAAAAGUACUCGUCAUAGUUUUAGGAUUAACCUUUCUUAUACUGGGAUCUAAAAACGUGCCAUAAGUUAACGAAUUUCUUGAUAGCGCUUGUGAAGUAAGCUAAAGAUUUGCACUUUCUCAUGCCAAGAAUUUCUUCAUUGACAAAGCAUAUGAAUAAGCUAAGGCAAAAAAUGAGGAGAGGCAACUCAGUCGCAGACAGUGCUCUUUGAACAAGCAUAAGCACAGAAUGAUUCAACAGGAGACAGAACAGCAGAUACUCCGAAGUAGAAAACUAGCUCAUCCAAGAAAUUAAGGCGCAAGACAGGAGGAAUUGACAAACAGCGCUCCCUGCUUGUAUUCAGAAAACAUGCUUCACCUAGUACUCCUACCGUUCAUUUAGUUCCUUCAAACACCUGUCACUAAUCCAUGGACAGGCCUCUCGCCGGUGGCCUGAUUUACCACAUUCGAAGCAAAUCAUGUGCAAGCCUCGACAUUCUACAUCCUGCAAAAACGUUUUGAUCCGAUGCAAGGAGGUAAAGGCUUAUCGAGAUCAACCUCGAUACAUACUCUAGCAGAAAUAGCCAUCGUCCGCUUAUCCACCUUGACAGCCUUUCCAAGUGCAUUUCCAAUCUUGAACAGAACCCUGUCAUCAUAGUACUCAACAGGCAAACCGGUGAACUUUGCCCAAACUAAGGUUGAGCUUUGGGCAGGCUUAAAAUCCGGUUUCCAUGGCUGAAUAGUUAAGUAGUUUCCCAUUAUAUACCAGGACGUACCCUUUUUCCAGCACCAGAUAGCAAUCUUUUUUGCAUCGAAAACGUACAUGAAAGAAGUUCAUGCUCAGGUCAACAAGCUCCAAUGGGUAUUUAUUUGCGCUUCCAAAGUUUAACAAGUUCGGGAGAAAGGGAAGUGAAUGACAUGGUUUUCCCCAACAGUUUGAGAAUGAGAGCUUUUCACCAUGACUUCAAAGUUGUUUGUUGACCUAGAUCCUCAUCAUCUGAGCCUGUGUAAAUUGGUGGAAGGCUCGUGGUAGAUAAAAGAGCAUCCUUAAAUGACAGACCACCAGUACCAGGACCCCAAGGUUCAGACUCUUUAGUCCGCGCAUGCUUUGCCGGAUGUGGAGAUUCCUAGGUGUUAUCUUGCACAACAUUUCCACCAUCAGAGGCAAUGCAAUCUUUGAAUGCUUGAUAUUCUGUCUUCUCUGGCGUUCGGAAGGCAAAGGGGAUGACACAAGUUGUUAACUAUGCCCCCAGCUGAUACCCAACCGGUCUUGAAGGACCCUCAUUGCAUUGAAUAGGCAGGGCAAUCUGAAAUUUGAAACAGCCACCUAGCACCAAAGAGCCACUCUUUCCAAGAAUCUCGCACCCCGGAGAAAAGAAUCAGUCAAUUUAACAUGAACUGAGUGGAACAGGAAAACCCACUGAGCCCAUUGGAGUACCCGCCAGAACUGAGCACUCUUGAAUAAAGGGAUAAUUUCACAAACCUCCCCUGAGGUUUCUGACACUUGCACUGAGACCCGUCCAGGUUUUAAAAAUUUCACCUAGCUCCCUUGCUUUUCAAUUUUGAUAACAAUUCAGUCCAAUUAGGAUUAAAAUAUUACUAUGAUGAUAGAGAUGACAUUUAUAUUCCAUGAAUACCCUCUUCCUCCCUAUAUCAGUAUAAGUUUGCUUGUUAAUAAAAAGGUAGAGAUGAUUAUGGGCAUUUUAUUCUGAAUUAUUUAAUUUAUGUUAAAUACAUAAAUAUUUACAAAUAAAAUUCAAAAGUCGUUACACAAAUAUUUUUACGAAAGGAAAACUAGCAUGUUUUGUAUUUAAUACAAAUGAAGUAUUUGAAAGUAAAAAAAAAAAAUUGUCCAUAACAUACCAGUUCUUUACGAGUUUCUUCCAUUAUAUGAAUAAAAUAUUGGCUAUUUAUGAACAUUUUACUUUGAAUCAUUUAAUUUAUAUUAAAUACAUAAAUGUUUAUAUGUGAAAUUCAAAAAGUGUUACACUAGUAUUAUUACUAAAGGGAAACUAGUAGGUUUUGUAUUUAAUAUAAAUUAAAUACGUGAAAGUAAAAAAAAAAUUACCUACUUUUUACCAACUUUUUAUGGGUUUCUUCUAUUAUACGAAUAAAGUACUAGAUAUUUAUAGGUAUUUUACUCUGAAUUAUAUAAUUUAUGUUAAAUACAUAAAUGUAUGUAAGUAAAAUUUAAAAAGCGAUAUACUAAUAUUUUUACAAAAGGAAAACUAAUAGGUUUUGUAUUUAACAUAAAUUAAAUAUGUGAAAGUAAAAAAAAAAAAAUUUGCCCAUAACAUAUCAGAUCUUUAUGAGUUUCUUCUAUUACACGAAUAAAGUAAUAGUUAUUUAUAAGCAAAAAGAAAUAUCUCAUAAAGUACCAAUUUUUUAUGAUUUUUCUCUAUUACAUGAACCAAAUAUCAGGUUUUUAUGGGCAUUUUAUUUUGAAUCAUUUAAUUUAUGUUAAAUACAUAAAUAUUUGCAAAUAAAAUUCAAAAGCCGUUACACAAAUAUUUUUACGAAAGAAAAACUAGCAUGUUUUGUAUUUAAUAUAAAUAAAGUAUUUGAAUGUAAAAAAAAAAUUGUCCAUAACAUAUCAGUUCUUUACGAGUUUCUUCCAUUAAAUGAAUAAAGUACUAGCUAUUUAUGAGUAUUUUACUUUGAAUCAUUUAAUUUAUAUUAAAUACAUAAAUGCUUGUAAGUGAAAUUUAAAAAGUGUUACACUAAUAUUAUUACGAAAGAAAAAAUAGAGGUUUUUAUUAACAAGCAAUCUUGUACUAAUAUAGAGAGGAAGAGGGUAUUCAUGGAAUAUAAAUGUCAUCUCUAUCAUGAUAGUAAUAUUUUAAUCCUAAUUGGACUGAAUUAUUACCAAAAUUGAAAAGCAAGGGAGCUAGGUGAAAUUUUUAAAACUUGGAGGGUUCUCAAUGCAAGUUUCAGAAACCUCAGGGGAGGUUUGUGAAAUUAUCCCUUGAAUAAAAUAUCAAGGCAUUCUUGCGCUCAAAUUGGAAAUGCAUUGAAACUGGCAAAUAUGCUCAAGAAAAUCUAUCAGAAGUAUUUUAACAUCAUCUUUUAGACAAAUAAUUGGUAGUUAUGCAUACAUAAAAUCUCAUCGUACAAUUUGCACAUAGUGGUUAUUUAUAUGGAAGUUCCUAUGUAGCCGGUCUUAGGUCAUCCACUGCACCAAGCAAGGGAAAAAUAAGACAUGUCAUUUUAUUUGUCCCCACAUCACAAUCAGUUCUUCAUCUACUAACAUUGAACCUCCUGAAUAUUUCUACCUGACAUGGAUCCCAAGAACUCCUGAUACAUACAAGUUCAAGAAUGCCUUCAUCACAUCAAUGUAAUUCUUUCUUAUUUUUUUUUUUAAUUUUAUUUUUGUGUACAUUUAAGUAUCCAGCCAAGUGCAAUUCCAUGCAUCUAUCCCGCAGUAGCAAGGGCAGAAUUCGAUCAAGCCUUCAGUGACCCAUUAACUCUUUUCAGCUUGCAUGAAGCUUGUCUUCUUGGCUUCUCUCAGCAAGUUCUUUCCUGUGUGCUUGGAGCCUCUCCUUCAACUUCUUGCUCUCUUCAAAAUUUGCCUUUCGUUUCAAAGCUUUCUGCAAAAGUUUUAGCAUCACAAAUGAAUAUUUAAAGCUUUUUUAUCACUUACCCUUUUACUUUCUUUUUUCUUUUUUUAAAAUAAUUGCAAAGCAUCCAAGGGGUGGUUGGGGUGUGUGCAAACUUGUAUUGUAGCUUUGAUCUCAAAUAGAGAGUAAUAAAUAAGCUUCAUUGUUCCUAUCAGAGGAGAGCAAUCAAUAUCCCAGUUACAAAAUCUUACUUCUUGCCUGAAACAGCGAUCAAGCUUUACUUUGAGUUCUGUGCAUUUACCAAAAAAUUUCCCAAUUGGAUGAUCUGAGUGACACUUCUGGAACUGUUCGAUAAUCUGCAUCAUGCAGCACGAAUAACUUAAUUCCUUCAAACUUAAUCAUACUCCAACAGCUCUACAAUUGAAUACAAAAAUCCAGGCAAUAUAAGUCCGUAGAGCUGAAAACAAUUAUAGAACCUACUGCAGUUUUGUCAAAACACAAGAACACCAUUUCUCAUCCUUUUCAACUCCAAGUAAACAGAAAAGUCCAUACCCAUCCAGUCCAAAGUAAGAUAUUAAACAACACCAAAAUUCCAAAGCAACUUCAACAAUUUACAAUAGAGUAUUCAAUUGUCAUAUUUCAUUCGAUAAUAAUCCAAGAUUUGAAUGUUUAAACAUGAAAAGGAGCUUACAAUAAUAGGAUUCUUGCAUUUUCAGGUAUUCAGCGCUGAGUUAACACUGACCACACAACAGGCAUGAACAAAAUAAAGUUCAUAAUAUACCUCAUUCAAUUCAACUCCAUACAAGGAAUGUGCUUGAUGUUAUGUAAAGGUAUCAUUCAUCACCAAAUAGAAGACAGUAAAACAUCAACAAACUUAUAGUUUAAAAUGAGAAAGAACUAGACAAAGCAAUUAUUAAAAGGAGGCAAAACAGGACUUACUUCUGCACACAUUGGGUGCCUGUGUAAUGUUAGCGGGGGAUGCAUUAUCUUCUCAACACUUCAGAAGGUUCCUAUCACAAACCUGGAAAAAUUAAAAUAUGGAAAUCAAUCUUGUUUUUUACAUUUAGACACUAAUAACAUGUGUUUUUAUCUAAUUAUAUUCAUUUAAAUAGUGAUCCUUCCACUCAAGUAGGGAUCCGUAUGUCUUCAGCCGGAAAAAAGAAAAAAAAAUUUCCUAACAUCUCCUUUAGCUUCAAUCAAGAAGUAUCAUCUAACAGAUUAAAAAUAAUGAAUCAAAUAAACAGGAUUGGUGUUGUUUACUUCUGCUUCCUACUUUCAGCUGGUUUACACCUAUAGUAGCUCUUACAAUUGUGGGCAAGAUAAUCCAUGAUCCAUAAUCCGAUAAUCCAUGAUCCAUAAUCCAUCACUCCCUAGUCAUAGAUGAGCACCCAAUGACUGGUUCUGGGACAACAUUCAUCUCGCUUAUCCUCUACUUCUCAGCCUAGUUCAAUGUUUUCACAUGAUAGCAGCAUUCUUCAAGUUUAUGCCCUUUAAAGUUGGAAGUUUUCUCCUAAAGUAACUCAGUAUCAUAAUUUACUUCCAUUUCUUUUAGAUUGAAUUCAGUAAAAUAAAUGUCAACCAUUAUCAAAAAUUUUCUAUCAUGCCAACGUUAUUCUCUGUAGAAGAACAAUUGGGAAUAUGAUUUCAUGAUAGAUAUAAAGAACAUAAAAAGGGUUUCAAAGAUUAAAAUUCACGUUAUUUUCCCCUUCUUUUUUCGCCGCUUAUAUUAACAAUCAACUACGUAUAUCUGACAUGGAAAAAUCAAUAAAGCCACACAAAUUGGCACGGUAUAACUGCCAGAGAAAAAAAAAUUAAAUUUCUUCCAGAUUACUAUAUCUACUGUGGCAGCAGAGUCAAAUUAUCCAUUCAUUUUCCACAUAUUUCAAAGAAUAUUCAGCAACUAAACUACCAAAAAAAAAAAAACCCGAAUACGAAACAAGCAGUCACAGUAAAAAAUACCUUUAGAAAUGUGAAUACAACUUGCAAGAUUUUAAUUUUCCUUUUUCUUUUCCCUUGAAUUUCUUGGGUUGGUCGGAGGGAGGUAACGCACGGCGCCGGACUUUGCCGGGCUAACCCUGUUUAGUGUGAUUUGCUCCCGCAACCACGAUUUCAGUGAAGAGGAAUUAAAUAUGAUUGAUGAAUGAUCGGAAAACAGGAUGCUUUUUUUUGGGGGGGGAGGGAGGGCGGGGGUGGUGGAGGAAAUCCGGCUGCUCUCCAGGAAAAGAAGUCGAGAGAUGGGUUUAACAAAAAGAAGAUGGGGAUUUUCUUUUUUCUUUUUUUUUUCCUUUUAAGCUUCCUACAAGUGAACAAUAAUAAUCAGCUAAAAUUCUCGAUUUCCAGCCAUUCGAGUUUAGAUUUUUUUGUACAUGAUGGCCUACUGCCCGUCUGAUAUAAUUCAAAAUAUUUUUUCUUUAUCUAAAAAAUACUCUGAAAAAUAUAUGUACUUUUCGCAUAAUAACAAUAAUAAACUUUUUUUCUAUUAUACUUCGCGAAUUAAAUUUUAUUUAUUUUGGAAAGAUUUAAAAAGUUGUGUAACAAUGACAACCUAUCUUCCCAAUUAUAUAUGGAAUAACACGUACGUAUAUCAUAAUUUUAUAUAUUUAUACAUGUAAACAUGUUAAACUUUUAAUAAAGUUAAUAUCUGAUACACAAGAAUAGCUUUGUUUGGAUAUCAUAAUUAGAUGUUAAACGUUUUUUGUAAACAUAUUUUUCAAUCACUAUUUUAUCUCACAUAUAUCAAAUCGUUACAGUAAUUUUUCUACAAAAAAUUUAGAAAAAUGCUAUUUGAUACACAAGAAUAGCUUUGUUUGGAUAUCAUAAUUAGAUGUUAAACGUUUUUCGUAAACAUAUUUUUCAAUCACCAUUUUAUCUCACAUAUAUCAAAUCGUUACAGUAAUUUUUCUACAAAAAAUUCAGAAAAAUGCAAUCCAAACAAAGCGUAAGGGUUAAGGGUAGCAUUAAAUAUAUCAUGAUCUUGAAAAAUUGUAGCAGUUUUACUCAUACUUUUAGUUUUAUAACUUCCAAAUUUUUAUGCGUAAUUUUGACGAACUCAUAUUUUGCGCUGAAUUUUUAAUCUUAUUUUUGGAAACAAAAUCAGUGUUAUAUAAAUACAUAUUAUACAUGUACCAUAUUUACUAACCAUCGUAGAUGGCACCUCCAACAUUUUUUAAUUAAAAUACAAUUGGUUCUUUAACUUUAAUUUGCAAGAAUCAGUCCAUCAUCUUUUAUUUUUCGAGUCAAUUCGACCCUUGAUAAAUCAUAUGACUGAGAGAAUACAAAGUACAAAUCAGAUUUUCUUUGAAGCUCAUCACAGGGUACACCAAAAUCCUUUGUACUUGGACUGUGACCAAAACUUCAUCUCAUUGUCAUAAGCUAGAAUUCCAAUUAUUUUCAAGGAGAAUAAUUUCUACAACAAACAAUGACGAUGGCUUUGACAAAAGGCUGUCUAUGGCUUGAAUGUGCAGCGAAAAUGCUACCAAAAUGCAAGCAAGAGCAAUUUUAUAUGCUGCUCUAGUGCUCCUUUCUCUUGGACCUGAAUCUUCUUCUCAGGUCCCAAAAGCAAGGUAACAACACAUACUCCCAAAAACAUUCCCCAACUAAUCUAAGUAUGGCCAGCAAAUUGCAUACCCACUCGAAUAGAACCGUUAACUUUAACCUGCCACAAGAACAAAAAAGAUAAAUUUGGUUCAAUAGCUGUUGCUGACUUUUAAAUUAAAUUCAGAUAGAAGACAAGACAUUGCAGAUAUAGGAAAGCAAACUGCGAUUUAGCACUAUUUAUUCGUUCAAAAAUAGGUUGCUUAGAGUACCAGGAUAAAAUGACAGAGAAUCUCAGUUCAGGACUUAAGGAAGCUUUCCUACUUACCUGCAAUUUUGUACAUGCAAACUUGUAAAGGUAUCUUGGUAGAUUUGGCAGUCCCUCAUUAGAUUUUUAGAAUUGAGAAAAAAAAAAAAACUCCAUACUUUUAGGUGCUUUAUCUGUAUUUACGUCUAGAUAAUGAUUAACAGCGCUAAGAUUUGGUAGUGAGCAUGAUUGUGACGCACAUUGAAGUUCUCAUAGCGACAACUUCGAGCAAGCAGUCAAAGAUAACUUUCACAUUGUGAUUUUUUAAAGCAAUUUCCUCAAUGUUCUUCUUAAAAGUAUCCUAAGAGGCUUUUUCUGGUGCAAUAAAAAGUAGAGAGGGGAUAAAAAGUUUACCCUGGCUGCUUUGAAGAGCUCAUCAAGCACUUCAGACAAGGUUGGAUGUGCAUGAACAGCAAACUUUAUGUCCUGGGUAAUGCAAAAAGAAGCAAUAAAGUGGACAAGAUAGAAAGAUAAAAAAGCAGCAGCACACAAUAAUUACAAGAGAAAAGGAGGUUCCAGAAAUAAUUCAAUUGCAGUGAAAAAAGACCCUGAAGUUGAAGAGCAUUUCUAAAUAUGCCAAUAGAUGUUGAUAUACUCAAAGGUUAUAGACCAUGCAGUCAACUGCUUUACAACCUAGAAGACUAUCAUUUUGAAUUUAAGAAAUUCCAAUUUUGAUAUUGCUGCUAUUGCUUCAACCCUUUUCUUCAUACAAUCAUGAUUUGUCCUAGUUUCUCUUAAUCACGAAAGUGCCCAAGGAAAUUCCAUUUCUGCCAUCUGUUAAGAUGUUUUUCUAACACUAGCAUAUAUCCUAUGCACGAGCAUGCAAAUUCCCAAAGCAGAUGUGUACCUGUAUAUGUGUCCCCAUAGCUAUAGCAUUAGAUGCCUCAUGUAUGAGGUCUGCAGCAUGCAGACCAAAAAUAUGAACUCCAAGGAUCUCUCCAUUGUCAGGUCUAUAGAUCAACUGCAUCAAAUCACAGGUUUGAAAAGAUUAACUAAACACCAAAAUUUUGGCAGAGCCAAGGAAUAAAUUGGAAGUGAAUGUAUAUUACAGACAUGUCCAUUUUCUCAAGGGAUCACAAGUACAACCUUGGCAAGUCCUUCCGCUUCAUUUUCAGCCAGGGCUUUAGUGUUAGCCUUGAAGCUUGUCUUAGCAACACUGAUUUCAAAUCCUUCCUUCUCACCCUUUUCUCUUGCUUGAGGCUGCAAAAAAUGAAAUUUAUUCACCCAUACCUUCAAUAAAAUAGCUUUCAGACACAUGCUUGCCAAGCAUAAGACUUAACUUGCCUAUCCAAUGUCUUAAGCGAAUAGUUUCUUUGCCUUGUAUUAAAGGUUAAAUAUUUAAGGUACAUGGCAAUAAUCUAGAUUUUUAGAAAACAUUCCAGAAAUACCUCAGUGAAGGUGAACCAAUCAACAUUGUUGUCAUAAGAUCUAUAAUACACAGGAGACGUACUCAAGAUUCAACCUACAGUAGCCAUUGCAAGAUUUGCGCUCUAAAUUAUCCUACAGUCAAUCUUGGUCAACGAUACUAACAAAGAAAGUCUGAUCCUGGAUCAACCCAUAGUUGUCAGAUGUCAGAUUCCAAUUAAUAGUUGCAAAGUGUCCCUAUACAGCUUUAGUAGUAUCACUUGAUCCACUUCAAAAGGAAAGUUUCCUUUAACAUUUAACACACACAGUAAUCUUCAUAAAAAAUUUAUUUUUCACAAAAAUGAUAGUACAGUAAAAGUUAAUUGAACAAAGAGGGGUUUGAGUUUUCAAUGGAUAGCAACUCAUAACCUUUAUUACGAUACACCAGUACAUGUGAAAUGUGCACAGAUACCUACAUUCUAAUGCACCAAAAAUUGAUUAAACAACAAUAUAUGAAAGAAUAAGAAUUGGUGAAGCAAUUUGUACCUCUGUCAGUCCAACCAUACUGAUCUCAGGAUGGGUAAAACAUGCUGCUGGUACACUUAAAUGGUUCAGAAUAUGGUCCUUUCCAGUAACUUGCUCAACAACUACGAUGGCAGCAGUACCCAUUGUUGAACAUAUAUGAAAAUAAGAACAACACAGUGAAAGAAUACAGAAUAGGUAAUCACCAGAGAUUCCUUGUGCGCUUGCUGCAUGAGCAAGCAUCAUCUUCCCAUUGGCAUCACCAAUGCAAUACAAGUGAGGAACCUAUAAAUGAGAGAUCUAUAUCAAUAAAAGGAAGGCCUAUACCAGCAGAACAUCACUGACACAUUACGAGCAAAGAAGGCCGCGACUGACCAACUUCCCAUCAGCAUCUAUUACUUGCAUGCGCUCAUCUACAGGUAUAAAUCCACGUUGAGUUUGCACAUUAAUCUGAAAUGUGUAAGCCAAUAGCAUAGAAUUAGGCUAUGAUCUCAUUUUGUAAUUCAUUCAGAAAACUAAUAAACUAGUCAACUAACAUUUUCCAAGCCAAGUCCUUCAGUGAAUGGAGCCCUACCAGUUGCAAUAAGAGCAGCAUCUACCUGUGGUAAAUAACAGUUGAAACAUGUUGUGAGCGAGGAUGCCACCGAGAAGGAUUUAAGAAUCAAAGGAAUUUACAGAGGAAUGAAUUCUAAAAGAUUUGAUCAUAGAAAGCACACUUUGGAGGAUUGAAAAAGGAUAGUCAUUGUAAGCUUUACAAACUCAUAAUUGCAGAAAUUUUAAUUCCUGAGCCAAGGUUCUUUUAAGCACACUUAAAUUGUUCCCAAUUUUAACAAAAUUAAACAAGUGACAAAAGCAUAUCUACUACAAAAUAACUUAAAGUUUUAAUAAUUUCUCUUUCAUCAUUGAUGUCUCCAUCUCAAGUGCACAUAUAGCAGACUUUAUUUACUCAAUGCAUGCUUAUGAAAAAGAUUAAACAAUAAUGAGAAAAAGGUAAUCUAAACCCACAGUGAGAAGAUGCACUUCUGUCAUAACAAGUUUGCUGAAAUAUCUCCCAAUAACAUGAUUUGGUUGUUGUGGGCAAUGAAGAGAACCGAAUUUUGUGUAUAAUAACACUUAAAAUCUCAAAAUAUUCUUCUCAUCUUCUCAGGUACCCACUUGAAACCCUAUUUACUGUUCUCUAUUGAGCAAAUUUUUCUCCCACCCCACACUUUUAAGAUGUAAUGAUUAGCACACAGUUGAAAAUCAAGCUACAUCUCAAACAAAGGGGCAAAAGUUUUUGUGUUUGCCAAAUGCUGAUAUCUGCUGCAAUUUCUUUCAAAAUGUCUGUCCUUAAGACAAUUAAAGCUAGUAUAUGAUAUGAUUGAAAGUGCCGACAACUAACAAAUGGGAAGGUUUACGGGAACUACGAGUGUGUUUGGAUUAUUUGAAAUAUUAUUUGGAAUAAUUACUGUAGCACUUUUUCUGAUAUGAUGUAUGUGAGAUAAAAAGGUAAUUAAAAGGAUAGAAAGGUGUAUGGGAAAAAUGUGUUUGUGAUGCAAGCAAAUAAAUUUUUGACAAAUAAUUUCUAUCCAAAUACACCCUAUAUUGGAUGAUAAGGUCAACCACAUCCUGAUCCUCCAUUUGCAUAUUUUGCAUUGCAAUAAAUCCAUUAAAUUGCUAACUAACUCUUCACCAAACAUCUGUAUCGAAUUGAUGAAAUUUCUUCAACAAAAGAUCUGGAAUGAAUUACGUUAGAGAAUCUUGUCACUCUAUACUAGGAAGCUGUCUCCGUGAAUCAGUGAUCAUGAUUGGUCAACCAUAUACUGUGCCAAGACCCAAGAAUCAUGUCGAGAUCCAAUGCACUAAUUAUGUAAAAUGACAUCUGAAUACCUAAGAAUGACAUAUUAAAUGAAUAUCACUCUGCUUUCAGAUGUACAGACCUAAGAAUUCAUGCAUUAACUGAAUGUUUAUUAACUUACCUCUAGAGUGCCUUUCGGUUCCCUGGUCUUGGCAUCAAUGAGCUCAAUUAUCACUGGUUUUCCAUCCUUUGCUGGAGUUAUCUGAAAAAGUAUCAGAUAAAUGAAAAUGAAUUUAAAAAGGCACAAACAGGAAAGCAGCGUACAUAUUAAUAGCAGCAUUGCACCUGUAACUAGAAAAAGGACUGUGAACUGUGACAUACCUUGCUGGCAAACACACCAGUAUGAGAAUCAAUUUUCCGAGGAUUUAUGAGGACUCUCUGUGCCAACUUUCCAAUCUCAGGAUCAAAGCCAGGCAUCAGCUGAUCCAAAGCUUCAAUAAAUGUAACCUGUGCAAUAAAGAUGAAACUUUGUGACACAAGCCAUUUUGCUAGGGUGAGUGGAAGCAAAAAUAAACACAAAAAGAUAAUGCACUCCUAGUUUUACACAUUUGAAAAUGUUCAAUGACCAAUGUCACAGAAGGCUCUUCAAAGGACAAUCAGAAACAAAGUUCAGUCAAUCAAAGUUUUGUAAUAGAUUGCAAAGGGUUAUGCAAUUCAUACAAAUUAAAACUGGAUCGUUCCAACUAAAUGUUGUUUCCCUAUGUUUUAUAUGUUUCUUUGUCCUGCUUUUAGUUAGUCUCUAUGAAGUUGGCUACUCCACAGCUUUGAAGCCCCUCCAUUUGAUAAAUCAAACAUGGAGAAUGAUUAUUGAACGUUAUUGUCCUUGUCAGGUUGUCGAACUCCUUUAACAAUUAAUGAUGAUACAUUCUUUUCCAUAGAUACCCUGUCCCACAACUUUCUUUUAGGGAAACUAUAAAGUGAUACCAAAUCAGGAAAUAGAAAGGAAGAGCAAGUUUCAUUAAAACAGUUGAAAAGCAAAACAUAUAUUUUAGUAAAAGAAGAUGGUUUUUGAGGAGUAGCUCUCCCUAAACAGGACUAAAGUAGAACAAAAUUUUUGUGAUCAUGACAAGAGAAAUUUUGCUUCUCAACAAAAAUGAAACAACUUUUUAAGCACAAACUGCUCUCACCUCACUUCCAAGAGCUGUAUAAACAUCGCUGAACUCGAGACCGAUGUAACCACUUCCAACUAUCGCUAUCCACUCCGGAACAAAUUCCAAUUUGAGUGCAUGAUCACUGGUGAUGACUGUCUUACCUGCAGGCAACUAUCAAUGAUAUUGGUUAAUCUAAUCUUGGCAAACAAUAGUAUUCAGUUAGAAGAUUUAGAGGACUGAAAAAGCAAGACAGACGAACACGAUUAUAACAGUUCAACCCUCCAACGAAAAAAGCAUUGUGCAACUAUGAGCAACAAAACUAAAAGAAUGACAAAAACAUAAUAGCAGUUCAAGAAGUAAAAUUUCCAAGUCUAAUUCCUUGCAAGCUAAUUAUAACACGAUUGUUUUGCUAAAAUUGUUCCUCCUACACAAUUGAGAAGCACUCUUCAUCGCUUGCAGUUAUAGGUAAUCACAAACUUUAGGCACUAAUUAACCUAAUAAUCUGAAAUGUUUAAUUGCAAAUCAGUUCGAGGCUAUUGAACAUCACUUGAGAGACAUGGUAUCAUGCACACAUUCAGAACAUUAGCAUUUAUAAGCUCUUCAACAAUUUAAAUACAGCAGAAACUUUUAACAUCCAGUAAAUCCCAAAUUUUCAAGAUCAAUCUGGCAGACGUCCUGCAUAUACUUUAUUACCUUCCUUGAGAUUGCAAUGAAAGUAAGCAUAGCAAAACUGAACCAAUUUUACAUCUAAAUACCUAUAGAAACUGUUGCAGCAACUUCGUUGCAAACUAGAAGCUAGAAAUUAAACAUUGACAGACGAGCUACAACAUGUGCCAACACAAGGACAAAUACAUGAGUACUUACCGUCAACUUCAAUUCCCUUUGGCACUAAGGGAAUGGAGCCAGUAGCAAUUAUAAUGUCUUUUGCUGUUAUUACAGUUUCUCCAGCGCCAGCCUUUCCAUAUUUCACCUUUUGUGGACCCUGAAAAUAUAGUUAUGUGAAAAUGAAUGACAAAGCCUCGUAUAUGUGAUCUAAUGACUACCACUUUCCCUUUUACUUAAAAAUGACUGUUUCUACACAGAAAACACCUACUUAAACUUGAGAAAUUUCGAUGAAUAGCUCAGCUUACCAAAACUGUGCCAGCACCCAUCAAUAUAUCUACCCCAAGAGCUUUCAUCGAAUUUGUCAAAUUAUUUCUAAUUUUGGAGGCCAAAUUAUUUGCAUGAUCAGCAACUCCUUGUCUGUCAUAUCCAGCAGCUGCAACCUAUCAUAUGAGGUUAAAAAAGUGAGCAAGCUGUCGAAAACAGGGAAAACAGAAAUAAGAGCAUUUCAGGGUUGCAAUGCAAACUUCGGCGAUUUUGUAAGAAAUAUGACACUGGACAGUAACUUGUGCCAAUACAAGAAGUUCAACCAUUUCAUGAACUUGAUGCUGAAUUUACAGCUGGCCCAAAAACAGUUACUGAAACAUUCAAGAGACUAAACUUUGGUUUCUCAGCACCAAAAAUGCCUACCUGUAAACCAAAAGCCUUCAUGUGAUGCUCAUUCUGAAGCUCCCGCAUACGACCACUAACAGCUAGGAGGGCUUUGGAAGGCACACAACCCCUAUUUACACAUGUUCCUCCUACUACAUCUCCUUCAAUGAUGGCAGUUUUUAAACCCUGAAAACAAAACAUUUGUCAGUUAAUCACUUUCACUGAAUUCAAGAAUUUGAUAAAGGUAUCACAAGAUGCAUUUAUAUGGUGAAUAAGCAGUCAAACAAAAUGCCUGCUUGAUGUUAGCCACCAGCUUCUUUCAUCACUUUCUUUUGUCUCUUUUGACAAAGGAAAUAAAAAGAAAAUCCCUCAAAUUUAAUCCCCCAAGAACACACAAAUCAACAUCUGUAAGGUACAUGUUGUUGUAAUAAUCCAAACAGAAAAAAAAAAAUUAAAACAAACAGUAAAGAUCUGCUAAAGUAAUAAAAAUCCCGUUUACAACUAAAUCACCAGGUAACACUUACCAACUAAGAGAAUAUCAAAUUGGACGUAACUAAUACUUUAAGAAUUAGUUCAAAUUAGCAUAACAUUAAUAUCUGAAGCUUCUAACAGAAACAGUACACAGCUGAAGUUUAAUGAUCAGAGUGGCAUUGUUACCUUCUCUACAGCAUGAAGUGCAGCGCCAUGACCACCAACACCAGCGCCAAUAAUUACGAGAUCAUAAUCAAAACCCUCUUUCGACGGAGUUCCAUUAUCAUUACUCACCGAAGCCGAAACCUCCAAAUUCAAACGCUGCUUUGUGGACGAAGAAGAAAAUACAGCAGCCGAGGAGGAGGAAACUAAUCUCGCUGCAGCUGAAUGCGAAGAAUUCAGUCCGAAAAUCGCCUCUCUCUUGAGACCGCAGAACCGGAGCGAUCGCGACGUGAGAAAAGUGGAAGAAGAGCAGUCGGAUCUCGGGGCAAUUGUUAGGGAAGGCGAGGCCAGGGACAUUGUCAUUGCUGAUUGCAUUUUUUUAGGUUUCGAGGACUCGAGGUUCAAAAAACACACACUCACGCAGUAGAGGAUGAAUUAAUGGAGAUUGUUUGGGAGCGGAAGUGGGGCCGCCGGGAGAGUGAUAUAGAGGAAGAGGAGGGAAGGCUUCGAGAAGUCCGUUGGAGGUGGCGGAGUUAACAAAGCGGCGUUUGAUGAACCAACCUCUUACUUAGUUGUUUAGCGCUCGUUUUUUAAUUUUCUUGUUCCUUUCUCUUUUAUUUUAAUAGUUUCUUCUUUUUCUUUGAUUGCUUUUUUUUUUUUUUGCCCUUUUCUUUUUUUAUUACCUAUUAUUUCUUGAGAAUAAAUAAAAGAGGAAAUAGGUGUCACUUUUAUUCUUUAUUUUUGAUAUAAUGGUGUUGAAUCAUUUUGGUUUUGAAUAUAUUAUAAGUAACAAAGACAAAUUUAGAACUCAUUAUGUAAUUGCUUAAUUAAGAAAGAACUCAUAAUAUCCUUCUUAGGUAUUAUUGACAUCACUUUUGUUUACCUAAAAGCUUUGAAGAUUUGUGUCAAGUUUUUUAGCUGAUUAGCCACGCAAACAAUCUAAAAACAAGAGCACAUGAGUCAAAUCCUCAAAAUAAUAACAAAAAAAACUUUUUUUGUAGCAGUGGUGGAGUGUGUUUGGACAGUAAAUUAAUUAGAAUAGUUUUUUUUAAAAAAAAAUUGUAAUACUCAUUUGACAUAAGAUAAAUAGAUGAUUUAAAAAUACGUUAAUGACGCAAGCAAAUAAAUUUUUUACAAAUAAUUAACUCCAAAGAAAGAAUUAAUCUUUCUUAUACUAAUAAUGCAUAUACUGUAGGCAGCGUUGCAUAAAUUACAAUUAUGUAAAAUUUGAAUUUAAAAUUCAACUUUUACACGUACAUAACAUUACCUUCCAAACAAAGUCAUUGAUAGCAUGAUCGUUGUGAUCACCUAUUGAGCUAGUUUCUGAGGUUUUUAUGUAAAGGUAUUACACAUUCUGAGCUAGUUUAGAUUGCCAUUUUUUGUUUUAAAAAAUUUACAUUUUUUGUAAAUAUACUUUUUAAUCACUUUUUUAGUACUUUACAGUUUAUAUACAUCACAUCGUUACAAUAUAUUUUUCUAAAAAAAAUUUCAGAAGAUAGCAAUCAAAAUGGAAAAUCUUUCACUUUGUAUCUUUAUAUGCCCUAUUUCGUAUUACAAAUAACAAGUUCUGGUUCUUGGGCAUAAUUACAAGAAUCAGUCUGGCUUUUGGAAUUAUACACCACGUUUACAGGGUAACAUGUUUCUCUUAAUUUAAGGUCAUUAACUGCACGGAAACAAGCUCCUUAUCUAAAAUUUGGCGGUUACCAAAAAAGGGUAACAAGAAAUUCAAUGCUGAAUCUGGAUAUAUAUAUAUAAUAUACAUGAGCAUUUUGGAUUUGGAUUAGAUUUUGAAGUGAAAAAGUACAUUAUUGACAUUCUCGCCUACGUUGAUAAGUAACUUUACUUAUCAAAAGUCUGAGUUUCUCAGAAAAGACAAAAAGACAUUCUCGCCUACGUUGGCAACUAUGGAACUUUCCUCAAAAGAAUUUGUGAUAGCUGGGAGCAUCAUGUGGUUCGUUGAGCCGAAACCUGAGCUCGUUUGUCAAUUGAGUUUUUUUGAUAUUUGUUUAAAAUUUUACUGUAAUUUAUCGUAGAAGUUGCAGAAAAAUUUUUUAAAGUGUAUAAACUUUUAGAUAUUUUGAAAUAUAUAAUUCAAAAAUUUUGAUAAGUUUUAUGAGAUUAAUAUAAUUGAAGUUGUUAAAAAAUUUGUAGCAGACAAAUUUAGCAAAAAAACUUGUUCGCCAAACAGGACUUUGGUUUGGACAAGAAAUUAUUUAAAAUAAUUACUGUAAUAUUUGUUUUUGAUAUGAUGCAGAUGAGAUAAAAAAAUAAUUAAAAAGAUGAAAAAAUGUAUUCAAAAUUAUGUUCGUGAUGCUAAUAAAUAAUUUUUUUUUUGUAAUCAUGAUUAUCCAAACACACGUGUUAAUCACAUCCGAGACCUAAAAAGAAAAGCGAGACACGGCCCGCCACUAAACCUUGCUCUCUCCAAGAUACCUGCCACAAAAACCACCUAAGAAAAAGUACUCUCUUUGAAAGUUUUGUGCUUAAAGUAUUUUUUUUUUAAUAUAUAAGCAAGUGUUAGAUUAAUUAAAUAAUAUAAUAGAUGAGGGAUAACGGUAGAAUCAUGUUAUUCUCUCUCUUUUCUAGUGUCACUUUUUAAUUGCUGGUUGACUUAGACUCUGUUUGAUAAUCCAAUUCAACACUUAAAUUUAACGGAUUCAGAUCUUAACAUAUUCAGACCAUAUAAUAACGAAAAAUUGAACAUAUGAAUUAAUUAAGUAGCACUGAAUUUUCUAAACAAAACAUGUUUUCAAAAUUAAGUGAGAAACUAUUCACUUUAUCGCUGAAUGUGAUAUGCACUCAAAUGUAUUAAAUUUAAUAUUUAAUAAUUUAAUAAACUUAGAAUUCAAAUUUCAAUUUUAUCAAUGCACCGUUCGUAAAUAUAAAAUAAUAAAUCUCAAGGGAUAUUAAUAUAAUUUUUAAAACUUAAAAGGGAGGCUAGUGAAAUAAUUAAAAAAAUCAUUUCCUUUUAAAAUGUCAUGUUUUUAUUUUGGGAUGUUGUAAAAUAUUUAUCAUUUUAUCAAACAAAAUUACUUUUAAUAUCUUUUUUGAAUGUUGAGUAGUAAAAUAAAAACCAUGGUCCAUGGCCCAGAACCCACGAGCCGCCAACAGCAUUAUUAAACUUACAAAAAGCUCAAAACCAUCAAACCGCCGCCACCCGCCACACGACUCUCUCACAGACUCACACACACAGGACACACAGUAGUCAAUCACACACUAUAUAAAUAUUCCAUAGUCAGAGCUUAAUUACGCACCAAAAAAAGAAAAAAAGUUUUGUAAUUGUCACAAGCUUCUAUUAAUUAAGCAUCCAGGAGCAAAAGAAGAAGAAGAAAAAAAAUCUGUGGUUGAUGGCUUCUGAAGUGGCGGAGAAAGAACGCAAGAUUCUGGUUGCAGUGGAUGAAGGGGAGGAGAGCUCCUAUGCUUUGUCAUGGUGUCUCACCAACAUUGUCAAUGAAAAUUCCAAAGAUACCCUUGUCCUCGUCUAUGCCAGGCCACCUAGAGCUGUUUACUCUACCCUUGAUGGAUCAGGUGAGGAAGACCACCUCCCAGGUGACUUCUUUUUUUUUUUUUUCCUCUUUUUGUGGUUGAGCUAAUUAUUUAUAUGGGCAUUUUUUUAAAUGUCAUAGUCUAAAUUUUCUUACUAUUUUGGUUGUUUUUGCAGGU